CACAUAAGCUCCCUUAGUGCUUGUUGGCUUUGCUGCCGCUGGCUUAUCAACAAAGGUCUCAACUGGUUGAGCAAGGUCCUUAUAUGGACAUCUCGAUGUCCAGUGAUCUCCCUUCUUUCCGCAAGUCCUGCAAACCAUGAGAACAGCACCUCCUUUCCCAAGCUGAGCCAAGUUAUCCCCAGCUACCUUUGUUUCUUCAGAUUUAGUACCUGUCAUCAAGAUCUCCCUCUAUGAGACAGAAAACUGACCAACGUUGGACCUAUAAAGAUUCCUUCAAGAAACCAUUUCACGCGAGAUUGUCAAUUCACUCCCACUUAAAGCUUUAUCGAACUGAGAGAUUUCAUCAGCAGGUAAAGUGUCAUGUAGAUAUGUCUUUACAACGAAAUACAAAUGCAAUUUAUUCAAAUUUUCCACAUUGCUUUCUCCAGCAGCCGAUUGAGAGAUCAGCUGGUCAGGGAGAGAUCUAUUUCAACCCAGAUAGAAAAUCAACUAAUCAAGAUAUAAUUGGACAGAUUCAGGAAGACAAACUAUUAGAUUUCUUCUACAAGAACAAUUGAAUGACUGUAAAAGAGACGUCCAUAGAAGAAAAUUAGGGAGUUCAUAUGCUGCUGGUGCCUGGACUGCGGCUCCACCCCGGUCCCCUACCCGGUGAGCACUUCCCCCCCGUGCGGCGACCAGUCGUACAAGGUCCGGUGCGACGCCGGCAGGACCCUCUUCUUCGACACCCUCAACAACUCGUACCCGAUCACCUCUGUCGACCCGGAGAGCCAGCGGCUCGUGACCAAGCCCUCGAGCGUGCUCGCCAACGCCCGCGUCACGUCCGACCUCGUCCACCAGGGCGUCCAGCUCAACUCCUCCUUGCCCUUCAACGUCACCGGCAGCAACACCAUCCUCUACCUCAACUGCACCCCCACGCUGCUCAACUCGCCGCUGAAUUGCUCGUCGGCGAGCCUCUGCCACACCUACGUGAACGGAACGGCCGGCGCGGCGGCGUGCGGGGCGGCGGCGAUCUGCUGCACGUUCCGGGCGGGCGGGUCGACGACGUCCUACUCGAUUGCCUGGCGUACACGAGCUACGUCAACCUGGACCCGAGCGAGCCCGUGAGCCUCUGGCCCAAGCUCGCGAUGGAGAUCCAGUGGGUGCUGCCGCCAGAGCCCGUCUGCGGGGCCCAGUCGGACUGCGACGGGAAUGCCACGUGCCGGGCCGACCCGGCGGGGGAGAAAAUAUUGGGUAGGUUUUACACUCCACGUAGGCGAAAUGUAAGAUCAUAGAGAAGUCGACGCGUGGCAAAUUUGAGCCCACCUGUCAGGCUCCACUUCUCCGUUAACGCUCCGUCUCUCUCCCCUUUACUCUCUCUCCUCCCCUCCGUUUCUGCGACAACUCUCUCUCCCUCUUCUCUCUCUACUUCUCUUUUUUUUUUUUUUCUGCCUGCGACGCUCUCUCUCCCUCUUCUCUCUCUACUUCUCUUUUCUCCAACCGCCACCACCAUCACUAACUCCCCUCCUCCUUCCGUAAUAGACUCGCUCCAAGCCCCGUCAGACUCGUCAUCGUCCUCAAGCAAGACGAGUGUCGAGGCGGUGGCGGCCACUAUGGCCAGCUCGCUGGUCGUCGCCACACUGUUCUUCUUCGCAAUCCAAAGGUAGAGACGCCGAAAGGGUCUGGACCAUGGACAGGCGAAAGCGGGAGGCUUCACGCCGAUGCCUCGCGGGGACUUUGCGAAGUUCGGAGGGCAUAUGAUCAUGGGGCUCACAAGCACGCCAACACUCAUACAUGGCUGUCACGGCCUGUGCGAGGGGGCGGAACGCAAGGACUUGCUCGAGAAGAUCAGACCCAUCUCCCAAAUGGUCUCUGGGACGACAACCGAACGGGCAGACGGACAAGGAUAGAUGAAAUGAAAAAUAAAAACCCAAACUUUCUUGAAGAAUUUCAGCAGGCGGGGUCGGACGCGGAACAGGGAGGAGGAAAUGAGCAAAUGGGUAUUGUAAACGGACGCGUAGGCGUGUCGGGUCGGCUUCGGUUUCCUUAUUUAACGCGAUUUCAUCACGUGGGUCGUCCUCGCCUGUUCCUGGGUAUUGUUUUUUCCGAUCCACCAUGGACGACACUCGCAGCCAGCCAUGGACAACACUCGCUUGACCUCAAACUCGGAGAUUUGGUUAACGCUCGAGUUUCGAGCUCGGCCUCAAGCCAUCUCACCGCAAACAAAGCUCAAUGCGGUCUCCGUCCGGCGGCGCACCGUCCCUCCUCGACCUGAAGCGGCCAUGAGCAGACUCGAGCUCGAGCCAUGGCAGACGCAAGAGAAAGAAAAGAGAAGUGGAGAGAGAAGAUGGGGAGCCGAGGGAGUUGUGCGCAGAAACGGCGGGGAGGAGAGAGAGUAAAGGGGAGAGAGACGGAGUUAAGGGAGAGAGUGGGGGCUGACAGGGGGCCCAAAAUUUGCCACGUGUCGAUUUCUCUAUGGUCUUACAUUUCGCUUACGUGGACAGUAAAACCUACCCAAUAUUUUCUCGGGGGACGAGACGGGGUCAGCAGGUGCUUCGGCCAGCUCGAGCUCACGUGGGAUCCCACCGAAGGAGUUUGUGUAGAGAGUAAGUUUUUUAAAGUGUUUUUUGGGCACUUUUAUUCUUAUAUAUAUUUUAUUUUUGGUGCAAGAGUAACCAUAAAUUUUAUGUACAUUUAUAUUUUAUAUUACUUCUUGGAAACCCUAAUUGGUAAUCAAUUAUUAUUUGAUUGCUCCAAAAAAAUGGGUAAAGAAGUGGAUUUUCUCUUUUUUUUUGGUGCAAAUGUGACAUGUCAAGAUUUGGGUGGUCGUGGAAUGGAUAGGAUACUUGCUUCCUAUUCUAAUUGUGACAUCUUGAUUUUUUUUUUCCUGAUGUGUUCUGCAUCAUUAUAAUUUCAUUUUAAUGAAGAGCGUAAUUUUUUCAGUUUGGAGAAUUCGGUUUUACUUUAUGAUUAAUGAAGAGCGUAAUUUUUUCAGUUUGGAGAAUUCGGUUUUACUUUACAAAUCAUAAGUUGAUUCCAAAAUUUAAAAGCAUGGCUAUGAUUCCACUAAAUUUAGGCUAAGGAAAUCAUGCUCGAUGAAACCAAGAUAGCUCAAUUUAACAAGAUUAUUCAGGAAUAGAAUGUUUGGACACUUCAUGUUUAAUUUGUUGAUCGUCAAAAUUUGCAUCUAGCUGAAUUCCCUUCACAGUAGGUCUUAGACUGUGUGAAGAUGACAAUUACAGUUUGAGCUACGUGAAAGCAUCUUGUUUUGCUCUCUUAUGAGAUCAAAUGCAGUCGUGAAUUCACUGUUUGACAACUUUGAACUCGUUGCAGGUUGAACGUCUGGGAUAGGUGUGGCCCUUCUUGUAGCCAUCGUUGCUCUGUUGCUAUAUAGGCGUCACCGGCGCAUUCAAGAGGCUCGAGAACGCCUCACCAGGGAGCGUGAGGAUAUCCUUAAUGCCAGGGGCGGCAGAGCAGCCAAAUUGUUCACCGGGAAAGAAAUAAAAAAGCCGACGGCCAACUUUUCCAAGGAUCGGCUUCUCGGUGCUGGCGGAUAUGGCGAAGUCUAUCGAGGCAUCCUAGAUGAUGGCACUGUUGUCGCCAUCAAGUGUGUGAAACUCGGGAACACUAAAGGAACUGAUCAGGUCCUGAACGAGGUUCAGAUCCUGUGCCAAGUCAAUCACCGAAGUCUUGUUUGUUUACUCGGGUGUUGCAUCGAGCUUGAGCAGCCGCUCUUGGUUUAUGAGUACAUCGAGAAUGGUACUCUACUGGGUCAUCUCCGGGGUGAAGGACAGGGUAAACUGUCGUGGACUCGCCGCCUCCAGAUUGCACAUGACACGGCCGAGGGCCUUGCUUACCUUCAUUUCUUGGCAGUUCCUCCGAUAUAUCACCGAGAUGUCAAGUCCAGCAACAUAUUGCUGGAUGAGAAGUUGAAGGCCAAAGUCUCGGAUUUUGGGUUAUCUCGGUUGGCUCACACCUAUAUGAGCCACAUAUCGACGUGUGCUCAGGGUACACUCGGAUAUCUUGACCCCGAGUACCAUCUCAACUACCAGUUGACUGAUAAGAGUGACGUAUAUAGCUUCGGAGUAGUGCUGAGCUCUUGACAUCUCAAAAGGCGAUAGACUUCAAUCGAGCGACGGAUGAUGUGAAUCUGGCGGUCUAUGUGCAGAGGAUGGUGGAGGAGGAGAGGAUAAUGGAUGUUGUGGAUCCGAUGCUAAAGGAACAGGCGAGCACCGCCAAUGUGGAGACCAUGAAGGCGCUCGGGUUUCUUGCCGUGGGAUGCUUGGAGGAACGGAGGCAGAACCGUCCUUCCAUGAAAGAAGUUGCCGAAGAAAUUGAGUAUAUCAUGAGUGUUGUGACGGCCGAAGUAGUAGAGAGUUAAUUCUGCAGAACCAGGUAACACAGUCGAAUAGUCAUGGGUAGUUUAUUUUUAUUGAUCAUGCGUGGUUGUUGUACUUGUCUCUAAGCACAAAGAUGGAGCCUUUUCACAAUCUGAAGUUUAUGUCUCUCAUGUAAUACAGAACCUCUUCAGAAGGCAGUUUUUUUACCGUAGGUUUACUGCUUGUUCUUGAAUUUAGCACUUGGAGAACCUUUUUGGACAGAAUGCACAAAAGUAUAUUUUGUAGUGAAUAAGCUUUGACUACAUGCGUCUGGGUCAAACCUCACUAUCUGGAAACAUAAAGAGCCUAUCUUUUAAGUUCUUUUGGCAGCUCGACUCGAUUAUAACUGAUGCUUCAUGAAUCAACCAAGACGAGUUCAAUCAGCGUUGGAUACAUCCUGACAUGCUAGAACAUCCAUCCAUGCUAGUACAAAUUCGAGUCUGGGGCGCCUUUCCACUUUCCGGCUUUUCUUUUUUUUGAUUGUUGGCUUGCAAUUGCGGAUCAUGCAACUCAUCUUCCAAUUAGCUUUUCUGAUCGUGUUAUCUCCAUAAUGACUAAACUACUCGAAUGAGAGAUGAAUGUAAAAGAUCUUAAGAACUUGCUCCUAGAUUAUAUGAACUGAUCUAACAAGCGGCAAGAGAAAUGUUGCAGCCAGAUCUUCACUUCAUGUGUUAAGCAAGAUCUAUUUCCCUCCAUAAUCAGGCAAGAGCUCGCAUGGAGAGAAAACAUGGCAAUCUAGCAGUGAUAAAACAACUCGAAGCUUGCUCGUCCUUGCAAUAUCAGUCCAGUCAUAGAUUCUUGCUAGAACUGGCUCCCCUCAAAUUGACUCAUCCCAGGAAGCAGAACAAAAGUUAAUAGUUCGAUGGUGCUGACUUACCUGUCGAAACCUCUAUGGCGGACCAUUAUUUCCUGAAAGAUGCCGAAGCUAUGGUGGGACUGGCAAGAUUUGGUGGAGUAUGGUGUUUUUCUCUUUCGGAGAGGACAAUUUGUAAUUAGCGAUAAGUUCCUCAUACAAAGCAUUUAAAGGUAAUAGAAACAAGAACUUUGUAGGUAACAUUAACCAAGUUAUGUAGCAACACUAAUUUCGAGAAUGGCCUGUUCUACUUAAAGACAAUAAAGCAUGACUACAGAUAAUACGGCCAGAUUGGCUAUACCUAGUGUUAAGAGAUAGAGUUUUUUACAGUGACUUGUCAAGAACUUACAAUCUGUCGCCAAUAUGGUUUUUCUUCGCUUGGUUUAGCUCUAAUUGCAGACACCCUUCUAAUGCUCUUGUUUUGCUACUAUCCUCAGAGCAUAAAUUAAACCAUUUUUUUUUUAUUGGAAAGUUUCUACUUAUUAUAGCCACGUAAAGGCUCAGUCAAAGCACAUACUUCUUUGGCAUGAUUCCUUGAAAAAUCAGGUUAAGCAAUGCAAGCUGUUGCAGAAGUGGGCAUCUUUAAUGUUACCGAUGUCUCUGUGACAUCUAGAUCAACCAAAUGAUCAGCAGCUAGACAAUAUAUUACAGCAAAGAAAAGUUCUAUUGAGCAUAACUAAUCUGUCACAACAUUUGUUUCAUUUCCCCAAAAGUCAACAUGUAUUGCUGGAUGGCUUCAGGAGCCAUAAUCUUUCUGUUGAAAAGGAACUGAUUUCUUCCGUAGAAGAGGAAGACUCUAUUCCGAGUGCCGAUGGCUGAUAUGAAGGGGAGGCCUCAUAGGUGUCACAUGGAAACUCAGGCACCGGGACUUCUAGCUGAAGAAAUCUUAUAACUUGUCCCGCUUUUGGCCUCAUCUUGGGAUCUAGAUGCACACACCACAGUCCCACCAUCAUCAAGCAUUCCAUUUCCUUCCUAUCGAAACUCGAACCCAAUGUUUCGUCCGCUGCUUCAAGCAUGUUUCCAGCAAGGUAAAGCUGCCAAACCCACUUGCGCAGUGGAAUGUGAAAUUCUCCUUCCUGAUAGGUCCUCCUACCGCAUGCGAUUUCUAGAGCCACCACCCCGAAGCUGAACAUGUCGGAUUCUUUAGUAACCUUACCUUCACUCAAAUAUUCUGGUGCCAAGUAACCAUAUGUCCCUACCACGUCCGUGAUUUGUGUCCUGAACCGAGGGUCAACAAGCUUAGCCACACCAAAGUCUCCAAGCUUAGUGUUAAAGUUUGUGUCGAGUAAUAUAUUUGCGGCUUUUAUGUCUCUGUGGAGAACGCACUGCUCUAGAUCUUCAUGAAGAUAGUUGAGGGCUAAUGCUAGUCCUGAAGCUAUCUUGUACCUCACAUCCCAAGGCAAACUUUUUCGUGUUCCAAAGAGAUGAUUAUCAAGGCUACCAUUAGGCAUAUAUUCAUAAGCAAGCAAAAGCUCGCCUUCUUCUCGGCACCAUCCAACGAAUUGCACUAGAUUUCGGUGUAUCAUGCGGCUUAGUAUCUUCACUUCGUUGGUGAAGACCUUCUCUGAAUGUUUGGAUUCUGCAAAGAUUCUUUUGACGGCGACUUGGCGGUCUAAACGGUUCAAAAAUCCCUUGUAAACUUGGCUGGACCCUCCUUGGCCUAGUCUUCGAUUAUUUGCAAAGCCAUUUGUAGCAACAAGCAACUCUUGAUAAGACAAUUGCAGUGGCAAUGCUACCAUCUCUUCGUCAGUAUGAGUCAGAGCCCGAAACUCAUAUUUUUUCCUCAUCUUGAUCAUAAAGAAGCAAGAACCUCCUGAAAUGACCAGCAACAGACAUGCUAUGGGAAAAGCAAUGAAUGUUACAAUCCUAUACAUCUUACGUACCCCCUUUUUUGACUGAUCCACAACGUCCAAGCUUGAGGUGAAUUCCCAUGAAUUGAUGCUGUGUCUCUCUGAAUAUUGGCCAGUUGAAGCUGAGAAUCCAAUCGUUACUGAUUCAGGAAGAUAUUCAGCAAGAUCAACUAUGCAAGAAAUUGAGGAAUCUUUGUUAUAUGGAGAAACCGGCUUGUCAUCAAAUGACCAGAAUACACUAAGAUUCUUGCUAGUAGAAUCAUAGGUCACCAUAACAUUAGUUGCCUUGCUGUUGUGUGAUGCAAAAUCCCAAAUCGCAUGGUUACAUGGUAAGGCUGCUGAUUUUAUGUCAAUUGCUAUGUGCUCCGUUGGAAUAUCAGAUGGUAUGGCCGGGAUAUAGGAAGUAUCGAACUCAAUGACCACAAUUUGGUACUGAGACCCACCAUAUGUGGUAGCAUUGAAGAGUCCUAGGUAUCCAUCAGAGGAGUUGGGUGGGAUUGAGAAGCCAACAGGAGCAAGAAAAAAGCCAAAGCCAUCACCAUGUAGAGGGUAGUUCAUAGUAUCAAUGGUGAAAGAGAAACGGGUAGAGAAGUCUGCAUGUUUUCCCGUAGCAGAAUCCCAUAAAGUUAGGGGUUCGGCAUACCGCAUGUGGCCUACUUUAUACGAUGGUGCUACUACGCCUUCGGUGAGAACAACGGAUCCAGACUCAAUUCUCGCAACUCCUUUGAGUAGUAUGUCGUCUCUAUUCGUGUCAAAGUAACUUAUAUCAAAGCAAAGAGAACUGACAAAGGGGAUAAUAGGAGAGUAGACGAGGGAGAAAAGGAUCAAAAGAGUGCACAAAGGAAGAGAACAAGACAUGGUUGUAAGAAGUGUAUUCUAUAGCUGUCAGACCCCAAAAUCAACAAAAAUGGGGGAUGAUACGGCCAUCCUUCCACUCAAAGGACGCAACCUCAAAGCUCCCAAAAUCCAACCCUUAAAAGUCCUCACAUCCAUAUCACUCUCGUACCUACUCAUCGUUAAUCGAGGGACCUGAAAAACAUCGGAAAAUAGAGGGGUGAGCAAUCACGGCUCAGUGAGUAGUGCAUCUCUUCUAAGCGGAUUGAGUGCCGACUAUGUAUAUUUACAAAACAAAAUUGCAACUCUUUUAACUCAAAUCUAAGAUAUAACAAAACAUAUAGUAAAAAGAAUAAGUUACAUACGUUUCAACAUAGCUAUAUUUAUAGCAAAAAUAAUCAUUUCAUAAUAACAUCAAAAUAAACAUCAAUGGUCUAAUCCACUAAUCAAUCUCAUUAAUUCACAUGCCAAUGGUCCAUUCUAUUGGUUAAUCUCAUACCACACCAAACCCAGAAUUAUAACAAACCUUUAAGGCCAAAAUAUAACAUUUCUUUCUUUAACACAAUAUGUUCAAAGUAAAAAUAUUCAAGAUAAUAAUAGGCAAAUGCCAAUAGUCUAACCCAUUGGUCAAUCUCAUAAAAUAUGUAUCAAUGGUCUAUUCCAUUGAUUAAUUUCAUCAAACCACACAUCAAUAAUUUAAUAAAAUUACACGUAGAUGGUCCAUUCCAUUGACUAAUCUCAAGUUACACGUCGAUGGUCCAUUCCAUCGACUAAUCUCAAAUUACAAAUCGAUAGUCCAUUCCAUCGACUAAUCUCAAAUUACACGUCGAUGGUCCAUUCCAUCGACCCAACUCAUAUUACAUGUCAAUGGUCCACUCCAUUGAUGUCACGCCCCGAUCCUCGGGUACGCACACAUCCAUCUCACUUGAACGAUUUUAUAAUGCGAUAUCCCAGGACUAUAUAUCGCCGACCCUUUCUUUUAUUAAGUAUAUGCGGAAGCAGUUAUAAUCCCCAGACAGUAAAUACGAUGAGGUAGAAAAGUAAGACCAUAUUAUUCAUAUUGAAACUUAUAACCAAACUUUUAUAUAAAACAUAAACCAGAGAACUUCAUAACUAUUCACAUCAAUUGGAGUUCACAAAACGAGAUGGAUUCUCAAUCCAUCCAGGUCGUACUUAAGAUCUCUCUCGGUAUUAUCUUCUUCUUCCAAAAAUCCUCCUCCUCAGGUUUCAACUCAAAAUUCUCCUUCUCAGAUUCCUAGCUCCUCAUCGGGAUCCUGAAAUGUUUUCCCCAAACCGGGAUGAGACUACGUCUCAGCGAGUUCUACCCCACUAAGACUCAAUUAGGGAACCAAUACACUACUUGGCUGUCUAUGCACAACAUGAGUCGGAGGACUUAUCUUGGCAUCAGAUUCCACCUGCAUAUUAGCACAGUUCAAAUAGACACCCAAGCAAUCACAUCACUGAUCGAAGCAUCGAUCAAAUCGACCCAGUCGAUUACACGUCAACAAGACCACUCACUGUCAUUUCCAUUCAAUCAAGCAAUUCACAACAUCAGAUCAAAACAAUGAUCAAUCGAUCUAGUCGAUUACAUGUCAACGAUGACCCUUCCCCGGCCAAUUCAGUUCAAUCAGUCAAUCCAUGACAAACAAAUCAAAACAUAUACGUGAUUCCAUCUAUACUCGAUAAUUAAUCUCAACAUACCGAUUCAACAUUCUUACUCAUAUAAAGGCUCAAGGCGCUAGAGGUGACCCCACACAAAGUCUCGUCAUCGUGCGACACUUAGUCAUUGACCACAAAUAACAAUAGUAUAAGGCGCUAGAGGUAACUCACACGAAAUCUCGCUAUCGUAUAGUACUUAGUCCUUCACUACAAAAUGCAAUAGGGUAAGGCGCUAGAGGUGACUCACGCAAGAUCUUGCCAUCGCAUAGCACUUAGCCCUUCACCAUGCAUUGGUGACUCACGCAAGAUCUUGCCAUCGCGUAGCACUUAGCCCUUCACUAUGCAUAACAAUGCUGCAAGGCACUAGAGGUAAUUCCCAUGCGAUUCAGGUCGCCAUAUAACACUUAGCCCUACUACAAUAAGCAAUGGUAUGAGGCGCUAGAGGUAACUCACACGAAGUCUUCUACUUGUGUAGUACUUAGUCCUUUACCUGCUCAUGAUCCAUUGGUUUCCCUCAACACAACACACAUCACAUCAACUUUCAAUAAUCAUCUUGCUUCAACUAUAAGCCAACACAUGAUUAAUCUCUCACGGCCCAAUGACAUUGUGCCUCGCACUUAACUUCCUCAAUUAAAUUAAUGUCUUGGCCUCAUUUCUUCGUAUUAAAAAUACCCAAUAAAAUAUCGUGCGUGGGCACACGGCUGGCCUUAGCCAAAAUUUAAUAUUUUCCUUUCCAUAACUCCCACAUUUUCUAUAGUCCGCUCAAAUAAUUUUGGCAUUAUCAACCGAUGCCCGAUUAUUUUUGAAUUAAUAACCGAUGAUUUUUCAAUUAAAGAAUAACUCUCAUCCUUCGCAAAUAAUUCAAUUCAACACAAUAUAAAGCUCCAUUAAAAAGACAAACUUCACCACGACGAUCGCCACGAAAUUUUGGUCGUCGACUAACCCAACUUUAAUUUCCGAAAAAUAAAUAAAUAAAUAAUUAAUUUCGAAAAUUAAUAAUUAAUUACAAUAAAUCCAAUUUAGCUCAAAUUAAAGCCCAAUUAAAUAAACAGACUGCACCACGAUCAUCAGCAUAAAAAUUCGGCUACUAGCCAUCCAAGUUGAAUUUCCUGAAAAUAGAUAAUUAAAUAAUUAAUUUCGAAAAAUAAUAUUUAAAUACAAGAAAUUCAAUUUAGCUUAAAAUAAAGCCCGAUUAAAUAAACGGAUUUUGCCACGGUCAUCAGCAUAAUAUUCCGGUCAUUGGCCAUCACUAUUGAAUUUUCGAAAAAUAAAUAAUUAAUUAAUUAAUUUCGAAAAAUAAUAUUUAAAUGCCAAAAAUUCUACUUAGGCCCGAAUUAUCAAAUUGAAGCCCGAUUAGGGUCAGGAAAAAUCUCGGGCUACCUCAAUAAAUAGUAGACCACGUCUACUUGCUAAAUACACAUUCAAUUUGUCUAAUUUGUAUCACAAUUGACUAAUAAAAACUAAUCUAACAACCUAAACCUAAUUAAAUAAAACUAAACAACCAAUAAGUGUAAUUAGUCCACUAAGCAAGGAUUAGUGAGAUUACUCACCGAAAUCGCGUGCAAAUCGGAUCAAUUCGACGAGGACGGCGUGAGGAACAAUAAACCCCAAAGCACAGCUCGGGUUUGGAGCCCGGAAACGGCCCAAAAGCGGGCCUAAAGCUGCUGGAAACCCACUUCGUGGGUUGCUGUUCUUGGCUGGCCGGAGCUAGUCCGGUGGCCAAAACAGCGAGAUGGGGCCGGCGAAGGGCGAGGGGGACGCCAGGGGGCUGCGAGGUGGCCGGACGGAGGUAGGCGGUGGCCGUAGGUGGCCGGAUCGGGCGGUACAGCGGCGGAGCAGGGGUGAGGUCGCACGGGGAAGGACGCCUGGGCGGUGGCGGAGCGCGCGGCGCACGGCGGCGAGCGGUGGACGUGCGGGCGUGCUAGACGAGCGGCGAGCGAGCGGCGGUCUUCGACGAGCUGCUGCCGUCUGCUCUUCUUCAGCUUCUGGUUCUGUUCGCACGAACGCACGGAAAGGAGAAGAAGAAGAGGGGGCGAGAGAGAGAGAGAGAGAGAGAAGAUAAGGGUUGACUAGUCAAAGAAGAAAAAGAAGGAGGAAGACAGCAGGGCAUUCGGUCGGUGGGGGGAAAGAACCGCACGAGGGAAAAGAAAAAGAGAGAGAGGAGAGAGAGAGAAAGAAAAAGAAAGAAUAAAAUAAGAGGGAAAAGGGGGAAUGGUCAGCGUGCGGAGGGGGAUUUCGCACGAAGGGGAGGGGAGAGGAGAGAAGAGAGAGAAAAAGAAAGGGAGAGAAAAAAGAAAAUAAAAAGUAAUUAAAUGGUAAAAAUCCUACUAUUCAAAUUACUUCUAUCAUUUUCCCUUUCUCUUUUUAAUUUCUUCCUGUCUUCAAUUUUUCCUCCGAUAAUUUCUUUCCCAAAAUUUCGGAUUUGUCAAUAAUUUGACGGACGAUGAGACAUAAUCCUAAAAAUGAAUUGUAACACGCUCGAAUAUUCGAUUCCCGAAAUCGAAUUCAAUUUCUUGGUUAUAAUCAAUCAGACGCGAUUUUAAUCAAAUCCAACAAAUUAGGUAGCUUUUAGGGAUUCUACCGAGGAUACAUCCCUUAACGGUUUCACUCAAUAGGUUAGUUAACUCGUGAGUGAUCAGCUCAGAGAAAAAUGACCAUAGGCACGUUGACGAAAUGUUCAUUUCACUCUAUCGAAACGGGGUCGAAUUUCAGGAUGUCACAAUUGACCAAUCCAUUGUUCAAUAUCAAACCAUGAUCAUGAUACAACACCUGGUGACGAGGCGACCAAGAUUCCCCCCUUGGUAAGGUCUCCACCUAUUAUUAGCCGAUGGCUCGGCCCACAAGGAUAUCCUAGAAUAGUAUGCACAUAUCCAUAAGCCCCUUGCUGGGCUCACAGCGAUAUUGAACAUCAACAUCAAUCCAGAACAACACUAUCCGUAAUUUUUAAACCAAAUCCAUAAAACAUUUUAUAUAUCACGAAAAGAUUCCACAACUUAACUUAUCCGCCAGAAAUACUUUUCAUAAAACAUUUUCAAAUAAUUUCAAGACCCGUCUCAAUAAGUCAAUUUCAAAUCAAAUACAUUUCAAAAAGCUUAUCACAAAUCAAUAUCUAUAUAACCUUCCAUAAAUCAUCUCAAAGUCGAGCUUUUCGUGAAAUGGUUUCACAAACCCAAAACAUGUAAUAUUUCUCAACUCUGUUCAUCAAACGGAAUAUAUAUUCAUAAAAAGUUCUCACACUAUUUUCAAAUAUCAAAACUUAGUAAAUGCCCGAUCCAACUUUUAUGCAAUAAAUAUGCUCAUUUAUAACUCAUAAAAAUAUCAAAUAUUUAUCAUUUUGAAGACAUGAGCUUAUAAAUUCUUAGAAGAGAUAGCACCACUCACUUGGAAAAGUCGAAAAUCAACUACGACGCUCACUCGAACCAACGCACUCGAAUCCCUAACAAUUAACGGAAAAACAAUAUCAAAAGGCCGAGUAAAAAGGAUAUUCGCAUAACGACUCAUCUAUACUAGGCCUAUUUGUUGAUAAAACGACACAUAUGCGCCAUGAAAGCUCGCAUUUAUCGAAAACCCAUCGUUUUCCCGCUAGGCGCAGCCCAUGCGCCAACUUUGUCGCGCCAUAACUUUCUCCACAAAAUUCCGUUUCAAGCCAUCUUACAGUCUUUAGAAAGCUCUCUUAACGUACAAUAACAACCCCAACUCGGCCACCCCAAAACAGUACCGAAAAAAAAAAAAAAAUCUUGAAGCUACUGUUCGCUAGAGUACCAGAAUGCGCCCCAAACUUCAAAAUUCAGUUCCAGACAAACCGCAAGCUCAAAUCACGAUCCAUAAGAUGCUAUAGCUUCACAACAUCCCAAAGUACCAUUUCUACAAAAAAUAUGCAGCUCAACGACUUAAAAAUCAUACUUCGCCGCUCGAUUUUCCCAAAAUUCCGAAUUUCAAGCCCUAGGUCCAAAAUUACUCCGAUUGAAUGAAGGGGGAGCACGUGUGCUUACCGAGCAUUGCGUUACAUAGUUAACGUGGCUUGGCGAGGCUCCCAUGACGAGAACGUGUGAAGGCCCUUUUUUCUUUUCUCUUCUUCUUCUUCUUCUUUUUUCUCUCAGCCGUCCUUUCUCUCCCCUUCUUUCCUUCUCUCUUUCCCUUUUAUCUCCUCCUUUUUCUUUUCUUUUUUCCCUUUUUUUUUUUUUUGUCUUUUCUUCCUCUCUCUCUCUCUCUCUCUUCUCUUUUCCCUCUCCCAAAAACUCUCGAUUCCUCUCUCUCUGCUGAAGCUUUUACCUUUUUCUUUUCUUUUCUUUUUUUUGACUGGGUCAAAACCCAUAUUUUACAAUAGCUGUUAAAGAUGAGGUUUGCACCAUUCAACUGGUUUGGGAUGGUGUUCUUUAUAGUGAACCACGCAUUCCUAAAAAUAAAUUUUGACUUAUUCAACAGCUUCUUUGCAGUGUGUGCUGAAGUGGUUGGACAAGGGACACUUUUACCCAUUCAAGAGCUUCUCCAGUGAGGCCCGUGUUUUGGAUUUUUCCAAGAAUCCUUUUCUCACUUGCCUGCUCUUUUUCCAUGAACACCGUUCACAUCACUGAGUCACCGCCACUGCCUCAUCAUCAAUAAACUAUUUUGAUCCAAAUACCCCCAACAACUUCAGAAAUUUCCUUCUUUUUUUUGACUGGGUCAAAACUCAUAUCUUACAAUAGCUGUUAGAGAUGAGGUUUUCACCAUUCAACUGAUUUGGGAUGGUGUUCUUUAUAGUGAACCAUACAUUCCUAAAAAAAAUUUUUGACCCAUUCAACAGCUUCUUUGCAGUGUAUGUUGAAGUGGUUGGACAAGGGACACUUUUACCCAUUCAAGAGCUUCUCCAGUGAGGCCCGUCUUUUGGAUUUUUUUCCAAGAAUCCUUUUCUCACUUGCCUGGUCUUUUUCCAAGGACACAUCUACAUCACUGAGUCGCCGCCACUACCUCGUCGUCAAUAAACUAUUUUGAUCCAAAUACCCCCAACAACUUCAGGAAUUUCCAAGCUGCCAGUUCCCCUAUAUCAACAGAAGACUCUUGAAUUUUCCUCAUGGCUGCCGCUUCCGGCUGGCACGAAAUGAAGCAGCCUAGUCACCAAUUACCGCCCAAGAUGAAGACCAGAGAUGACUGUAGAAGGUGCGAACGAAUAGAGAGAGAGAAAAAAAAAGCCGAUGGUUUUCUCUGUUUGACCGCCCAAAGCCACAUCACUUUUCUCUACACCACUUUAGCGACAUCACCGGUGAAGUGCAGAAACCAGCUAAGAACGUCCCUCUCAAUUCGCUCCAUUUCACGCGCAAAUCAAUAGCAGUUCAAGCUGCUCACUUCACCAAGCGACGUCCCUUCACUCAGCCAGCCACCACUAGCCUCUCCUCCGUCCCGCCAAGUCACCAUCGCAAUCUAUGAGAAUUUGAGGCCACCAGAUAUCCUCCAUUCUAUUCUAUAUUGAUCGUUCGUUGUGCAACGAGAAUAGUUUCCUAGAAAAUUCAUGAACGUCAUUUAGAUUUUCGUUUAAAUGAAAGUUUCGAUCACCUUACCUAGAUACAUCAUCAAGUUCGAAGUAGUCAAACUUGUAGUUGGGUCGUAGGAUCAUGAUCGGUCAAUAUUUAGCACGUGUUAGGGCUAAGGUAGGUGAAAUUCUGAAUUAAUCCGUGCUGGGGCUGAGGCAGGUUCAGUUCUAGCCCAAACCUGAAGUUGCUAAUUUUGUACCGACUUAUGUGGUGCAAAUUUCAUGAGCCGUUCUCACAAAGUCAUCUCUUAUUAGUUGUUCUACAACAUACUUUAAUUUCAGAAUUUUGGGACUUCAUACGACAAAAUUAUAUUUGAAAAACUUCAGGAUUCGCAAUUUGUUUUUGGACUUACUGCACGGAUCUCUCCUUGUUUCCCAUUUUCCGCAGAUUUUUGGGUCCAGAAUUCCAUGAAAGUUGUAGAGUACAUCCUAGGCUUUUUCGAUUCCAAGAUGAUUAUUGUCAAGGGAUUUAUUUUCGUUUCCGCAUGUGCAAUAAAAUGAAAGGUCGGUGACUUGUCCUGGGAAGUCACAUAAUUUGUAUCGACCAGAGAGGGAUGGGCACGCGCUCGAGGAUCGGGGCAUGACAAGUAUCAAAGGCAUUCCUAUUCUUUUUCUACUCCAGGAAUAGAUAUUUUAUGUAGUUAGCAAACGCGUUCGAAUGCUCAAAAACUUGUUUAGGGAACGAAAUCAGAAAUAAUUUUUUCUGAGUAGAAAUUAUUCAUGAGAAUAAAAUGGUUAUAAAUACUUCAUUAAUAAAUUGGCCUUGACUUUGCUUUUUGCUCUUUCCAUUUUUACCAUACGGGCCCUCGAAUUAAGGGAUAUGAGUGUUUUCUUUUCUCUUCUUUUUUUCAUGGGUUCUUCGAAUUGAUAGUGGCAAUGUACCUAAGAUAUCGAGAUAGACAGAUCUGAAGAUUGAACUCAUAUAGAGUUAAACAAGCAGCAACAUCGUUGUUCCCCCAUUCACAUCGCCCGUGGGGAAUUUUUUUUUUCAAAAAAGUCUUAAAAUCCAUUACACAUUGACAAUUUAGCCUAAACCUUUUAAUCGUGUUAAUUGAGUUAUAAAUUUUUUCAUGUUUUUCCAAUUAAGUCCAUUAAAACAAUUUUGACCGGAAACCGCUUACAUGAACUCUGGCCGCCCUACGUGGUGCGACCGAUCUUGACAUAGACAAUUUAGAAUAAUAUUUUAAUAUUUUUUUUCUUUUAUUUUUCCUUUCAUUUUUCCCCCUUCCCUUCUUCCUCCUCUAGCUGAUCGUCGAGCCUUGACAACCAACUAGAGGCGAGGGCUGGAGAGGUCAACCUCGGGCAAAGCUCGGCCCCACCGACCACUAGCAAGGGUGACCAUGCUUGAGGCCUGACGACUGGUUAGAGAAAGAAGAAGAGAAGGAAAAAAAGAGAAAGAAAAGGAAAAAUAAAAUAAAAAUCGAAAAAACAUAAAAUAUUAUCGAAAAUGUCCACGUUAACACAACCGCACCACGUAGGACAAUUGGCUUCCACAUUAAUAGUUUCUGACAAAAAUUGGUCGGAGGGACUUAAUUAGCAAAUAUAAAAAAGUUUAUGAUUGAAAGGUAUACGAUUGUAUUGACAAAAGUGUAAUAGGUUUAAGUUUUUGUGGACAAUUUAAAAAUGUGAUAGACAAAUAAUGUUAUUGGUCCUUAUGUCUUCAUGACAAAAUAUCUUCUCAAUUACCACUUUAAAAUGCCAGGACCCUUACAAGGAAAUUCGAGGUCAGUCAUCCUCUCAAGAUCGUGACAUAUGAAACCGGCGAAAAAAAUUCUUUUUCCAGUUUGGGAUAGGCCGUGAAGGGCGUGAAAGGAACUGUCUGAAUGAGAAAUCCCGACUAGACCAACUAUAUAUUUCACUAAGAUAGGAACUGCGCCUCAAUGAUGCCGCAUCAUUUACACGCACUUAUGGGCAGUGACAAUGGUCGUGGUCUUUUGAAAAUCCUAAGCGAGUUGUAAUUUGCCAACGAAACAGUGCAGUGAAAGCUGCAAACUUUGUCCAGACAGCACAUAGAAACCAAGUAAACCGACGUACGGUACGGAAUCUUCGGGUUCUGAUCUCCUUUUCCCCGUUCUUUGCUAUUGCAUCAUCCCUGCAGUAUUCCAAACCCAUGAAUGGCAUGGAUUCUUCUGCCCGAAGGGAAGUAGAUUUCUCAACCCCAUUCUCUUUCACCAUCAAACGAUUUAGUGCCCCAACAUUACGACAUCCACACCCUCUUGAUGAGGAAAAAGCACUAAAACAUAGCGACAUAGAUACUGGCUGUACAAAAUUUCAGAGCUGAAGGAGUGGAAGAUCACAAUCAAGUGGCACAGGCUGAUACAUUAAAUUUACGAGCGAGCUCAGGUCCAUUCCGACCAUACAUAGUCAUCGGCUAAACUUAGGGUCUAUAUCAGAAGCAAGAUUAGAUACACCAGGCAUACCAUGCUAUAGCCUCUACCACCUGGACUAGCAAAGCUGGGCCUCAGACAAGAUGUGGCUCGUGAGACAAGACAUUAACUUCUUUCUGUCCAGGAAGCAAUGGUAAAGAAGUUCCUAUAAAAAUGGGAAGCAUCCUAGCUUCCAAGUAGACUGAAAUUGUUCAUUACCUGAGCAGCAGGGUUAAUUUAAUAUAGCAAUACAUAAUUCAGUUCUCACUCCCCUAACAAUAUUUGCAACAAAUUCCUCCAGAUAGAAGAGAAUGAAAACAUUAACUUUAAAAUACCAUAAAUUCUUCAAUACGCCCAAAGAAGAAAAAGUCCAGACCUGACAGCAGUGCUUGUUGGCCAACUAGGGCUGUGCUGGGGUUGAUAACUCCUUGCAUAUUUCGUUUUAGUCUGCUCUGGGUGCUGCACAUUCAACACGAAGGAUGAGGUAACCAUAGCCACGUACGUUGAGCUUAUUGAUGGCCCUCUCGGCAUCCUCUUUGUUUACAAAGUUGAUAAAACUCAGACAACAAUGUCUUGUCAGCUGCAUUGAGGACAUUUCUGCAAGAUAAAGCUGCCAAACUCACUCUGUAGCUGAUCUAUGAGUAGGCUUCCCAUCUCUGAUAUACUGCGGAGCCAUAUAGUUGUAAGUCCUCACCAAAGCCAUCUUACUAGUCUUCCAAAGUGGGUCGACAAGCUUAACUACAAUAUCACUGAGCUUAGUCCGGUUAUUGUAUCCAGUAGCAUAUUUACCAAUUUUAUUACUCUAGGAAGAAUAUGAUAGGAAAGAGAAGCACCUUUGUUGUCUGGAGAAACCGGCUUGUUGUCAAAUGACUAGAACACACUACAGUUCCCGCCAAUAGAAUUUUAGGUGAUGAAAAGAUUAGUUGCUUUGGCACAAUGUAAUCCAGCAUGCAACUGGCAUAAACAGUGGAGGAAAGUGAAUAGAUAUUGAUCCCGAUGAGCCGCUUGGCCGAAGGGUCAUACUGGGGAUUUGGAGAGGUGUUGAACUUGACUGGUGCGAUUUGGUUUUGCGGUGCAUUGUGGGGGCACGCUAGUAUGUGACAAUCGUAGAAAUCCGCAGGCAGAGUUGGCUGGGAUUGUGAAGCCGACAGGAGCAAGGAAAAACAAAGCCAUUGCUAUAGGUGGUGGAAUUCAUAGCAAUAGUGAAAGAGAAAUGCAUCGACAUGUCAUCAAGUAGAGCAUGCCAUAUGUACAUAGGCUUGGAGUAUUGAAGGCAACCUAUCUAUAAAAACAUGCAUUCAAUCCUAGUUAAAUCGAUGGAACCAUAUAAAAUCCUGGCAUCACCUUGAAAGGUUAUGUCAUUCAAAUCAGGCAAAAAGCAAGUAAUAUUGAAGGAAAGUGGCGUGGCGUAAGGGAUAACUAUGUAGCAAAGAAUAGAAUAGAUAAGCGAUUGAAAGGAUAGAGAAUGAAGACCAGAAGUCACCAAGGUGCGAGGUUAACAUGGUUAAGGGCUUCAGUUAAGGCCUGUAAGGAGGAAAAUUUUUGCAGUUAACAGGAGUUUCAAUGCAUUAUAUAGUCCACAAUGGUCUGACUCCGUCGAUAAAUGUAGUGAAACGAUGACCAAGAGCGCUGUUCUUGGCUGUCAAGGUCAUAUUUAGAUGAAUCCUAGCAGGUUUAAACAAGUUUUAAGUGACUUCGCACUACACGAGUUCACUGGUCCAAACCUUUGGUUUGAAUAUUACUUAAGAUAUAGCAUACCUCAGCAUUAUAAUCUCAUAAUUAAGAUCAUGAACCUUGCUGUUAAUGAUGGUCUUGAAUAUAAUUAAUUAUUGUGCUUAUACAAUAUUACAUGUCUAUCGAACAGCAUGCUUACUCUUUGCAAUUUUGUACAAGUUCAGAAACGAGGAUGCUUUGUUGGGUAGGCGACACAACAUCAAGUGUCAUCGCGAUCUAUCUACAACAUGGUAGAAAGCGGGUGCAAGAUGCUUGAUUACUUGGCGUUUUCGGUUUCUACAUUGACUAGUCUUCUUUAUAGUUGCAUAUGUUUCAUGUAGAAGCAACUUCAAACGUCAGACGUACAAGUAAAGGUCCAGCCUGCCUCAUCCACCUCACUCCUUUUUAAUUAUUCUCUUUCAAUUGUCAUUGAAGUGCCCUGCCGCUUGACAAAGAUGAUAGACUUCAGCUUUUUCUCUAGCUAAAUUCAUCAAGCAGGAGAUCUAUACAUAUAUAUCUGUACUAAAUUUGUAUGUACCAAUGUUAGCGUAUUUAAAUAACCUAGCUACAUGUGCAUUAGAUGGUAGCACAUAAUUAGCCAUAUGGAUUAACCAAAUGUGUCAAAGUUGCUGUUCUGCCUCAAUAUUGAAGGACACUUUGUUGGAAUUGUCUUAGUGAUGCUGUUUUCGGUCGUGUUUCCUCUGUUUUUUUUUUUUUUUUUAAACAGUCAAGUUCAUUUAGUUAUGCAGUUAGUGUUUUUGCUAUUUUCUAGGAAGUUAAUAGCACGUUUGUGUGCAGUUUUGUGUUGCACAUAUGUGGGUAGUUUCUGCUUUGUAUUUAGUUGUGGUACUUGAUAGUUUUUCCUUCGCACAAGACGUAUGAAGUGCUAUGCUCUGUUUUUUUUUUUUUUUUAAUCAUUUCUCUCCCUCAAACAACAGAGAUAUUUUCUAUUUUGAUUGUUGUUUAUGAGUUUUAACAUUGGUAUCAGAGCAUUUGUGGGAUCAUAAGGGACUGUGAAGUGAGGGUAAGUGAGUGAAGUUUGCUUCCAAUAUGCAAAGAAAAAGCUAAUGGAGGCAGGAUCAAGUGGAUUCUCUACAAUGGUUGCUCUAGUCUUUAUUGGGGAAAAUUAUCAAGCUUGGGCUAUCAAAAUGACAGCAUUUUUGUAGGGUCAUGAUCUAUGGGAGGCUGUGGAGAAUGAUUAUGAGGUUACUCCACUUCUAAAUAAUCCAACCUUGAAUAAGAUAAAGUACCAUAAGGAGAGAAUCACAAGGAAGGCCAAGGCAAAGUCUUGCCUGUAUGCUGCUGUCUCACCCCUUAUUUUCACAAGGAUCAUGAGAUGUGAUUCUGCAAAGGCAAUAUGAGAUUUCUUGAAGGAUGAAUACGAGGGAGAUGAGAAGAUAAGAGGCAUGAAGGUGCUGAAUCUCUUGAGGGAGUUUGAGAGACAGUAGAUGAAGGAUUUGGAGUCAGUGAAAGAAUACUCUAAUAGGCUGGUUGAGAUAGCUGAAAAAAUCAGAGUUUUAGGACUGACUUGAAGGAUGAAAGGCUUGUUCAGAAGAUCCUAGUGUCUCUUCUAGAGAAGUUCAAAGCCACCAUAGCUUCUCUAGAAAAUAUAAGAGACUUAGCUGAUAUAAAGUUUGCAGAAUUGCUAAAUGCUCUGUAGGCAUAGGAGCACAGAAGACUGAUGAGAAGAGAAGAGCAUGUAGAGGGUGCACUGCAAGCUAGUGAAGUCCAAUGAUGGAGGCAAAUGGAAGAAAUUGAUUCAGUUCGGAGGAAAUGCUGGUGAUUCCAAGUUUGUAGCAAAAGAAGGAAAUUCUUGUGAGUUUAGCAAAUGGAAGAAGAACAAAAAGUCUUAUCAAUACUAUGGUGGAGCUAAUCAUCAAUUUUUUAGAUGUUGGAGAAAGCCUGAUGCUAGGUGCAGAAGAUGUCACAAGUUGGGUCACAAGGAAGCCAUCUGCAAAAAGAAAAAUUACCAGCAAGCAGGAGAAGCACAUGGCGACCCCGGCCGACCCUCCCCCCUCCAUUGCCGGCCCUUCCCAGCGAGGGCUCGUGGGCCCUCACUGCCGGUCGGUCAAAGGCCGGCGAUCUCAGCCGACCUUCCCCCCUUCAUCACCAGCCCUUCCCAGCAAUAGCGGGGAGGCGCCGAGGGCUCGCGGGCCCUCACCGCCGGUCGGUCGGGGGCCGGCGACCCCAACCGACCCUCCCUCCACCGUCAUCGGCCCUUCCCAGCGACAGCAGGGAGGCGAUGGCGACGCUGCUACCUCCUCUCCCCACCUUUUUAAAUAUAUAUAUAUAUAUAUUAUUAAAAUAAUAAUAAUUUAUUUUUAUAAUUUAAUUAAAUUAAUUUUUAUAUGAACAUUUGAAUCCACUUAAAAACAAGGUCGUUUUUUGCUUUGUUUGUUGAGUCAACAUUCCGGCGAGCCACAUAGACGAAAAAAAUAAUAAAAAAUUGCCACGUAGGAUUUCCGGUGAGAUUCGCUGGAGAUGGCACUUAUAUUCCUUUUUUUUUUUUUAAAGUGGCACUUAAGUAUCACUUUCCUAACUUUUGGCACUUUAAGUGUCAUUCUGUGCCAAGUUUUGGCACUUGGGCUAUACUUCUUCCCAUUAAAUUGUGGAGCGAGCUCAGGUCCAUUCCGACCGUACAUAGCCAUUGGCUAAGCUUAGGGUCUAUAUCAGAAGCAAGAUUAGAUACACUAGGCAUACCAUGCUAUAACCUCCACAGCCUCAACUAGCAAAGCUUAUGACCCAAAAAAAGAAGAAGAAGCAAAGCUGGACCUCAGACAAGAUAUGGGUCGUGAGACAAGACACUUACUUCUUUCUGUCCAGGAAGCAAUGGUAAGGAAGUUCCUAUAAAAAUGGGAAGCGUCCCAACUUUGAAGCAGACUGAAAUUGUUCAUUACCUGAGCGGCAGGGUUAAUUUAAUAUUGCAAUACAACAUUCAGUUCUCACUCCCCUAACAAUAUUUGCAACAAGUUCCUCCAGAGAGAAGAGAAUGAAAACAUUAACUUUAAAAUAGCAUUAAUUCGUCAAUACGCCCAAAGAAGAAAAAGUCCAGACCUGACAGCAGUGCUUAUUGGCCAACCAGGGCUGCGCUGGGGUUGAUAACACCUUGCAGAUUUCGUUUUAGUUUGCUCUGGGCGCUGCCCAUUCAACACGAAGGAUGAGGUAAUCAUAGCCAUGUCCGUCGAGCUUAUUGAUGACCCUCUCGGCAUCCUCUUUGUUUACAAAGUUGAUAAAACUCACACAACAAUGUCUUGUCAGUUGCGUUGAGGACAUUUCUGCAAGAUAAAGCUGCCAAACUCACCUGUACAAAUGAACUUGAGAUUCACCGCCCUGAGGGGUCCCCCUACGACAGGUGAUUUCCAGAAUCAUAACCCUGUAGCUGAUCUAUGAGUAGCCUUCCCAUCUCUGAUAUACUGCGGAGCCAUAUAGUUGAAAGUCCCUAUCAAAGCCAUCUUACUAGUCCUCCAAGGUGGGUCGACAAGCUUAACUACUCCAAAAUCACUGAGCUUAGUCCGGUAAGUGUAUCCAGUAGUUUAUUUGCUGAUUUUAUUACUCUACGAAGAGCGCACUUGAUAGGAAAGAUAAGCACCUUUGUUGUCUGGAGAAACUGGCUUGUUGUCAAAAGACCAGAACACACUACGGUUCUCGCUAAUAGAAUUGUUGGUGACCAAAAGAUUAGUUGCUUUGGCACAAUGUGAUGCAGCAUGCAAGCCGUUUGGCCGAAGGGUCAUACUGGGGAUUCGGAUAGGUGUUGAACGUGACCGGUACGAUUUGGUUUUGCGUGCAUUGUGGGCCACGCUAGUAUGUAACAAUCCUAGAAAUCCGUCGUAAUUGGGUUUCCUUGCUCCUGUCGGCUUCACGAGAUCUAUUAUAUAACUCAAGAUGCCAACUACCACAUUGAUCUCGUAAAGUACAUCCCUGAAUCCGUCGUAAUUGGGUUUUCAGCUUCUUAUCACGUCCAUCAGCAAGCAUACAGCAUCAAUUCGUGGGAUCAGACUUGAAUGUUGUACGUCGGCAAUCGGCUAAUGCAACCCUCUCUCAAUCAAACUGCACAAUUUGCAGGUUGCCCAUACUUUGUGACAGAUCUUGCAGCAUAUCUCUUGCUAUCCACGGUUGCAACCACAUUUGCUCAUGGAGAAGAGGAAAAUGUAUAAUUCUCGAGCAAAAGCAGGGCACUGCCAUUGACGUUGAUAGAGAGAUAAGGAGCCUUUGCAAUGAGGUUCUCUUAUCAAGAGUCGUUUGCCACUACUGAUGGCUUUGCUAAUGAUCGGAGUCUUGACCAAGGAGCAUCUGGCCAAGUUACAAAGGAAAGCUGUGCCCUAUAGAUCUUCAAGUAGCUGUCAAGAGAAUCUUCGCAAAAUCCAGACAUUCCAAGAAGGUGUUCAUUGAUGAAGUGAAGAUUAUCAGCCGUAUGAUACAUCGAAACCUGGUGCAAUUUAUUGGAUGGUAUCAAGAGAAACGUGAAUUUUUGCUCAUAGAGGAUGAGUAUAUGCGUAACAGUAGACUUGAAAAUCAUAUCUUUGGGGCUCAAAAAAGUCUUCCAUGGAAUGCACGGUACAACAUAGCUCUAGGCUUGGCAUCGGCCCUUAAUUACUUUUAUCAAACCUACAGCAGCGUCUACUUCACAUUGACAUAAUAUCAGCUCAUGCACCAUUGGACACAAAAUUUCAGGACAAAGCUUGGUGAUUUUGGAGUGGCUACAGCAGAUAGAGGACUCGAACCACAAAUGGUUAUCUGGCACUAGAAUAUGUGGAAGAUAGGAAGGCUAGGAAAGAGUCUUGACAUGUACAACUUGGUGGUUAUGAUAUUAAUGAUCGCUUGCGGGAGGACUUAUCAGGACGUGGAACACCAUUUUCCACUAGCUAAGUGGGUCCGGCGGCUUUACCUGUCAGAUGGCAUCCUUGCCGCAGCUGAUGAGCCGCUGGGGUCUUGUUCUGAUUAGAAGCUAAUGGGACGCUUCAUGAUGGCAGGAUCUUGUUUCGAUCGGUAGCAAAUGUAAUGCUUAAUGAUGGUGGGUUUAUGGCGUGCGCAUCCAGAUCCUAAGGCGAGAACUAAAGUAGGAGAAGCGACGAGGUUUCUUCAGAAGUCCCAGCACUGGAGCUACCAUGCAACGCCGACGAAGAACCCAGUUUGUAUCACCAUCUGGGGCAGACUACUCUGUCCUGGAGUCCCUCAGUCCAUUUUCAGCAAGAUAUACCUUGGCUUAUUGAACCAUGCAGAUACAUGGUUUCUUGUGGGACAGAAUCGUAGUAUGUAAAUUUGGGCCGAGUUCCAAAUUGGCAAUAUGAAAAAGACUUCCGUGCAAAUGAAAAGGAUUUCCAAGUAAAUUACAAAUUCUGCAUCAAAGAUUUCUAUCGUGCACGCACGCACGCACACUCUCUCUAAAGUGUCGAUCAAGUUCAUCAUCCUGUGAACUGUUUCUUCUUCUAUGGUAGUGCAAGCAUCAGACAACAAGAAACCAAAGCCCCUUCGCAGGAUUCUGAUGAUGCUAAUACACAUGACCUACCAACUAAGCAUAGAAGGAUCACAAGACUUACCUGAUUUUCAGAAAAAUCGUUCCGGAUUUGAUGGAAGUACUGAGAUUAGUACAUCCAGGCCAUCUGACGAGGAAAAAGAGCUAAAACAUGGCGACAUAGAUAAUGGCUGUACAAAAUUCAGAGCUGCAAAGGCAACAAUGAUCAGAGCGGAAGUCACACUUAAAACGGAAGUGUUGAUACAUUACAGUGUCAACCGAGCUGAGGUCCAUCCAUUUCAACUAACAGUCAUCAGCUAAGCUGAGGAUCUAAAUCCACAAUAAGCAAACUGAAUUUAAGAAGCAAAAUUAGACAAGCCAUGCAUGCCAUGCUAUAAACUCUACCCACUCAACUAGCAAAGCCGGAGCUCAGACAAGACUAUUACAUCAUGUCCAAAGCCAUAUGCCUCAUGAGACGACAUUCACUUCUUGUUGUCCAGGAAGCAAUGCUCAAAAAGUUCCCGAGAAAAUGGAAAAUGUCCUAACUUUGAAUGAGAAUAAAAUUGAUAUUACCUAAGCAGCAGGGUUACUUUCAUAUUGCAAUACAAAAUUGAGUUCUAACUCCCCUAACAAUAUUUGCAACAAAUUCCUCAAGAGAGAAGAGAAUGGAAACAUUAACUUUAAAAUACCAUAAAUUCUUCAAUACACCCAAAGAAGAAAAGGUCCAGACCCACCAUCGGCAGUGCUGGUGGGCCAACUAGGGCUGUGCUGGGGUUGAUAACACCUUACAUAUUUCGUUUUAGUUGGCUCUGGGUGUCGCCCAUUCAACACGAAGGAUGAGGUUAUAAUAGCCAUAUCCAUUGAGCUUAUUGAUCGCCCUCUCAGCAUCCUCCUUGUUUACAAAGUUGACAAAGCCGAAACCUCUGCUCAAACCCGUCUUCUGGUCAAUCGCAACAUACACAUGACUAACUGGGCCAAACGUGCAGAACAGUUCAAGCAGAUCGGGCUCCCGAGUGUCCUCUGACAAAUUAGUUACGCGGACAGAAUUCUCUUCAUUCCUACACCUCAUCUCUGUCCCCAUCCGCUCUGCCCCAGCUCUCAUGCUCGGGGGCACAUAAGCUCCCUUAGUGCUUGUUGGCUCUGCUACCGCUGGCUUAUCAACAAAGGUCUCAACUGGUUGAGCAAGGUCCUUAUAUGGACAUCUUGAUGUCCAGGGAUCUCCCUUCUUACCACAAGUCCUGCAAACCAUGAGAACAGCACCUCCUUUCCCAAGCUGAGCCAAGUUAUCCCGAGCUACCUUUGUUUCUUCAGAUUUAGUACCUGUCAUCAAGAUCUCCCUCUAUGAGGCAAAAAAUUGACCAACGUUGGACCUAUAAAGAUUCCUUCAAGAAACCAUUUCACGCGAGAUUGUCAAUUCACUCCCACUUAAAGCUUUAUCGAACUGAGAGAUUGCAUCAGCAGGUAAAGUGUCAUGUAGAUAUGUCUUUACAAUGAAAUACAAAUGCAAUUUAUUCAAAUUUUCCACAUUGCUUUCUCCAGCAGCCGAUUGAGAGAUCAGCUGGUCAGGGAGAGAUCUAUUUCAAUCCAGAUAGAAAAUCAACUAAUCAAGAUAUAAUUGGACAGAUUCAGGAAGACAAACUAUUAGAUUUCUUCUACAAGAACAAUUGAAUGACUGUAAAACAGACGUCCAUAGAAGAAAAUUAGGGAGUUCAUAUGCUGCCGGUGCCUGGACUGCGGCUCCACCCCGGUCCCCUACCCGCUGAGCACUUCCCCCCGUGCGGCGACCAGUCGUACAAGGUCCGGUGCGACGCCGGCAGGACCCUCUUCUUCGACACCCUCAACAACUCGUACCCGAUCACCUCUGUCGACCCGGAGAGCCAGCGGCUCGUGAUCAAGCCCGCAAGCCUGCUCGCCAACGCCUGCGUCACGUCCGACCUCGUCCACCAGGGCGUCCAGCGCAACUCCUCCUUGCCCUUCAACGUCACCGGCAACAACACCAUCCUCUACCUCAACUGCAUCCCCACGCUGCUCAACUCGCCGCUGAACUGCUCGUCGGCGAGCCUCUGCCACGCCUACAUGAACGGCACGGCCGGCGCGGCGGCGUGCGCAGCCGCAGCGAUCUUCUGCACUUCCGGGCAGGCGGGUCGACGACGUCCUACUCUAUCCGGGUCAGGGACGCGGGCUGCCGGGCGUACACGGGCUUCAUCAACCUGGACCCGAGCGAGCCCGUGAGCCUCUGGCCCAAGCUCGGGAUGAAGAUCCAGUGGGUGCUGACCGGGAGCCCGUCUCCGAGGCCCAGUCGGACUGCGACGGGAAUGCCACGUGCCGGGCCGACCCAGCGUGGGGCGGGGUCAGCAGGUGCUUCUGCCAGCCCGGGCUCACGUGGGACCUCACUCUAGGAGUCUGUGUAGAGAGUAAGUUUUUUAAAGUGUUUUUUGGGCACUUUUAUUCUUCCAUAUAUUUUUAUUUUUAAAGUGUUUUUUAAAUCUUAUGUACAUUUAUAUUUAUUUAUUUUUAAUAAUAUUAUGUUGCUUCUUGGAAACCCUAACUGGUAAUCAAUUAUUAUUUGAUUGCUCCAUCCAAAAAAUAGGUAAGCAGUGGAUUUUCUUGUCUUUUGGUGCAGACGUGACAUGUCAAGAUCCGGAUGAUUAUGGAACGGAUAUAACUACUUUCAUAACAAGUACCUACUCCCUAUUCUAAUUAUAACAUUUUGAUAUAUUUUUUUCCCUGGUGUGUUCCACAUCAUUAUAAUGUCAUUUUAAUGAAGAGCAUAAUUUUUCAGUUUGAAAAAUUCAGUUUUACUUUACAAAUCAUAAGUUGAUUUCAAAAUUUAAAAGGAUGGCUCUGAUUCCACUGAAUUUAGGCUAAGGAAAUCAUGCUCGAUGAAACCAAGAUAGCUCAAUUUAACAAGAUUAUUCAAGAAUAGAAUGUUUGGACACUUCAUGUAUAAUUUGUUGAUCGUCAAAAUUUGCAUCUAGCUGAAUUCCCUUCACAGUAGGUCUUAUAUUGUGUGAAGAUGACAAUUACAGUUUGAGCUACGCAAAAGCAUCUUGUUUUGCUGUCUUAUGAGAUCAAAUGCAGUCCUCAAUUCACUGUCUGACAACUUUGAAAUCGUUGCAGGUUUAACGUCUGGGAUAGGUGUGGCCCUUCUUGCAGCCAUCGCUGCUCUGUUGCUACAUAGGCGUCACCGGCGCAUUCAAGAAGCUCGAGAACGCCUCACCAGUGAGCGUGGGGAUAUCCUUAAUGCCAGGGGCGGCAGAGCAGCCAAAUUGUUCAUUGGGAAAGAAAUAAAAAAGGCAACGGCCAACUUUUCUAAGGACCAGCUUCUUGGUGCUGGCGGAUAUGGCGAAGUCUAUCGAGGCAUCCUAGACGAUGGCACUGUUGUUGCCAUCAAGUGUGCGAAACUCGGGAACACCAAAGGAACUAAUCAGGUCCUGAACGAAGUUUGAAUCCUGUGCCAAGUCAAUCACCGAAGUCUCGUUCGUUUACUCGGGUGUUGCGUCGAGCUUGAGCAGCCGCUCUUGGUUUAUGAGUACAUCGAGAAUGGUACUCUACUGGAUCAUCUCCGUGGUGAAGGACAGGGUAAAUUGCCCUGGACUCGUCGCCUCCAGAUUGCACAUGACACGGCCGAGGGCCUUGCUUACCUUCAUUUCUCAGCAAUUCCUCCGAUAUAUCACCGAGAUGUCAAGUCUAGCAACAUAUUGCUGGAUGAGAAGUUGAAGGCCAAAGUCUCCGAUUUUGGGUUAUCUCGGUUGGCUCACACUGAUAUGAGCCACAUAUCGACGUGUGCUCAAGGUACACUCGGAUAUCUUGACCCCGAGUACUAUCGCAACUACCAGUUGACUGAUAAGAGCGACGUAUAUAGCUUCGGAGUAGUGCUGUUGGAGCUCUUGACAUCUCAAAAGGCAAUAGACUUCAAUCGAGCAACGGAUGAUGUGAAUCUGGCGGUCUAUGUGCAGAGGAUGGUGGAGGAGGAGAGGAUAAUGGAUGUUGUGGAUCCGAUGCUAAAGGAAAAGGCGAGCACCGCCAACGUGGAGACCAUGAAGGCGCUUGGGUUUCUUGCCGUGGGAUGCUUGGAGGAACGGAGGCAGAACCGUCCUUCCAUGAAAGAAGUUGCCGAAGAAAUUGAGUAUAUCAUGAGUGUUGCAACGGCCGAAGUAGUAGAGAGUUAAUUCUGCAGAACCAGGUAACACAGUCGAAUAGUCAUGGGUAGUUUAUUUUUAUUGAUCAUGCGUGGUUGUUGUACUUGUCUCUAAGCACAAAGAUGGAGCCUUUCACAAUCCUGAAGUUUAUGUCUCUCAUGUAAUACAGAACCUCUUCAGAAGGCAGUUUUUUACCGUAGGUUUACUGCUUGUUCUUGAAUUUAGCACUAGCGGUACCUUUUUGGACAGAAUGCACAAAAGUAUAUUUUGUAGCGAACAAACUUUAGCCUUUAACUAAAUGCAUUUGGGUCAAACCUCACUAUCUGGAACAUAAAGUGCCUAACUUUUAAGUUCUUCUGGCUACUUGACUCGGUCAUAACUGAUGCCUCAUAAACUGACCAAGAUAGAAUUCAAUCAGCGUUGGAUACAUCCUUACAUGCUAAAACAUCCGUCCAUGCUAAUACAGAUUCGAGUGCGGGGCGCCUUUCCACUUUCCUGCUUUUCCUUUUUUCUGAUUGUUUAGCUUGCAAUUACGGAUCGUGCAACUCGUCUUCCAGUUAGCUUUUCCGACCGUGUUUUCAUGACCAAAAUACUUGAAUGAGAUAAUAAGUGUAAAAGAUCUUAAGAAUCCGCGCGUAGAUUAUUUGAACUGAUCUAACAACUGGCAAGAAAAAUGUUGCAGCCAGAUCUUUGCUAAUGUCAAGCAAGUUCUAUUUCGUUCCAUAAUCUGGCAAGAGCUCGCAUGGAGAGAAAACAUGGUAAUCUAACAGUAAAAGACGAGUCGAAGCUUACUCGUCCUUGCAAUAUCAAUCUAGUCAUAGAUUCUUGCUAGAACUGACUCCCCUUAAAUUAACUGAUCUCAGGAAGCAGAACAAAGGUUAUAUUUCGAUGGUGCUGACUUACUUGUUGAAACCUCUUCGGCGGACCAUUAUUUCCCGUAAAAUGCUGAAGCUAUGGCGGGACUGGAAAGAUUUGGCCGAGUAUGGCAUUUUUCUCUUUCGGAGAGGAAAGUUUAUAAUUAGCGACAAGUUCCGCAUACAAAGCAUUUAAAGGUAAUCGAAACAAGAACUUUGUAGGUAACAUUAACCAAGUUAUGCAGCAACGCUAAUUUCCAGAAUAGCCUGUUCUACUUAGUGUUAAGAGAUAGAUAGUCUUAACAAUGACUAGUCAGAGAACCUUCAAUCUGUCACCAGUAUGGUGUUUUUCCCUUAGUUUAGCUCUAAAUUGCAGGCACACUUCUAGUGCUCUUGUUUCACUACCAUCCUAUGUGCAUAAAUUAAAUAAUUUUUUUGUUGGAAAGUUUCUACCUAUUAUAACCACCCAAUCUUAUGACUAAAUUAGCCCCUGUAAAGGCUCAAGGCAUCUCCAAAUUGUAACUGAAAUAGAGUCAAAGCGCGUACUUCUUUGGCAUGAUUCCUUGAAAAAUCAGGUUAUGCAAUACAAGCUUUUGUAGAAGUGGGCAUCUUUAACGGUACCGAUGUCUCUGUGACAUCUACAUCAAUCAAAUGAUCAGGAGCUAGACAAUAUAUUACAGCAAAGAAAAGGUCGAUUGAGCAUAACUAAUCCGUCACAACAUUUGUUUCAUUUUCCCAAAAGUCAACAUGUGCUGCUGGCUUUAGGAGCCAUGAUCUAUCUAGCUGAAAAUAAACUGAUUUCUUGCAUAGAAGAGGAAGACUCUAUUCUUAGUGCCGAUGGCUGAUAUGAAGGGGAGGCCUCACAGGUGUCACGUGGUAACUCAGGCACCGGGACUUCUAGCUGAAGAAAUCUUAUAACGUGUCCCGCUUUUGGCCUCAUCUUGGGAUCUGGAUGCACACACCAUAGUCCCACCAUCAUCAAGCAUUCCAUUUCCUUCCUAUCGAAACUCGAACCAAAUGUUUCGUCCACUGCUUCAAGAAUGUUUCCCGCAAGGUAAAGCUGCCAAACCCACUUGUGCAGCGGAAUGUGAAAUUCUCCUUCCUGAUAGGUCCUCCUACCGCAUGCGAUUUCUAGAGCCACAACCCCGAAACUGAACAUGUCGGAUUCUUUAGUAGCCUUACCUUCACUCAAAUAUUCUGGCGCCAGGUAACCAUAUGUCCCUACCACGUUCGUCGUUCGUGUCCUGAACUGAGGGUCAACGAGCUUAGCCACACCAAAGUCUCCGAGCUUUGUGUUGAAGUUCGUGUCGAGUAAUAUAUUAGCAGCUUUUACAUCUCUGUGGAGAACGCAUUGCUCUAGAUCUUCAUGAAGAUAGUUAAGGGCUAAUGCUAGCCCUAAAGCUAUCUUGUACCUCACAUCCCAUGGCAAACUUUUUCGUGUUCCAAAGAGAUGAUUAUCAAGGCUACCAUUAGGCAUAUAUUCAUAGACAAGCAAAAACUCACCUUCUUCUUGGCACCAUCCAAUGAAUUGCACCAGAUUUCGGUGUAUCAUGCGGCUUAGUAUCUUCACUUCGUUGGUGAAGAGCUUCUCUGAAUGUCUGGACUCUGCAAAGAUUCUUUUGACGGCGACUUGGCGAUCUAAACGGUUCAAAAAUCCUUUGUAAACUUGGCUGGAUCCUCCUUGGCCCAGUCUUCGAUCAUUUGCAAAGUCAUUUGUCGUAACAAGCAACUCUUGAUAAGAGAAUUUCAGUGGCAAUGCUACUAUCUCUUUGUCAGUGUGAGUCAGAGACUGAAACUCAAAUUUUUUCCUCAUCUUGAUCAUAAAUAAGCAAGAACCUGCUAAAAUGACCAGCAACAGACAUGCUACGGGAAAAGUGAUGAAUGUUACAAUCCUAUACAUCUUACUUACCCCCUUUUUUGACAUAUCCACCUCUACCCCGUUUUUUGACAGAUCGGCGGACCGGUGAGGCACAAUGUCCGGGCUUGAGUUGAAUUCCCAUGAAUUGAUGCUGUGUUUCUCUGAAUAUUGGGCAGUAGAAGCUGAAAAUCCAAUAAUUACUGAUUCAGGAAGAAUUUCAGCAAGAUCAACUAGGCAAGAAAUCGAGGAAUCUUUGUUAUAUGGAGAAACCGGCUUGUCAUCAGAUGACCAGAAUACACUAAGAUUCUUGCUAGUAGAAUCAUAGGUCACCAUAACAUUAGUUGCCUUGCUGCUGUGUGAUAAAAAAUCCCAUCUCGCAUAUUGACAUGGCGGGACUGAUUUUAUGUCGAUUGCUAUGUGCUCCGUUGAAAUAUCAUUUGGUAUGUUAGGGAUAUAUGAAGUAUCGAACUCAAUGACCACAAUUUGGUACUGAGGCCCACCAUGAUAUGUGGUAGAAUUGAAGAGUCCUAGGUAUCCACCAGCGGAGUUGGGUGGGAUUGAGAAGUCAAUAGGAGCAAGAAAAAAGCCAAUGCCAUCACCAUGUAGAGGGUAGUUCAUAGUAUCGAUGGUGAAAGAGAAACGAGUAGAGAAGUCUGCAUGUUUCCCCGUAGCAGAAUCCCAUAAACCUAGGGGUUCGGCAUACCGCAUGUGGCCAACUUCUAAUGAUGGCGCUGGGUCACCUUCGGUGAGAACAACAGAUCCAGACACAAUCGUCGCAACUCCUUCGAGUAGUAUGUCGCCUCCAUUCGUGUCAAAGCUACUUAUAUUGAAGGAAAGAGAACUGACAAAAAGGAUAACAGGAGAGUAGACGAGAGAGAAAAGAAUCAAGAGAGUGCACAAAGGAAGAGAACAAGACAUGGUUGAAGGAGAAGUGUACUCUACAGCUGUUAAAGAUGAGGUUUGCACCAUUCAACUAGUUUGGGAUGGUGUGCUUUAUAGUGAACCACGCAUUCCCAAAACCAAAAUUUGAUCCGUUCAACAACUUCUGUACAGUCUUUGCUGAAAUGGUUGGACAAUGGUAGGGGUGUGCAUGGUCCGGGUGGGUGGUUCCCAACAUUGAAUUGAGAACAGCCCGCUAAGAACUGAUUCCGAAAAAUUGCAACCACCCGCUAGUUGCAUGGAUUCACCCGAGAACUGGACUACCGGUCUGGUUCCUGGGUGGAUCCAUAGAACCGGUCCAACCUCCAUGCCUUUCCUUUUUCACCUUCCCCACAUUUACCUAUUCUAGCUCUCUUGACCAUGGUAGCUUUAUUCUCCUCAAGUAUUAGCGCUGCGGUGGCGGCAGUUGCGACCUCGUGCCGCUUUCGUCCCAACCACCACCACCAUCUUCACCACCGCCUCUACCAUCUCCUACUCCUCCCUUGAGACUGAAUGAGGAGGACAAUGGGGACGAUGAGCCACUCUUAGACUUGGAGUUCGCCCUUGUCCCCGAAAAUGAGGAUGAUGGGGGGAGGCCUAAGGAGGGAGAGGAGGAAGAGGGGAGGUAGAAGCGGGACGAGCCCAACAACGAAGAGGACGAUAGUGAUAGUGAAUGCGGAGGUAGCGAUGAGGAUGGCGACGAAGUGGAGAGAGAGUUCAAGUUCGAGGGGGGAAAGAGAAUCAACUCACUGUUUCAUUGAGUUCGGACCAGGACUCGAAGGGAUAUGAGUAAAUCAGAAGGUGAAUUGGAGAGGAAAAGGCCGGUUGGGGAGAUUUUGAACUAAGAGAGAUAAGAUGGAGUAAGAGAGUAGUGAAUUAAGACAAGAUGGUGAUUGGAGUCCUAAAUUUUAGAUUUGCUAAUUUUAUUUUUUAAUAUUAAAAAUUAAUAUAUUAUUAUAAUAUAACCGGUCUGGUCUGGUUGGGCGGAUCCGCCCAUGGAAUCGAGAGCUAGAUCAGUUUCCAUAAAUUGGAACUAGGAGCCAGACCGAUUCCCUUAAGAACCACCGGUUCUAAGCGGUUCCGGUCCGGUUUCAGGCGGUUCGGGCAGAUUCUGAUUCUUUUGCAUAUCUCUAGACAAUGGACAUUUUUACUAGAAAUAUAUCUACUUGAUCUUUCUUGUACCUUAAAUAACCUGGCUUUUCUAAGUGGCUCCUCCUAAAAGUCACUCCUCCAUGUGGUCCCCCAUCUUCAGUGUUAGUGUCGAUAAUAAAUCACUCCAUUCAUGGUGGGGCCCAUGUUUCGGACUUUUUCAGGAUUUCAUUUUCUCACACGCCUGCUCUUUUUCAUGAACACCGUUCACAUCUUUUGUUCUCGCUCCUUGCUAAGUUCACCCAUUGCACGGAAUCUCUUUGCCUACUCCUACUGACCCGGAAAGUCCAAAUCGGCACGAAAGCAAGAAUGAAAAUUGACUGCAUCGUCUCUCAUAUCACAAUCCACCAAAAACUAUAGACAAUCCACCAAAAACUAUAGAGGCUCCAUCUUUGCAAUGCUGCGAGAGAAGCGAAGCCCUUAAUUUGUGAAUCGAUUCCCAAGAAGACAAAGAAGGAGCUGUGUAAAUGGCAAGGGGAAUUCAAAUACGUGUGCCCAAACAGGGUGCCGAUUUUUCCCAAAUUGCUUUUGCUACUUGAGAAAGUCCACAUUGACAACAAUUGAUCCGAUAUGAUGACUAAGACAUUACCUGUGAUGAAGCUUGACUCUUGUAGAAGAAAAGCGGGCAUGAUAGAUCUUUCUACAUAAGGCGGAUGGUGUGCUUUUGUUGGCUGGUCCACCUCAUUUGUGGAGUCUAGCCAUAUACAUAUAUAUAUAUGUAAAUAAAUAAUAAAAAAAGAAAAGUCAAAAAGUCAAAAAAGAAGAAAAGUGGGGUUGUUGCUUCGUACAAGACCUGAGGAGAGAGAAGAAGAGAGUGCCCCACCGAGGGAGUUAGCCAAGGGCGUGGAGAAGAAGAGAAGAAAAAGGGGCACAACUUUAGGCUCCGAUUUGAACGCGAAACGUUGACUAAAUUGACUCAAAUUUGAGUACGUUGUUCAAAUUUGAAAAAUGAUUCUUCAGUGAGAACAAUUGAUCCAGACACAAUUUUUGCAACUCCUUCGAGUAUUAUGUCACCUUCAUUUGUGUCAAAGCCACUUAUAUUGAAGGAAAGAGAACUGACAAAAAGGAUAACAAGAGAGUAGACGAGGGAGAAAAGAAUCAAGAGAGUGCACAAAGGAAGAGAACAAGACAUGGUUGAAGGAGAAGUGUAUUCUACAGCUGUUAAAGAUGAGAUUUGCACCAUUCAACUAGUUUGGGAUGGUGUGCUUAUAGUGAACCAUGCAUUCCCAAAACCAAAAUUUGACCCGUUCAACAGCUUCUUUGCAGUCUUGUUGAAAUGGUUGGACAAGGGACAUUCUUACUAGAAAAAUAUCUACUCGAUCUUUCUCGUAACUUGAAUAACCUCACUUUUCUAAGUGGCUCCUCCUGAAAAGUCACUCCUCCGUGUGGUCCCCCAUCUUCAGUGUUAGUGUCGAUAAUAAAUCACUUCAUUCAUAAAUCACUCAAUUCAUGGUGAGGCCCAUGUUUUGGAUUUUUUCCAGGAAUCCUUCUCUCACACGCCUGCUCUUUUUCCAUGAACACUGUUCACAUCUUCUAUUCUUGCUCCUUGUUAAGUUCACCCAUCACACGGAAUCUCUUUGCCUACUGACUCGGAAAGUCCAAAUUGGCACGAAAGCAGGAACGAAAAUUGACUGCGUCGUCUCUCAUAUCACAAUCCGCCAAAAACUACAUAGGAUCCAUCUUUGCAACGCGGCGAGAGAAGCGAAGCCCUUAAAUUGUGAAUCGAUUCCGAAGAAGACGAAGAAUGAGCUGUGUAAAUGGCGAGGGAACUUUAAAUGCAUGUGCCUAAACAGGGUGCCGAUUUUUCCCAAAUUGCUUUUGUGCAAAGGUCCUUUUUAUAAGGAAAAGAAAGAAUUAUUCGAUGUGUAUUUUCUGUCACGCAGCUGAAGAGGAAGUUGAUCCAACACUUGAAAGCUCCACAAGCUUUGAAGCUUAGGUUGUUAAAGUGGCUAUGGCAGUUUUUGUCGAGGACGUGAACAUGAAGGCGAUGGGUGUUUAUGGAAAAGAGCAUGUGAUUGAAAAAGGAAUUUUUGAAAAAUCUAAAACGUGGACUGCAUUGAUUAACGAACGGAAUUGAUUAUUGCUAACUUGGUAAGACAGGUCACCCAAUAUUUUUUUCCAUGUUUAUCUAGAAAUGUUCUACGAGAAGACCGUGUGUACACAUUUUUAAGUGCUUUAUGGUUUAGUUAUGGAAUCCGGAGGAAAAUUGUGUUGUCAAACAUCAUUUGAUUUGUAUCUUAAAUGUCGACAUAUGUAGCGAGACGAGUGUGAUUAUUUAUUAUAAAAAUAAAGCUGCAUAAGAUUUUCAUGCGACACAAAUGCUCCAUGUCAUUUGAAUGAUAGAUUUUAAAAAAAAAUUGUGACUGUUUAUUAAUCGCUUGGAAGUUUACGACACUAAAAUGAAGUUAUGGCACUUAAGUGUCCCGGCGUGCCAAGUUAUGGCACUCCAGGUGUCCCGCACUCCAUAAAAAUCCGUUAUGGCUAGAAAUUUUUCCUCGCGCUGGUUGGCUUCGUAAUCCUGCCCAACUCCGGUCAUGCCUACUUAGGACUGUUCGGCGAAAGCACCGUUGAUCACGGCGCAAAGAACCAAAAUCUCAAUUUGUGCGAACCAAUAUCUCACUUUCCUCGCUAGUACAUGGCAGCUGGGGAUCCUGAGUUAUAUAGUGGAAAGCAAUUAAUGUCUUGGUGACCUACAAUUCGGGCUACCAGGAACCCUUGAAGCUCACUUGCCGCUUUCCUGCCUCAUUGAUCUCAUGAAGUGUACGUCCCUAUAAAAUGUCGUUUUCAGCUUCUUUUGACGUCCUUUAGCAAGACACAGCGGCAUUAAUUCGUGGAAAUUUCCUUCAAACAACAAACCUCUCUCAAUUGAAUAGGUUGACUAUACUUUGUAACGGUUCUUGCUACACAUCUCUUGCUAUCAAUGGCUGUGAAAUCGCCUAGCAGCACGUGUUGAUUGGAGCCCAUACCGAAGAAUAUUCAAAAUUUUAUGGCAUACCCUCUCUCUCUCCUCUCUUUCUCUCUUAAAGAUGAAGUUCACACCAUUCAACUGGUUUGGGAUGGUGUGCUUUAUAGUGAACCAGGCAUUCCUAAAAAUAAAUUUUGAUCCUUUCAACAGCUUCUUUAAGUAUCUGCCGAAGCGGUUGGACAAGGGACACUCUUACUACAAAAAUAUCCACGUGGUCUUUCUCGUACCUUAAAUAACCUCACUUUCCUAAUUGGCUCCUCCUGAAAAGUCACUUCUCCGCGUGGUCCCCCAUCUUUAGUGUCAGUGUCGGUAAUAAAUUACUUCAUUCAUGGAUCAGACGUGUCCAGUGAGGCCCAUGUUUUAGAUUUUUCUAGGAAUCCUUUUCUCACUCACUUGCUCUUUUUCCAUGAACACCGUUCACAUCUCCUAUUCUUGCUCCUAGUUAAGUUCACCCAUCGCAUCGAAUCUUUUUGCCUACCGACCCGGAAAAUACAAAUCAGCAUGAAAACAAGAACAAAAAUUGACUGCCGUCGUCUCUCAAAUCAUAAUCUGCGAAAAACUACAAAGGCUCCAUCUUUGCAACAUGAUGAGACAAGCGAAGCCCUUAACUUGUGAACUGAUUCUGAAAUGAAGAAGAUGAAGGAACUGUGUAAAUGGCAAGGGAAAUUCAAAUGCAGUGAGGUGUGUGCCCAAACAGAGUACUGAUUUUUCCCCAAUUGCUUUUGUGUAAAGGUCAUUUUUCUAAGGAAAAGAAAGAAUUUAUUCGAUUAUUUUCUGUCAUGCAGCUGAAGAGGAAGUUGAUCCAGCACUGGAAAGCUCCACAAGCUUUGAAGCUUGGUUGUUGGAGUGGCUAUAUCAGUUUUUGUCGAGGGUGUGAAGAUGAAGGUGAUGGAUGUUUAUGAAAUAGAGCAGGCGAUUGAAAAAGGAAUUUCUGAAAAAUCUAAAACGUGGACCCCGUUGACAACGAAUGGAAUGGUUUAUUACUACCUUGGCAAGACAGGCCUCAUUCAAUAUUUUCUCCAUCUCCAUCUAGAAAUGUUGAAUGAGAAAAUCACGUGUACACAUUUUCAAGUGCUUUAUAAAACAAUUAUGGAGCAAAUUGAACCUAAUAUCUCAAUCUGGAGGAAAAUUGUGUUGUCAAACGUCAUUUGAUUUGUAUCUUAAAUGUCAACAUCUAUAGCGAGAUGAGUCGGAUUAUUUAUUCUAAAUAUAAAGCCGCAUAGGAUUUUCACAUGACACAAAUGGUCAAUGUCAUUUGAAUGAUUGAUUUUCUUUAAUAUGAUGGUAGUUUAUUAAUCACUUGGAAGAUUAUGACACUAAAAUGAGUGCCAUGAAAAAAUUUAUGACACUGUUAGAAGAAUCUCUCAACCUGAUUCUCUUUUACCCAUCGAAGAGUUAGUCCCAUGAAAAUCCGCGAUGGCUAUGCAUUUUUCCUCGUGCCAGUUGGGUUCGUAAUCCCACCCAACUCCGAUCAGGCCUACUUAGGAUUUUUCAACGAAAGCACCGUGGCUCAUGGAAAAAUUAACCAAAAUCUUUAUUUGUCGAGUUUGGCAAGUUUGGAGAUAGUGAAGUUAGCCCUUUAUACACGCACAUUGGGAUCAAUAUCUCCUUUAUACACGCACAUUGGGAUCAAUAUCUCCUUUAUACACGCACAUUGGGAUCAAUAUCUCAAGUUCGGCUUCGCCAGUGCCUUGGCCACUACCGGGUCAUCCCAAAAGACAAGCUACCUUGCCUCUAAGCAUUCCCUUCAAAUUGAAAUCGUGGGGCUAGGAUAUUUGGGAAACAAAUUAAACACAAUUUCUCAAUUUGGGGUAAGAACUUUGGGUGUUGGGUUUGGUUUAUGAAGCAAAUAGAACAUUUCUCAAUUUGUGUUGCCAAACAACAUCAUAUGAUUUGUAACUUGAAUGUUAACAUCUCUAGUAAUUUCUUCUAAAAUAAUGUAACAUAGAAUUUCUCAACAGCACAAGUAGCCAAUGUCACUUGAAUGGUCAAUAUUUAAAGAGUUAUGAUACUUAAUUGAUCGUUUAAAAAGUCACAACGCCAAGGUGAAUACUAUUUAUAAAAAAAUGCUAUAGCACCAUCAACGACAAUUUCCACCAAUUAUGGGAAGGAAGGUGCAUUAGAUGAUGGACCUGACCAUUGUUUUUGUCGGUGUUGGAAACAAAUUCCUAAAAAUUGAACUGAUACUCGAACGUUCAAAUAUCGAAAACAAACUUGAAACGUACCUAAAAACAUUUAGCACCAAUCGGAAGCAUAUCACGGAGAUAGACAUACAUUGAUUGCCACAGAUUAAGUACCAUCGCAGUUUUAGAGAAAUCCUUUGAAGCCCUGGAGUUUCGUUUGUCGAGAGGGAGUGUACUGCUUCAAGGGGGGAAAUAUGGAGAAGUGUAUUUCUCUGUGAAACCGUUACUGCUAAGAUACUUCCCCCUUAUUUAUUUACAUAUUGUAGUAAUUGCAUUCUUUUAUGGGCCUUUCACUUACAAGCCAGAUUUUGGCUCAACACGAGCGGACGGGCUUAAGUUAGCCCAUCAAAUAAAAAAUCAUCAUCUCAUACUCGCACAUGGUGGGCUGAAAAGAACUCUUUCUUUACCUCUUUGCAACAACAUGCUCUCGAUAAAGAGCCCUAGGUGUAAGAUUUUGUGAACCACUGCCAACUGUUCUAAAAGUUUAAGCUAUUAUACAAAGUCAUAGUUUAAUAUUUAAUUACUCUAACACCCCCCUCACGCAUAAGCUGAACUUUGGCCUAAGCCUAAAUGUGGAAAUAUAUAAUUAGGGUAAAUAGGGGCUUGGAAAUACUUGAAAUUAAGACCUCUCACUUUGAUAUCAUGUAAGAUUUUGUGGGAUCACUACCAAUUGUUCUAAAAGUUUAAGUUGUUAGAUUUUGUGGAUGCAAAAAUUUCUACAAAAGUUGGGCUUAAAGCCAAAAAAAAAGUUUGUACUAAUAGCAUGAGUGCUAUCUAUCUUAAUAAAAAUUUGGUAUUACAUUCAAAAUCGAAGCAUGUUGAUGUGAAAUACCAUUGGAUCCGAGAGAAGUUAGAAGAAAAGCUUUUGCUACUUGAAAAAAUCCACACCGACAACAAUAAAUCCGAUAUAAUGACCAAGGCAUUACCUGUAAUGAAGCUUGACUCUUGUAGAAGAAUAAGCGGGCAUGAUAGAUCUUCCUACAUAAGGCAGAUGGUGUGCUUUUGUUGGCUGGGUCCACCUCAUUUCUGGAGUCCAGCCAAUAUGUAAAUAAAUUAAUAAAUAAAUAAAUAAAUAAAAGUCAAAAAAGAAAAAAAGAACAAAAGUGGGGUUGUUGCUUCGUACAAGACCUGAGGAGAGAGAAGAAGAGAGUGCCCCACCAAGGGAGCUAGCCAAGAGCGUGGAAAAGAAGAGAAGAAAAAGGGGCACAACUUUGAGGCUUUGAUUUGAAGGCCAAACGUUGACGGAAUUGGCUCAAAUUUGAGUAUGUUGUUCAUGAGACCGAGGGCUAUGAGUUGAUCGGUUUCGUUCAAGGAUCCCCUAAGAAAUAUAGUUAGGUUAGUUAGAAAUGUUAUUGUCUUGGCAUCAUUGAAUGUCUCUAUGCUCUGAACUAAAUUUCUAGGUAAUUUGCUGCCAAAAGACUAUCCCUAAAAGGCUUGAACAAAGGUUCACUCAUUGUAGGAAUGCAUACCUGUAGUAACUUACUUAGCUUUCCUUGGUUCUAAGCAAAGGUCCCAUCAUUGGUAUUCUCUAAAUUCUCCAAUUGUGGUUAGGGUUUUCUUUUUUCAAAUUUGUUUAUCCACUUAUGUGGUGAGAAAAUAUGGUUAUAAUAUUGAUAUUGAGCCUUUAGUGUGUGCUAGAGAAAAAUACUUUGUGUAUCAUACUAUUCUUGAUAAUUAGUUAAAGUUUUUGGGCGGUUCGUGAUUUUUCCCACAUUGACUUUUCCAUGUUAAAUUCUUGGUGUCGUUAUUUGCUUUAUCUACUUAUCAUUUCGCAUAUUGUGAGACUAUAUAUUGCUAGUUGUUGCUAGGGGUUAAUAGAAUUUCGGUUGAUUUGGUUUUUGGGGAGAAAUUGAUCUUAGAUUGAGUUUAGUUUUGUGAUGAAUUGUAUCCUCGGAUUCUCCCCAACAGCUUUAUAAUGAACCGGAUAUAUAUAAAAGUAGAUUUUGACCUGUUGAAUAUGCCUAGGUCAACAACUUCUCCGCAGUAUUUGCUAAAGUUGUUGGACAAGGACAUUCUUACUAAAAAAACAUAUCAACUCGAUCUGAUCGUUCUUUGGCGCUUUCCCACAACAGUGACCGCAAAUAGAAUGUCCCUCCUUCGCAUGGUACCCAUCUUCAGCUGGAAAGGUUGAAGGAUUGAACCACGUCUACACAUUUUUCAACUGCUUUAGGGGUCUGGUUAUGGAGCAAAAUGACCCAAUUUCUCAAUUUGGGGCAAAAUUGUGUUGCCGAAUAAUGUCAUUUGAUUUUUACCUUAGAUGUUGAUGUCUCUAGCAAGAUGAUGUUGACAUCUCUAGCAAGACCGAUCAGCACCUAUUAACUCGUUUGAUUUCCACCUUAGAUGUUGACAUCCCUAGCAAGACGCAUCGGUACCGCCAUUUACAUGUUUCCUCAAUUCUUUUAAUGGACUUAACUAUUGUUGUCAAUGUAAUAAGAGGUUCUUGGAAAGACCUCAAUAGGCACAGCCCAAAAGGCACGUUUAAGCUAUAAGGUCAAAGUGGAAUGCCAUGAAUCUAACACUAUACACAGAUAUUUAUAAAAGCAAAUUUUGACCCGUUGAACAUGCCUUGGUCAACAGCUGCUUUGCAAUUUCUACUGAAGUUGUUGGACAAGCACAUUCUUACUAAAAACAAAUAAGCUAGGUCGUUUUGAUCUUUCUUUGACGCUUUCCUAAGACAGUGGCUGCAAAUAGAAUGUCCCUCCUCUGCACGGUACCCAUCUUCAAUUGGAAAGGUUGAAGGAUUGAACCACGUGUACACUUUUUUCAACUGCUUUAAGGUCUAAUUAUGGAGCAAAAUGAGCCCAAUUUCUCAAUUUGGGGCAAGAUUGUAUUGCCGAUUUGAUAUCCACCUUGGAUGUUGACAUUUCUAGCAAGACGCAUCGGUACCGCUAUUGACUCAUUUGAUUUCUAUCUUGGAUGUUGACAUCUCUAGCAAGACGCAUUGGUACCGCCAUUGACAUUUUUCCUCAAUUCUUUAAAUGGACUUAACUAUCAUUGUCAAUGUAAUAACAGGUUCUUGGAAAGACCACCAUAGACACAACCCAAAAGGCAGGUUUAAGUUAUAAGGUCAAAGUGCUGUUACUUCUUGCGUGUUCUUUGAAAGCACUUUCGCACACCAUCUUUUUUGGACUUCCGGAAAGAUUGAGAUAUUCCUCUUUUUAGUGCUCGUGUUUGUCAAAUCGAUUUACUAAAUAACCUGACUCAGUGUAAUGAUCUUUGAAUAAGCAAAUCAUAUUCAAGAAUCCAGAUUAAGGAAUAAAUCUGCUGCCCCAGUUAUCAUGGGCAGCCUUGACUUAUGCUCUAGCAUUUCUCUUUCGUUUUUUAACUGCGCAGUUCCCCGAAUUGAGGGAUCCGAGUGUUUUCUUUUCUUUUCAUGGGUAUCCUGAAUUUGGAGAUCAAUUGAUGAUGGCUAUACACCUUAAGAUUUCGAGAUAGAAAGAUAUCGGUUGAAAUCGUAGAGUUAAAUAAGCACCACCAUCGUCCAUCCCCAUUUACGUCUCAUUGAUAGCUUGCUGCUCACGGUCGGUGUCCUAUCACCAUCGAUCAAUCUCGGUCACAUUCAGACUGACCCCCAGUCACGGCGAAGGUACCUUGAUUACUGCCAUACAAUUUUUUAAGUUACAGAUCAUGCUGUUCGUCCAUGUGUCUUUAAUAUAAAAUAUCUUCUCAAAAAAUAGCACAUCGAAUGCUUGGACUAGUAUAAAGAAAUUAGAGGUCAGUCAUCCCCUCACAAUCUUUUACAAAUGAAACUGGCUAAAGAGUUCCUGUUGUUUUCCUUUUUUGAAAAAAACAGAGAACACGUAGACAGCAAAAACAGAAAAAAGGAGUUUACAGCAGAAGCAGAGAACAAGUUUUCAGCAGAAGCAGAGCAUCGUGUUCAGAAAAACUAAAAAAAUAUGUUCAAAAUACAUACUAGAACGUAACCACAAACCCACGUUGCCAACUAACGACUUGCUUGAUCCACAAAAUCAGCAACAAAUCAGAAUAUCUAAGAUACGUGCAGCUAACUGCUCCUAGGAGAUAAGAUUGACUAACCAACUCCUAAAAAACAGGACACCAACAAACUGACUAAACAAAACAAAAAAGAGAAAAACAGCACGUGCAGUCUUGAUAUAUCAACAGUUCCUUUCAUUUUUCCAGUUCGGAAUAGGCUGUGAAGGGCAGGGUACCUCAAAGAACCGUCUCAAUGAGAUACCACAGCUAGACCGAGAACAUAUAGGAGCUGAAUCUCAAAUGAUGCUCUUUAUCAUUUAUAUGCACUUGCUGGCUAUGACAAUGGUAAUGGUCUUUUCAAAAUCCUAGGCAAGUUGUAAUUUGCCAAUGGAACAGUUCAGUUCAAGCUGCAAACUUUGUAUAGGCACCACUUACAAACCAAGUAAAACGAUGGACACUACGGGAUCUUUGGGCACUGGUCUCCAUUGGUUUCUUUUCCCCAUUAUUUGCUACUGCUUUAUCGUUAGACCCCUCCACUUCAAUAUACCUGGCUUCGAUAGCGAUGUCAAGGACAAACUCUUUGGAGGGCAUGCCCGGAUCCAAUAGAGAGCCUCGUCAAUCUCACUGUAACUGACGGUCACAUAACUAGUAGUGUAGGUCGCCUCCAAUAUUCCAAACCAGGGUAUAUUUGCGAUUCUUCUAUAGGAAGGGAAGUGGAUUUCUCGACGUGAUUCUCUUUCACUGUCGAAAGAUUUAGUCCCACGAAAAUUCAGGAUGGCUUGGCAUUUUUCCUCACUCCAGUGGGCUUCACAAGCCCACGCAACUCCGGUCAUGCCCACUAAGGAUUGUUCCACGAGACCAUGGUGGAUGAUGGCACAAAGAACCGAAUGCCAUUUGUCGAGUUUGACGUGCUUGGAGAUACAGAAGUCGAGCCUUUGUACCUGAACAUUGACAGCAACAACUCACUUUCCUCGCCGGCAUCUUGAGUUAUAUAAUAGAAAGCAGUUAAUAUAUUGGUGACCUACAAUUCCACUACCGGGAGCCUCAGCACGUUUUGGUCGUUCGAUGACAACACAGCUUUGGUCGACUAUAAAAACAACUUUUUGCUUUCGUGCCUCAUUGAUCUCGUAAAGUACAUCCCUGAAUCCAUCGUAAUUGGGAUUUCAGCUUCUUAUGACGUCCAUCAGCAAGCAUACAGCAUCAAUUCGUGGGAUCAGACUUGAAUGUUGUAGUCGGCAAUCGGCUAAUGCAACCCUCUCUCAGUCAAACUGCACAAUUUGCAGGUUGCCCAUACUUUGUGACAGAUCUUGCAGCAUAUCUCUUGCUAUCAAUGGUUACAACUGCAUUUGCUCGUGGAGAAGAGGAAAAUGAAUAAUUCUCGAGCAAAAGCAGGGCAAUGCCAUUGACGUUCAUAGAGAGAUAAGGAGCCUUUGCAAUGAAGUUCUCUUAUCAGGAGUCGUUUGCCGCUAGUGGUGGCUUUGCUAAUGAUCAGAGUCUUGACCAAGGAGCAUCUGGCCAAGUUACAAAGGAAAGCUGUGCCGUAUAGAUCUUCAAGUAGCUGUCAAGAGAAUCUUCGCAAAAUCCAGACAUUCCAAGAAGGUGCUCAUUAAUGAAGUGAAGAUUAUCAGCCGCAUGAUACAUCGAAACCGGGUGCAAUUUAUCGGAUGGUGUCAAGAGAAACGUGAAUUUUUGCUUGUAUAGGAUGAUUAUAUGCGUAACGGUAGACUUGAAAAUCAUCUCUUUGGGGCUCGAAAAAGUCUUCCAUGGAAUGUGUGGUACAACAUAGCUCUAGGCUUGGCAUCGGCCCUUAAGUACUUUUAUCAAACCUACAGAGCAUCUACUUCACAUUGACAUAAUAUCAGCUCAUGCACCAUUGGACAGAAAAUUUCAGGACCAAGCUUGGUCAUUUCGGAGUGGCUACUGCAGAUAGAGGACUCGAACCACAAAUGGUUAUCUGGCACUAGAAUAUGUGGAAGAUAGGAAGGCUAGGAAAGAGUGACAUGUUUAACUUGGUGGUUGUGAUAUUAAAGAUCGCUUGCGAGAGGACUUAUCAGGACGUGGAAUACCAUUUUCCACUAGCUAAGUGGGUCCGGUGGCUUUACCUGUCCGACGUCAUCCUUGACACAGCUGCUGAGUUGCUGGGGACUUGUUCUGGGGUCUUGUUCUGAUUAGAAGCUAACGGGACGCUUCAUGAUGGCAGGAUCUUGUUUUGAUUAGUAGCAAAUGUAACGCUUGAUGAUGGUGGGUUUAUGGUGUGCGCAUCCAGAUCCUAAGGCGAGACCUAAAGUAGGAGAAGCGACGAGGUUUCUUUAGAAGUCCCAGUACUGGAGCUACCAUGCAACGCCCGCGAAGAACCCAGUUUGUAUCACCAUCUGGGGCAGACUACUCUGUCCCGGCGUCCCUCAGUCCGAUUUCAGCAAGAUAUACCUUGGCUUAUUGAACCAAUGCAGAUACAAGGUUCCUUGUAAGACAGAAACCAGAGUAUGUAAAUUUGGGCCGAGUUCCAAAUUGGCAAUAUGAAAAAGACUUCCGUGUAAAUGAAAAGGAUUUCCAAGUAAAUUACAAAUUCUGCAUCAAAUAUUUCUGUUGUUUGACUUUCUCUACAGGCACUCUCUCUCUCUCUAAAGUGUAGAUCAAGUUCAUCAUCCUGUGAACUGUUUCUUCUUCUAUGGUAGCGCAAGCAUCCAACAACAAGAAACCAAAGCUCCUUCACGGGAUUCUGUUGACGCUAAUACACAUGACCUACCAACUGGGCAUAGAAGGAUCACAAGACUAACCUGAUUUUCAGAAAAAUCGUUCCAGAUUUGAUGGAAGCACUGAGAUUAUUACAUCCAGGCCACUUGACAAGGAAAAAGAGCUAAAACAUGGCAACAUACAUAAUGGCUGUACAAAAUUCAGAGCCGUAAAGGUAACAAUGAUCAGAGCGGGAAAUCACACUUAAAACGGAAGUGUUGAUACAUUACAUCGUCAACCGAGCUGAGGUCCAUCCAUUCCGACUAUACACAGUAGGGGUGAGCGCGGUUCCCGGGUAGAACCGGGAACCGGAGAACCGAACCGGAGGUUCCGGUUCGGUUCCCGGUUCUUAAAGGACCGGUUCCGGUUCCCGGUUCCUUUUUUCCGGGAACCGGCAAUCCCAGUUCCGGUUCUGGUUCCAAUCGGAACCGGAACCUGUGCGGAACCGGAACUAGAACCUGUGAGGAAUCGGUUGCAGAACCGGUUAGGGCUCCAAAAGGAGCCCCCCUCCCCCGCUCGCGCCCCCUUUUGUCGCCCCCCUAUUCAGAUUUCUGAUUUCAGACCUAGAACUCACACCGCCGCACGCCGCUCGCCCUCAAGGCCGCCGCCGCCGGACGCCGCUGGACGCCGGACGCCGCUGGACGCCAGUUGCCGACGUCGCUCGCGCGAACCCUCGCCACUCGAUGCUCAUCGCUGCCGUGCUCUGCCUCUACCAGUUGCCGACGCCGCUCUGAGUCUCACCACCCCGCUUGCCCUCAAGGCCGCCGACCGCCGGACGCCGCUGGACGCCAGUCGCCGACGUCGCUCGCGCGAACCCUCACCACUCGACGCUCGUCGCUGCCGUGAUCUGCCUCUACCAGUUGCCGACGCUGCUCUGAGUCUCGCCACCCGCUCGCCCUCAAGGCCGCCGACCGCCGGACGCCGCUGGACGCCAGUCGCCGAGGCCGCUCGCCCGAACCCUCGCCGCUCGACGCCAGUCUCUCUCGUGCUCUGCCCGUCGCCGAGGCCGCUCGCCCGAACCCUCGCCGCUCAACGCCAGUCUCUCUCGUACUCUGCCCGUCGCCGAGGCCGCUAGCCCGAACCCUCACCGCUCGACGCCAGUCUCUCCCGUUCUCUGCCCGUCACCAACGCCGCUCGCCCUCGAGGCCACUGCCGGACGCCGCCGGCCACGCCGCCGCCGCUCAACGCCAGUCGCUGGACUCGUUUCUCACGAAGCCUGAGGGUCCCUGUUCUGGAAACAUUGCGAUUUGCCUUCUCUUGAAUUCGGCAUUUGCCAGGAUCAAUCAAGGUACGGUCCUCAUCUAAUCUCGCUUUCCGUCGAUCGCUUUGUGCGUCUAAUGAUGAUUGCGAAUCACCUGGAACGUCUCAUUGCCUGUAGUGCGAUGAUGUUGUUCUUAGCGCGCGUCUCAUUGCCUGUAGUGCGACGAUGUUGUUCUUAAGGCAACGUUUUUAGCGCGCGUCGAUGUUGUUCUUCUUGUUGAUGAUAAUGGAGGCGUGCUGAGGAUGAAUGUUCUAUUCUUGUUGAUGAUAAUGGAGGCGUGCUGGGGAUGAAUGUUCAAUUCUUGAUGUAUGUUGUUCUUCUUGUUAAUGAUAAUGGAGGCGUGCUGAGGAUGAAUGUUCUGUUCUUGGUGAAUGUGAUCUGGGUGCUUUGUGUGCACGGUGCUUUGUGAUCUGGGUGCUUUGGAGUGAAUAUUCACCAUGUUGAAAGUUGCUGGCGAUUGUAGAUUUGAUGCUGAAGAAAUCUGAAGGACCAAAUUGAUGUUUUGCUGAAGUAAAUUAGAACAUUCUGGUGCUAUGUUUUGAAUCUUUUAUUUAAACAUGUUUCAACUUUACUCCAGUUAUUUGAUCUGCUGUCGAAUGCCGUUCCUACAUAAUAUGGUAAAUGUCUAUAUUAUUAUAUGCACACUCUAUUUAUGAUCUACAUCCUUCGCAACCACUAAACUCCCGUUGAUCUUGCAGAGACAGAACACAUUUUCACUGCUAGAGAGAGCAAUUAGGGUUUCACAUCCUUUAUUCUUACCCGUUGCUUGGUUAUUUACCAUGACUUUGACCAUUGGUUCAGCUUUGCAUGUUAAUUAUCUUGGUUGAAGUUUAUGGUAAGGAUUCUUUCUUGACUGAAGUUUUUUCACAUUUCAGGAAACUAUCUGUGUUAAGAGAGAACUUCACCACCUCUAAGAUGAAGUUCUUGAAAUUUGACACCAAUGGCUUUGACUGCUACUGCUACUAACUGUGUUCGAGAAGAUGUUAUUCAGCGCCUUUCAUGUCAAAGGAGACAAAGAUUGUGCUUACAUCAUUCUACCGCUCCAAUCUACGUUUUUCUGAGUUUGUUGUUUUCUUUUGUUCUAAGGAUUGGAUUAGGUUUUUUUGUGUUCAUAGGGAUAUUUAAGUGCUUGAAAACAGAAAUAUGCACCAGCAUGAUUUUUGGUAGAUUUACUCUUAAUAUGAACCUGCUGUUAACAGGUUAAGCAUAGCAGAGAACUUCUUCAUGGACUUACAAAAAGGAUUUCCAUGUUUUGAUAAAAACAUAUGGUUUGAGAAGAAAGAUCGGUGAUAGCCAGCAUAUCCGAUAAUAUGCCCGCACGUUAUAAUUCAAAUUUAAAAAUGAAGAAAAAAAAAAAACUUGUUGGAACCUGAAACUGACCCUGGAACCUGUGAUCGGGUAGGUUCCAGGUUCUUGGUUCUGACGGGUAGGUUCCAGGUUCCAAAUUUUUUGGAACCUGUACCCGAGGGUAGGUUUCAGGUUCCAGAAGGAACCGAACCGGAACCUGGAACCGCUCACCCCUAAUACAUAGUCAUCAGCUAAGCUGAGGAUCUAAAUCCACAAUAAGCAACCUGAAUUUACGAAGCAAAAUUAGACAAGCCAUGCAUACCAUGCUAUAAACUCUACCCCACUCAACUGCAAAGCCGGAGCUCAGACAAGACUAUUACAUCAUGUCCAAAGCCAUAUGCCUCAUGAGACAAGACAUUCACUUCAUUUUGUCCAGGAAGCAAUGGUCAAGAAGUUCCCAGGAAAAUGGGAAAUGUCCUAACUUUGAAUGAGAAUAAAAUUAAUAUUACCUAAGCAGCAGGGUUACUUUCAUAUUGCAAUACAAAAUUGAGUUCUAACUCCCCUAACAAUAUUUGCAACAAAUUCCUCAAGAGAGAAGAGAAUGGAAACAUUAACUUUAAAAUACCAUAAAUUCUUCAAUACACCCAAAAAAGAAAAGGUCUAGACCCACCAUCGGUAGUGCUGGUGGGCCAACUAGGGCUGCGCUGGGGUUGAUAACACCCCACAUAUUUCGUUUUAGUUGACUCUGGGCGUCGCCCAUUCAACACGAAGGAUGAGGUUAUCAUAGCCAUAUCCAUUGAGCUUAUUGAUCGCCCUCUCAGCAUCCUCCUUGUUUACAAAGUUGACAAAGCCGAAACCUCUGCUCAAACCUGUCUUCUGAUCAAUCGCAACAUACACAAAACUAACUGGGCCAAACGUGCGGAACAGUUCGAGCAGAUCGGGCUCCCGAGUGUCCUCUGACAAAUUAGUUACACGGACAGAAUUAUCUUCAUUCCUACGCCUCGUCUCUGCCCCCGUCCGCUCUGCCCCACCUCUCAUGCUCGGGGGCACAUAAGCUCCCUUAGUGCUUGUUGGCUCUGCUGCCGCUGGCUUAUCUAUUGGAGAAAUCCUCUUGAAGUGUUUUGAAGUUAACAAAACGUUUCCAUCAGUCUAGUCCGAAGGCUUGCAGACUCUGCUAUUUAAAGUCUGAAGACCUCCGGACAGCCAGACUCAAGACUCAAAGUCUAUCCUCAUUGACAGUUUCUAAUCCAUUGAAGAAAGGCUAUCUAGAACUGGAUGUUUCAUUAAGGAUGUGGCCUUAUUGAUUGGAGAAGAUCUCUUGGCUGGAUAUGACAUAACAGAAUCUUUGUUUGAUCAUAAUUGAUUCGAAGAUUAAGGAUCCGAUGAUUGGCAAAGUAUACUUGGAAGGUUCUACUUAUGGAAACCGAGAUCCUGAUUGUAUGGGCGAACAUGAUUGAUGGGCUAUCGACAUAUUCCUUUAAUAGCUCGAAUAAUCUUCCUAAUUGAUUCCGUCCAACGGGUAGAUUGGAGGAAUUCCUUUGGUAAAUGCCAACGGGUAUGAUGGCAUGAAGGAGUAUAUAAGGAAGACAUUCUAGUUGUUCGAGGGUGUACACGAUAGAAGAAUUUCAAAGUCUGAAGCUCCUUGUUCUUAGUCAAUUCAUUUGUUGAGCAAAAUCGUGUAAACAAAAGAGAGUCUAUAUUCGUGAGAAACCUUGAAGAAGUGUGGUAGAUCAUCUACACUGUUGAAUCAAGGAAAAGCUGUGAUGUAACUUCUCUUUUGUUCAUAGUGAAAUCCAGCCGGUGGGCUGUCAGUGCGGAAGAGUGGACGUAGGCUUGGAAUAAGCCGAACCACUAUAAAUCUUGUGUUCAAUUUUCUCUUCCCUAAUCUUUACUUUACUUUGAUCGUAUUUUCCUUUCUAUCGUUUGCCUAGAAUCGCUUCCGUAUCUCGAGAAUUUGUUUGUGCACCUAUUCACCCCCUCUAGGUGCUUAUACUAGCUAUCUCAAUUGGUAUCAGAGCAAGUGUACUCACUUUGGUUGAAGUGUUUUACUUUAGAGUUAAAGAUCCAUGGCUAGUAUGUUGGCUCCAGGGCUGGUAGAAGGGCAAAGCAAUACCAGACCACCUUACUUUGAUGGAAAGGAUUACAACAUAUGGAAAAACAAGAUGAAAGCGUUCAUAAGAUCAAAGGAUCCUCUGGAAUGGGACGUUGUAGAAAAAGGAAUCAUUCCUAAAGCUGCAUCUGUCUCAGAAAGAGGCAAAGAUGCUGUUGAGUCUAGCGAAAUGACUCAGGAAGAGAUAAUCAAGAGACAAGCUCUUGAUGCAAAAGCAAUUUAUUCCUUAUAUUGUGUUUUAUCCCCUACUGAAUAUAACAGAAUAUCUUCUUGUGUUAUAGCUAAAAAAGUCUGGGAUAGAUUACAUAUUACUUAUGAAGGAACCGAUCUAGUGAAAGAGACUAGAAUCAACAUUCUCCUCGGUCAAUAUGAAGCCUUCAAAAUGAAACCAGGAGAAUCUAUAACUGAUAUGUUUAGCCGCUUUACAGAAAUCGUGAAUGGUCUUGAAAAUCAAGGUCAACUAAUUUCUGAUCCCAUGAAAAUAAACAAGCUACUGCAUGGACUCUCCAAGGAUUGGAAUCACAUAAAGACCUCAAUCAGAGAGACCCAAAGAAUCAUGCCACUAUCUGUUGAUGAGUUGGUUGGGACUCUUCAGUCUUAUGAAGUGGAACGAAUCAAUGAAGACAAAGACCCUAAAGGUGAGAAAUCCAUUGCAUUAAAAUCUAAUGAUGAUUAUGAUGUUACAGAUUCUGAAGACGAUAUGGAUGAUGAGGAACUUGCUCUCAUGAUAAGAAGAUUCAGAAAGCUGAACAGAAAAGGAAGAUUCAAUCCAAAGAAACAAAGUUUUCAAAAGCAUCAGACUAAGUCUGUUGAGGAUGAUGAAUCAAACAAAGAUGUAGUCUGCUUUGAAUGUAAGAAAAAUGGACACAUUAGACCCAACUGUCCUCUUCUAAGGAAGAAGAAAGGAAAAACUGAAAAGUACCGAAAAGCUCUUAAAGCUGAAACCUGAAGUGAUACAAAGUGUGAAGAAAGUGAUGAUGAUUAUGCCAAUAUAUGUCUGAUGGCACAAUCGGAUUCAGAUUCAAAUUCCGAGACAGAUUCAGAUUCAGAAAGCGAAUUUGAGGUAAGUAACUUCAAAAUCCCUAUUAAAGUUUCAAAAUACAUUGAUGAAUUGUGUUUUAGUUUUAAGACUUCUCUUAAAAGAAUUUCCGAACUCAAGAAGGAAAAUUCUGCUCUAAAACAACAGGAAAAUAUUUUGAAAGAAAAAGUGAAAUGUUUAGACAAGAAUGUUUCUUCUCUUAAAGAAAGUGAAGAUAAUCUUUUAAAAGAAAAUGCAUUCUUGAAAAGUGAUAUCUCAAAUAUUUCCAAAAGAUUUUCAAUAGGAUCUGAGAAACUGGAAAAAAUUCUCUCUGUUCAAAGACCUUAUUUCAAUAAAUCUAGUUUGGGAAUGACUGCUGAAACCAUUCCUUUAAUUGAUUUUCCUAAAGUAAAGGGAAAGAAUCAAACAAAGACCCACAAGAGAUGCUUACAAAAAUCAUUUUAAAAGGAUCUUUGUAAAACCAGUAGGUCGCAAUGCUCUCAGAUGCACAAAGUGCAAUAGUACAGAUCAUUUUGAAAAAGAAUAUCCUAUGAUUUGGAAACCUGUUAAAAAGGUAUGGGCAAAAACCGCAUAUCAUACUAACACCAAUGGACCCAAGAAAAUAUGGGUACCAAAGAAGGUUUGAGUUUCUUUUUUAAAUGCAGGUCACUAUCAAGAAAAAGGUAAAAUGGUAUAUGGAUAGUGGAUGCUCAAGACACAUGACAGGAGACUCAAAUUACUUCAUAAAGCUUGUUUGAGUAAAUGGUGGAAAAGUCUCUUUUGGAGGAAACAGCAAAGGAAAAAUUGUGGGAUUUGGAACUGUAAAGAUUGGAAAUCUCACAAUCAGCAAUGUUUCCUUAGAGGAAGGGCUUAAUUACAAUUUGCUCAGUAUUAGUCAGCUAUGUGAUACUGGUUUCAAAAUCAACUUUCAAGAGGGAAUAUGUUCAGGAAUUAGUAAAGAUUCUACUCAGUCAUUCAUGGGUCGAAGACAUGGAAAUAUCUACCUCUUGGAUGUGAAACCAGAUGAAUCACAAUGUCUAAUCUCAAUCCAAGACGAAGCAAACUUAUGGCACAGAAAGCUUGGGCACGUCAAUAUGAAGCAAAUAGCCAAAAUCUCAGUAAAGAAGCUUGUUCGUGGUCUACCCAAUUUAUCAUACCAAAAGUCUGAUCUAUGUACACCAUGUAUAUUGGGAAAACAGGUAAGAAAUUCCUUUAAACCAAUAAAUCAAGUUUCCACUAACCGUGUACUGCAGCUUCUGCAUAUGGAUCUUUUUGGACCAACCAGAACACAAAGCAUUGGAGGUAAGAAAUACUGCCUAGUAAUUGUGGAUGAUUACUCACGAUUUACUUGGGUAUAUUUCUUGGCAAGUAAGUCUGAAACUUUCUCUUACUUUGAAAAGUUUGCUAAAAAGGUUCAAAAUGAAAAAUGGUAUGUUAUCUCGAGUAUAAGAACAGAUCAUGGAGGUGAGUUUGAAAAUCAUGAUUUUACAAAAUUCUGUGAUGAAUCUGGUCUUCAGCAUGUAUUCUCCUCCCCAUAUACUCCAGAGCAAAAUGGAGUUGUGGAAAGAAAGAAUAGAUCACUUCAAGAAAUGGCUAUAACUCUUUUAAUUGAAAGUAACAUCUCUUCACGUUUUUGGGCUGAAGCAGUUUCUACAGCAUGUUACAUUAUAAAUAGAGUUUUUCUAAGGCCUAUUCUGGAAAAAACCCCCUAUGAACUAUUCAAAGAAAAGAAGCCUAUUGUUUCAUAUUUUCAUAUAUUUGGAUGCAAAUGUUUUAUACUGAAAAAUGCAAAUGAUCGAGUUGGUAAGUUUGAAGAAAAGUCAGAUGAAGACAUCUUCCUUGGAUACUCAACCACAAUCAAAGUGUACAGAGUUUACAACAAGAAGACUCAAACAGUGGAAGAAUCAAUGAUGUUAAAUUCCAAGAUUCUAUGCAAAAUGAAUCCAUUCAGACUCAUCUUGAAGAAUCUGAACCUGCUCCAGACUCUACAAAGUCUAAAUCUCAGGAAAUAGCUCAGACUUUGAAGGAUCAGCAACAAGUGACUAUUGAAGAUUCAAGUGAAGGAAGUGACCAUCAAUCUAACAAAUUAACCAGCAACUGGAAACAUAAGUCCAGUCAUCCCAAAGAUCUUAUUAUUGGCGACAUCAAUGAAGGAAUUCGCACAAGAUCCAAAAGGCGCGAAGAGUCUAGUGUUGUGGCUCUUGUUUCUGAAAUAGAACCCAAAAGCAUAGAAGAAGCUUUAUCUUAUGAAAGCUGGAUUGAAGCUAUGCAAGAAGAGCUCAGGCAAUUCAAUAUUAAUGAUGUGUGGCAUCCCAAAAUUCAAAGUCAAGCCAUAAGGUGUGUUAAAGUCUUUAAUUAGGUGAUAAAAAUUUCCAUGGCUUAUGUUUUAGCCAUUAGUCUUUUAAUUGGGUGAUUUGUGCUUAUGGUUGUGGAAAUUCAAAUUCGAUAGAUUAAUAAUUUAUGCUUGGCCAUGUGCUUUAAAAAUUAAAUUUCAAUAAAGAAAAUGCCCCAAGACUUUGGCCAAGAUAGAAUUUGAAUUUGGAAAUAAUUAUAGAAAGGAAUUCAAAAAAAAAAGAAAAAGAAGGGGGUUAAUUUUUAGGAAUGGGCCUUAGGCCCAUUGGCCUAAGCUUAGUAGGCCGAAUGGCCAGCCCAAAUGGAGGCCCACGGAAGGGCUAUCGCCGGCCCAUUAAGGCCCAAAGGAAGAGGUGGCCGGCCCAUGCAUGGACCUUGCCAAGUGGCAAAGGGGAAGGCCAUGCAUUGGCCAUGGUUGAGGCAAAACAAUCAUUAGCAAUGAUGGGCUCUAGGGGGGUAUAAGAGGAGAGGAGAGAGAGAGAAGGUGGCCGGAUUUCUUUUGGCCGAGAGAGAGGGUGCAAGAGAGAGAGAGAUUUCGAGAGAAAGAGGGAGAGGCCAAGAGAGAGAGGAAGGAGGGAGUCACCGUCGCCGCCGUGUCCGUCCGCCGUACGCCGUCGUUUGUUCAUCCUAGAGGCAAGUGGAGUCCUCUAACUUAUCUUGCAUGCUUGUAUAUUGUUUGUUUGUUAGAUUUUGGNNNNNNNNNNNNNNNNNNNNNNNNNNNNNNNNNNNNNNNNNNNNNNNNNNNNNNNNNNNNNNNNNNNNNNNNNNNNNNNNNNNNNNNNNNNNNNNNNNNNNNNNNNNNNNNNNNNNNNNNNNNNNNNNNNNNNNNNNNNNNNNNNNNNNNNNNNNNNNNNNNNNNNNNNNNNNNNNNNNNNNNNNNNNNNNNNNNNNNNNNNNNNNNNNNNNNNNNNNNNNNNNNNNNNNNNNNNNNNNNNNNNNNNNNNNNNNNNNNNNNNNUGCUGGAUUCAUGGUUGCAUGUUGGUUUUUGUUGAGAAUCUCAUUUCGGUUUCUUCAUGAAAGUUGUAGGCGACAUCUUAAACUAAAACAUACUCAAAUUUAAGUGAAAUGAACAACUAUACCUAGUGAAUCGACUAGAUCUUGAAGAAAUGAUUCUGGUGGUGUAUUUUGAGAUACCCGAGACUUCAAGGACCUAAAUGAUGACUCUACUUUGGUUAUUUGACUUGGAUCUCUUCAUGAAACUUGUAGAGGACACCUUGAUGUAUAACAUAUCUAAAUUUCAGAGGAAACGAAAGAGAAUAGAUAUGUGAAAUCUCAAUAUUUCGGAGAUGUGUUUACUGGACGAUGCGGUAAUGGAUCCAGAAGCUUCGUGAGGUUGUAUAAAAUAAUAUAAAAAUAAUCUGGCUUGUAGUUCUUCAUGAAAGUUGUGCGAAAAUGUCUUGGCUAUCACUCUGAAAAACUUUAUAAUUUUUAGAGGCCAUAUGGAUAUUUUAAUCGAAUUUACUCAGAAACUGUGCAUUCUGGUCAUUAUCCGAAUAUUAUGUGCUAUUUUGUGGAAAUUGUGAAAUUGUGUGAAAUUCAAUUUGGCCAUGAAUUUUGCAAGUAAUUAUCAUCCUAUGGGUUUGUUUAAUAAUUGCUUGAAUUUUGUGAUUUUGGGAAAUUAUAGAUAUUGAGUUUAAUAUUUAUUUGUGAAAAUAAAUAAAUAUGAUAAUAAAAUUAAAUAAAAUAAUAAUAAUAAUAAUAAAUAAAUAAAUAAGGAAUUAUUUCAUUGGCCAUAGAUUUCCAUUCAAUUAAUUUAUGUUGCAUGUGUAAUAAAGCUUUGAUAUGUCUGUGAUAUUGAAUUGAGAUGCGCAUGUAAAGCUUUGAUAUGUCUAUGAUAUUGAAUUGAGAUGCACAUGUGAUAAAGUCUUGAUAUGUCUAUGAUAUUGAAUUGAGAUGCACAUGUGAAUAAGGUCUUGGCAUAUGUAUGGCAAUUAAAUCAAUGCAUGUGUGAAUGUCAUGCCUAGUAUGAUUUGUUUGAUAUCAUGCCAUGUGCCAUGUUAAAAUGUGAAUAAAAUACUGGUGAACAUGGAUGAUGGUAAAUGAGGAGAUGGUUGUGAUGGCGGAUGAUGCUCGGAAUGUAUAGAGAUACAUUGCCAAAAUUCCCUGGGAGAUUCAGGAUGCCCGGAAUGUGGGGGGCCGGAAGCCUUGUCGAAGGUCUUUGCCCGAAAGGAAUGCCUCGCGAUGCCAGGAUUGGGGUGCGAGAUGCUUGGCUAGAAGGGUAAAGGCCGGAAGCCCUGUCGGAGGUUUCUGCCCGAAGGGAAUGCCUCGUGAUGCUAGUUGAGAUGCGAGAUGCCCGGAAUGUGGGGGGCCGGAAGCCCGGUGGCCAUGGGAUGGCUGGAAUGCUGGGAACCCUGUCGGAGGUCUUUGCCCGAAGGGAUGAUGAAAUUGAUAAUAUGAGAAAUGGGUGAUGUGGUGAUCAAAUUUAAAGAUAAAAGAUGAAAGUUAACCCAUGAUAUGAUAUGCAUGAUGAUAUGCAUGAUGAUGAUGAUGAUGAUGAUGAUAUGUGAUGUGAUAUGAUGAUCACCCAUGAUAUGAUAUGCAUGAUGAUGAUAAUGAUAUGUGAUGUGAAUAAUGAUGAUCACCCAUGAUAUGAUAUGCAUGAUGAUAUGAUAUGCAUGAUGAUGAUAUGCAUGAUGAUGAUAAUGAUAAUGAUAUAUGAUAUGACAUGUGUAAUGUGAUGAUGUCAUGAUGAUGAUGACAUGUAUGAUACGAUGAUGAUACACAUGUAUGUGUUAUAAAUUGAUAUGAUGAUGCAUGAUAGUGUGCGCAUGGCUUCAAGGUAAGUAACGCCUGCAAUGGAUGUAUGAUCUGCCUGAUGCAUUGAGUUGUUAUUGGAUUUCCCUAUCUGCUGAGUGGUUGUACUCACCCCUUUUGGGGAUAACAUUUCAGAUUAGCCAGUAUGCCGCUUCUUGCCGUCACGCGUGGUAUAUUUUAUGGUCUACCAUCCGAUGUAGAGGUCGAGUGUGCUGAGAUUGACUGUCCCUCUGUUCCCGGACUGAUUUUUAUUCGAGUACGAUGUCUAGUGAUGUACAACAUAGGCCUGGCUGGGGGCCCUGUCAUUUAGGAGUUCAUUUCUGUGCACGUUCGUCGGGAUGGAGCGAUGCGAGGGAUGUUGCCGCCGCCACCGCCUGAUGCACCGGGUUGGGUGUGAGACCCGCGCGCGCGUGAUGAGUAGGAGCCGGAUCUUUUUGAUGUAGAUAGCCGACACUUUUGAUGGGGGGUUUAUGCUCGUAUGAUGUUGAGGGUCGAGGGUUUCUUUUUGAGGUUUUAGGCUGGACGUGGCUGAGUCCUAGCCUUUCCUUUUUGUUGUACCGACCCGAAGGGAAUCCCAUCAUGUUAUAUAAGUAAAGUGUCGUGGCAUGUUUAUAAAAAUCCUGAUGUUUAGUGGUGUGUAUUUGUAUCAUGGUUGGUAGGGGGGGAGACGAUGAUAUUUUAAUUUUCUUCCGCUAAUGAGUCACGUUGGGACUGAUUGUUUUAAAAAAAAAAAAAUGUGUCUGCGAAUUAGGAUACUUCUUCGAAAGAAAGAAAGGUAAUAAGGUGUAACAUCGGCGCUGGUGACGACCUGCGAAGGGUUUGGGGUGUCACAUGAUGUCUGGGAAUUGACUCCUAAACCAAAAGGUAAGUCUGUUAUUGGAGCUAAAUGGGUUUUCAGGAACAAGAUGAACGAGAAAGGAAAAGUCAUAAGAAACAAGGCAAGACUUGUGGCCAAGGGAUACACACAAGAAGAAGGGAUAGACUAUGACGAGACUUACACACCAGUAGCAAGGUUAGAAGCAAUUCGAUUAUUACUUGCUUUUGCUUGUUAUAAGAAUUUCAGGUUAUUCCAAAUGGAUGUCGAAAGUGCCUUCUUAAAUGGAUUCAUCCAAGAGGAAGUCUAUGUGGAACAACCACCUGGGUUUGAAGACCCAAGGAAGCCAGACUCAGUAUUCAGACUCAAAAAGGCCUUGUAUGGUUUAAAGCAAGCACCUCGAGCUUGGUACGACAAGCUGAGUAAAUUUUUAAUUCAAAAAGGCUUUAUAAAAGGUAAAGUAGACACUACUUUGUUUAUUAAAAUAGAAAGCAAAAGUUUUCUGCUUGUUCAAAUAUAUGUCGAUGAUAUUAUUUUUGGAUCCCCUAAUGAAAGUAUGUGCAAGAAAUUCUCUAAGACUAUGCAGGAUGAAUUCAAAAUGAGCAUGAUGGGUGAGUUAACCUUCUUUCUCAGGCUUCAAGUAAAACAAUUGAAGGAAGGAACUUUUAUUCAUCAAGAAAAGUAUGCUAAAGAUCUUGUCAAAAAGUUUGGACUAGACAAUUGCAAAAAGGCUGAUAUACCAAUGUCAAGUUCCUUGAAGAUAGACAAAGAUGAAGAAGGAAAGAAAGUCGAUCAGAAGUUAUACAGGAGUAUCAUUGGCUCACUUCUUUAUCUUACAGCUUCUAGACCUGACAUUUUGUUUAGUGUUUGCAUUUGUGCCAGAUUUCAAGUAGAUCCUAAAGAAUCUCAUUUAAAUGCUGCAAAGCGUAUUAUCAAAUAUAUUGCAUCAACUUCAAGCUUUGGUCUCUGGUAUCUUAAAAGGGGAGACUUUACUCUUCUUGGAUACUCAGACGCAGACCUAGCCGGAUGCAGAGUUGAUAGAAAGAGCACCUCGGGUACCUGUCAACUACUUGGAGGCAGGACAGUGUCUUGGUUUUCAAGGAAGCAAAGUACAGUAGCUCUUUCUACAGCAGAAGCAGAGUAUGUAGCUCUUGGAAGUUGUUGUUCACAAAUUCUGUGAAUAAAACAACAGCUAAGAGACUUUGGAAUUGAAGAUUCAUGCACGAAGAUUAAAUGUGACAACACCAGCGCAAUCAAUCUCACCAAAAAUCCAAUUCUUCACUCAAGAGCAAAGCAUAUAGAGAUUCGACAUCACUUCAUUAGAGAUCAUGUUCAAAAUGGAGAAAUUUUGAUUCAGUUUGUUGACUCAAAGAACCAAUUGGAGAAUAUAUUUACAAAGCCUUUGGAGAAAAAUCAAUUUGAAAUUAUCCGUUCAAGACUCAACAUUUUGAGGUUUGAAGAAGUUAAAGUCUAGAGACUCUCAGACUCAGACAAACAAGACUUUGAUUGUAAGUAUACAAGACUUUGACUAUAAGUUAUUCUCUCUCUUGAAUCUCAUCUUGAAAAGGUACGAUCAUCAACUGUGUUUGAUUAUUGAUAUCUUUAAUUGACGUGAUUAUUGCAACGUUUCCUUUUCGAAAAAAGGAGUUAUUUUGAAAUGACCAUUUUUCCGAAAAAGGCAGUUAUUUUUUGAAAAUGCAUCUUUUCACUUUCCAUUACGACGUUUAGUAUUCCCUCCUCUCGACUGAGCUAUAUACAGUCGGUUUCUCUUCGCUUAACUCCAAAACCCUAAAAAGCACUAAUCUUCCAUUCAUGUUUUCUUCUCUUGUUUAAUCUUCGAAAAAGUUGUCAUCUUUCUUGGGAAAGUCAAGCAAGAAAUCUUUCAAAGACUGAGAAAUAUGUCUUCUUCAAGAAAGUCUUUGAGAUCGCAAGUAGGGACACGGCAAAUGAGUGAGGGGCUACGCACUUCGAUCUCACCGAGGAAGAAGAGUAUCCCAGUCAACAGCAGAGCUCACAACAUUCUCAACAGCGUCAUUCUCCACCAACUAGACCACAGGGUGUUGGUCAUCAACAAGAGGAAGAAAUCGUUGAAAACGCAUAACCUUUUCCUAGAUGCGAAUAGAUUCUCUUUUAGUGUCCGAGAUCAGGACUUUGUGGUGGAUAUGGAUAUGUUGGCGGAUGUCAUUGGGGUUGAGAAAGGGAGAUAUCAACCUAUCAAUGUUUCUAUUGCAGGAGCCACAUUGGAACUUGUUAAGGAUAGAAGAACAGAGGAAAAGAUUUUCUACUUGAGGAUGAGUGCGUUUAACAUUCUGCUUCACAAGAUUGUGAUCAAUUGCCUUAGACCGAAAUCAACUUCCAAGACUGAUGUUUCAAGUUCAGAGGCAAAGCUGAUGUAUGCCAUCAUCACUGGGAAAAAGUUUUCUCUUCCUCACACUGUUAUGUUCCACAUGUAUAGAGUAGUGGUGAAAGACAUGGGUCAACUUCCUUAUCCAAGUCUUGUGACGAAGUUAUUCAGACAUCUGAAUAUUCAGCCUCCACAAAUUCUCUGUGCUCGAUCGUGUGAUCAUAUGGUGGUAGGACUGAAAAUGGUGACUAAAAUGCGUCUGAAGGAACUAAGCAAGGCGUUGGAGAAAUUCAAGGAGAAGACUCCAGUCAAAACUCAUCAAAUCUCUUAUGCAGCAAAAAGAAAAGGGAAGGAGCCCAUGGUUGCUCCAUCCAAGAAAAGAAGAGCCCUCAUCGUUAAGGAUGAAGAUGAUGAGGAAAAUAUCACCAUUUCUGCAAUGGCAUUGAAGAAUCUGAGUCAUUCUGUUCCAGAGAAAGACUCAGAACAGAGGACUAGAGAAAGAGAAGAGAAAGAAGCAGAGGAAAAAGAAACAGAGGAGAGAGAAGAAGAAGAAAGAGAUGCUGAGAAGGAAAGAGUUGAAAAAGAAGAAUAAGAGAAAAGAAAUCAAGAGGAAUGAGAACAUGAGGAACAUUCUUCUCCACCUGAAGGCAUGGAAACAGGGGGAGACCAAGAGAGAAGAGGAAUGUCCUCAUAUCCUGCUACCAGUGAGGGAGUCAGUCGCUCUCCAGCAGAUCCAGAAGACAUUUAUGCCUCUCAUUUUCCUGAGAAAGGACAUGAUGUUUCAUCGCCAAAUCUGCGUGAUUAUGCUAAUCUGCCAUCAUCUGCCUUUACUCCAUCAGAUCGUGCCGAAGCCAGUACGCAGACCGAUAAUUCAGCAGACUUUCGCAGAAUUAUGGAUGUUCUCUUGGAAAUGCGAGGUCAGAUAUAUGCUUUGGGAUGCGAAGUUCAGAAUUUGCAGAAUGCAGGUCAAGCUUCUUCGGGUUCCUUGAAUAAUCAGAUCCAAGCCCUUUCUCUUCAGAUUCAGGCCAAUGCUAAGGGUGAGGAUGUUGCACAACUAAAGGAAGACUUGAAAAGGCUGGAAGGUAUCGUUCAAUCAAUAGGAGAUUUCCAGCUUGUUCGUGUUCCCAAGCAUUCUUGACUCUACUCCAUUUUCAUCUCAACCUUUUUUAUACUGACAAAAAGGGGGAGAGAUGCGAGAUUUAAAAACUUUGAAUCUUUACAACUUUUGAACUUUUGGAUUGUUUUGAUGUUUGACUUUACUUUUGUGUCUGGAUGUGGACUGAAUUUGGAUUUGGACUUGACUGCUUAUAUUAACUACUAUUGAUAUCUUAUGGAUGGCUUUAUCACAUGCAAGACUAACCUAAUUUCUGCGGUUGCAGAUUCUAGCGUUAUCAUUCAUUAAGCCAUUUAUCUUUAUAAGAUAUCCAUAUUUGUUUGAGUAAUAUUUUGCAGGUCAAAGUUAUCCAAAUCUGCAGGAAAGUUUUGUCACCAUAAAAAAUGGGGAGAUUGUUGGAGAAAUCUUCGUGAAAUGUUUUGAAGCUGACAAAACGUUUCCAUCAGUCUAGUCUGAAGAUUUGCAGACUCUGCUAUUUAAAGUCUGAAGACCUCCGGACAGCCAGACUCAAGACUCAAAGUCUAUCCUCAUUGACAGUUUCUAAUCCGUUGAAGAAAUGCUAUCCAGAACUGGAUGUUUCAUAAAGGAUGUGACUUUAUCAACUGGAGAUCUCUUGGCUGGAUAUAACAUAACGGAAUCCUUUAUUUGAUCAUGAUUGAUUCGAAGAUUAAGGAUCCGAUGAUUGGCAAAGUAUACUUGGAAGGUUCUACUUAUGGAAACCGAGAUCCUGAUUGUAUGGGCGAACAGGAUUGAUAGGCUAUCGACAUGUUCCUUUAAUAACUCGAAUGAUCUUCCUAAUUGAUUUCGUCCAACGGGUAGAUUGGAGGAAUUCCUUUGGUAAGUGCCAACGGGUAUGAUGGCAUAAAAGAGUAUAUAAGGAAGACGUUCCAGUUGUUCGAGGGUGUGCACGAUAGAAGAAUUCCAAAGUCUGAAGCUCCUUGUUCUUAGUCAAUUCAUCUGUUGAGCGAAAUCUUGUACACAAAAGAGAGAGUCUAUAUUUGUGAGAAUCCUUGAGGAAGUGUGGUAGAGUAUCUACACCAUGGAAUCAAGGGAGAACUUUACUGUAACAUCUCUUUUGUUCAUAGUGAAAUCCAACCAGUGGGCUGUCAGUGCAGAAGAGUGGACGUAGGCUUGGAAUAAGCCAAACCACUAUAAAUCUUGUGUUUAAGUUUCUCUUCCCUACUCUUUGCUUUACUUUAAUCGUAUUUCAUUUUGUUAAUCAAAAGAGAACUUUCUUUCUAUCGUCUGCCUAGUAUCACUUCCAUAUCUCGAAAAAUUGUUUUUACACCUAUUCACCCCCCCUCUAGGUGCUUAUACUAGCUAUCUCAAAGAUGACAAUUACAAUUUGAGCUACGUGAAAGCAUCUUGUUUUGCUGUCUUAUGAGAUCAAAUGCAAUCGUCAAUUCAUUGUUUGACAACUUUGAACUUGUUGCAAGUUUAACGUCUGGGAUAGGUGUGGCCCUUCUUGUAGCCAUCGUUGCUCUGUUGCUAUAUAGGCGUCACCAGCGCAUUUGUUGUUUUCUUUUUUUGAAAAGAACAGAGAACACGUAGACAGCAAAAACAGAAAAAAAAAAAAAAAAAGGAGUUUACAGCAGAAGCAGAGAACAAGUUUACAGCAGAAGCAGAGCAUCGUGUUCAGAAAACUGAAAAAAAAAAUGUUCAAAUUACAUACUAGAACGUAACCACAAACCCACGUUGCCAACUAACGACUUGCUUGAUCCACAAAAUCAGCAACAAAUCAGAAUAUCUAAGAUACGUGCAACUAACUACUCCUAGGAGAUAAGAUUGACUAACCAACUCCUAAAAGACAGGACACCAACAAACUAACUAAACAAAACAAAAAAAAGAGAAAAACAGCACGUGCAGUCUUGAUACAUCAACACUCUCCUCCUGGAUCAAGUACUGCACACUCCUAGCUUUGCCCUAAGAAGUUCAAAUCGACCAACAUGAAAUGACUUCGUGAAUAUAUCUGCAAUCUGGUUUUCUGAAUUGCAGUACACCAGUUUCACCUCUUCAGCCUUUUGCACUUCUCUCAAGAAGUAAAACUUGACCUUAAAAUGCUUUGUUCUUCCAUGAAAUACCGGAUUUUGUGAAAUGGCCAAAGUAGCUUGAUUAUCCACAAACACUUCUAUAUCUUCUUCUUGCUGCAUAUGCAAAUCAUCCAUUAGCUUCUUCAACCAUAAUGCUUGAUUCACAGCUGCAGUAGCUUCAAUGAACUCAGCUUCUGCAGUUGAUUGAGCCACUAUUUCCUGCUUCUUUGAACACCAAGAAAAACAUGCCGACCCAAAUGUAAAGCAAUAACCUGAAGUGCUCCUCAUAUCAUCCAUUGAUCCUGCCCAGUCACUAUCAGAAUACCCCCGCAACUUAAACUCCUGAACUCUACAAAACUUAAUCCCAUAUGAAAGAGUACCUCUCAAGUACCUCAAUACCCUCUUUGCAGCUACCAUAUGCAACUCACUUGCACAAUUGAGAAAUCUAGAUAAGACACUUACAGGAAACAUGAUGUCUGGCCUAGUUGCAGUGAGAUACAUAAGACAGCCAAUCAAACUUCUAUAAACUCUUUCAUUUGCAGGUGCUGAUCCAUCCUCCUUUUGAAGCUUUUCCUUAUGACCCAUUGGAGUACUCACACUCUUGCACUCCUCCAUGUUGAAUCUCCUUAGGAUCUCCUUCAAAUACUUCUUUUGAUAGAUAAAAACUUCAUUCUGAGUCUGUCUAACUUCCAUUCCUAGAAAAUAUGACAUCUCACCAAGAUCAGUCAUUUCGAGCAUCUUCAUCAUCUCUUGCUUAAAUGCAGUAAUCUGAGCACUAUUACUCCCUGUCACCAGCAUAUCAUCCACAUAAAGAGACACCACCACUAAGUCAGAUACUAACUUCUUGACAUAUAGAGUGGAUUCACUGAGGNNNNNNNNNNNNNNNNNNNNNNNNNNNNNNNNNNNNNNNNNNNNNNNNNNNNNNNNNNNNNNNNNNNNNNNNNNNNNNNNNNNNNNNNNNNNNNNNNNNNNNNNNNNNNNNNNNNNNNNNNNNNNNNNNNNNNNNNNNNNNNNNNNNNNNNNNNNNNNNNNNNNNNNNNNNNNNNNNNNNGCAGAUUUCACAUCUAAUUGAUAUACCUUCCAUCCUUGUGGAGCUGCCAAAGCAAAGAAUCAUUCUAAUUGUAUCAAGUCUUGCCACAGGAGCAAAGGUUUCUGAGAAAUCAACUCCCUAAAUUUGUGCAUAUCCCUUCACCACCAACCUGGCCUUAUGCUUAUUCACUAAGCCAUCAGGAUUAAAUUUGAUCUUGAAAACCCAUUUUACUCCAAUCACCUUCCUAUCUUAAGGCCUCUCCACUAGCUCCCAUGUCUGGUUCUUUUCUAUCAUAGCCAACUCUUCCUUCAUUGCAUUCAUCCACCUCUGAUCGCUUUUAGCUUCCUCAUAACCUGCAGGUUCCAAAACAACCACACUACACCUUUGAUAUAUAUCAGUCAAAGAUCUGGUACCUCUAACUGGAACAUCAUCCACCAGUUCGUCGGGUUCCAAUGAGACCUCUUUGUGCUUGCCUUGUGGCUCAUUUGUCCAAUCCUAUUUCUCAUCUUCUAGGAACUGAACAUCCCUGCUAGUGAUCACCUUCCCUGUCUGUGGUUGAUAGAUCCUGUAAGCUUUUGAUACUAAACUGUAGCCAACAAAGAUCCCAGGUUUAGCUUUUUCUCCCAACUUGUCUCUCUUGACCUGUGGAAUAUGAGAAAAACACAAACAGCCAAACACCUUCAAAUUUCUUAGAAUUGGCUUGACAUCAAACUAGGCUUCAAAGGGUGUCUUCAUCUCCAAUACCCUUGUAGGUAAUCUAUUCAGUAGAAAAACUGCUGUGCUUGCUGCUUCUGCCCAAAACUCUUUUGGUAGACUCUUCUCAUAAAGCAAACACCUAGUCAUCUCCAUAAUGGUUCUAUUCUUCCUCUCACUAACUCCAUUUUGCUGUGGAGAGUAAGGAGCAGUAAGAUGAUGCUCAAUUCUAGCCUCUUCACAGAAAGAUUUAAACCUCUGUGAAGUGUAUUCUGUUCCAUUAUCAUAUCUAAUGACCUGAAUCUUGCAGCCACUUUGGUUCUCAACCCAUUUCUUAAACUUUUGAAAUACCUCAGCAACUUCUGACUUUUGCUUCAUAAAGUAAAUCCAGCACAUUCUAGUAUAAUCAUCAAUGAAAAUAAUGAAAUACCUGCUGCCAUUUAGUGAAGGAGUCACUUGUGGACCACAUAGAUCCGUAUGAAUCAGCUGCAACUUCUCUAUCGCUCUCCAAGUGGAUUUCUUGAAGGGAAGUCUUGUCUGCUUGCCUAGCAAACAAGCUUUGCACCUUGUGAUCUGCUCCUCCAGGUUUAGUAACCCGGUUGCCAUUUCAUUCCUCUGCAUGAACAGCACGCCUUUAUGAUGAAAGUGCCCCAACCUCUUGUGCCAUAAUUCUAAAUCAUUAGUCUGACACUCGAAUGCCAUCUGCUCCUUCUCAAAAGGAUUCAAAGAAAAACUUUUCUGUUGCAUUUUUAUCUUGAACAACUCCUGACCAUUGGAGUCAAAGAUCAAACACUUCUCCUCUUCAAAUAUCACCUUAAAUCCCUUUUCUACCAACUGCCCCACACUCAACAAAUUCUGAUCAAUUUUAGGCACAUACAUCACAUCAGAAAUCAGCUUAGUUCCAGCACAACUCUCCAUUGCUACAGUCCCUUUACCUUUCACUUCUAAGUACUCCCCAUUCCCAAUCCUCACUCUUGACUUCAACGACUUGUCAAGGUUUAUAAACAACGUUUCAUCACUUGUCAUAUGGUUUGUGCAACCACUAUCAACAAGCCAACUGUCACAUGGAGUACUAGAUGAGAAACAAGAGGCAACAAACAGUUGAUCUACCUCUUGCUGAACUGUAGCAUGUGUCUCACCCUGCUGCUGAUCUCUCUUCUCUUUGCAGAACUUCUCAAUGUGUCCAAGCUUAUAACACUUUCUGCACCUUACAUCUGGUCUCUUCCAACACCUAAAAUGUGGAUGAUUCUUUUUUCCACACUGCUGACAUGAGGAAUAUCUUCCCCAAUUGUUCUUGGAGUUGCUCGCACUAUUCUCUCCCGCAGCAGCUUCUGAACCACUACUGCCAUUUCCUUUCUUCCCUUUCCACUUGUUAACUUUUCCUCCUACAUUAUGCUGUUCUUUGUCCGGCAAAGCUCCUUCUAUACUUCCUUCCACCCUCAUUAACCUCCUCUGCUCUUGUGCUUGCAAAGCACUUAGCAAUUCUGCCAACUUGAUCUGAGACAAAUCCUUGGUAUUCUCCAAAGAGGCAAUGGUUGCCUCAAACCUUUCGAGCAAUGAGACAAGAAUCUUCUACACUAGCCUAUUAUCAGAGAGGUCAGUGCCUAGAACUCUUGCCUGAUUUGCAAUGCUUAUCAACUUACCAUAAUACUCCUUAAUUGUCUUAGACUCCUUCAUCUACAGUCUCUCAAAUUCUGUGAUUAGAUUUAGCCCCUUCAUGCUUCUAAUCCUCUCAUCUCCUUGAUACUCAUUUUUUAGGAAGUCCCAGAUAGCUUUGGCUAAUUCACAAGCCAUAAUUCUGCUGAAAAUGGCAGGUGAGACAACAACAUAUAAACAAGACUUUGCCUUUGCUUCCCUUGUUAUCCUCUCCUUGUGAAACUUGAUUUGAUUAAUGGUUGGAUUAUCAGGAAGGGGAGCAACUUCAUAAUCUUGUUCCACAGCUUCCCAAAAAUCACAACCCUCUAGAUAGGCUCGCAUUCUCACUGCCCAGGCUUGAUAAUUUUCUCCAUCAAACACUGGCGAAGCCAUUACUGAAAAACCACUCGAUACUGCCUCCAUCUUGCUUUUAACUUCUAUGGAUGCAGACACACUCUCAAUCAAUCUCACAAGUCACUCACAGCCCCUUAAGAUCAAGAGAGCUCUGAUACCAGUGUUGUUUUCUUUUUUUGAAAAGAACAGAGAACACGUAGACAACAAAAACAGAAAAAAAAAAAAAAAAAAAAAAAAAAAGGAGUUUACAGCAGAAGCAAAGAACAAGUUUACAGCAGAAGUAGAGUGUCAUGUUCAGAAAACUGAAAAAAAAAAUGUUCAAAAUACAUACUAGAACGUAACCACAAACCCACGUUGCCAACUAAUGGCUUGCUUGAUCCACAAAAUCAGAAACAAAUCAGAAUAUCUAAGGUACGUGCAGUUAACUGCUCCUAGGAGAUAAGAUUGACUAACCAACUCCUAAAAAACAGGACACCAACAAACUGACUAAACAAAACAAAACAAAAAAAAGAGAAAGAGAAAAACAGCACGUGCAGUCUUGAUACAUCAACAGCAUUCAAGAGGCUCGAGAACGCCUCACCAGGGAGCGUGAGGAUAUCCUUAAUGCCAGGGGCGGCAGAGCAGCCAAAUUGUUCACUGGGAAAGAAAUAAAAAAGGUGACGGCCAACUUUUCCAAGGAUCGGCUUCUCGGUGUUGGCGGAUAUGGCGAAGUCUAUCGAGGCAUCCUAGAUGAUGGCACUGUUGUCGCCAUCAAGUGUGCGAAACUCGGGAGCACUAAAGGAACUGAUCAGGUCCUGAACGAGGUUGAUCCUGUGCCAAGUCAAUCACCGAAGUCUUGCUCGUUUACUCGGGUGUUGCGUUGAGCUUGAGCAGCCGCUCUUGGUUUAUGAGUACAUCGAGAAUGGUACUCUACUGGAUCAUCUCCGUGGUGAAGGGCAGGGUAAAUUGUCCUGGACUCGUUGCCUCCAGAUUGCACAUGACACGGCCGAGGGCCUUGCUUACCUUCAUUUCUCAGCAGUUCCUCCGAUAUAUCACCGAGAUGUCAAGUCUAGCAACAUAUUGCUGGAUGAGAAGUUGAAGGCCAAAGUCUCGGAUUUUGGGUUAUCUCGGUUGGCUCACACUGAUAUGAGCCACAUAUCAACGUGUGCUCAAAGUACACUCGGAUAUCUUGACCCCGAGUACUAUCGCAACUACCAGUUGACUGAUAAGAGCGACGUAUAUAGCUUCAGAGUAGUGCUGUUGGAGCUCUUGACAUCUCAAAAGGCGAUAGACUUCAAUCGAGCGACGGAUGAUGUGAAUCUGGCAGUCUAUGUGCAGAAGAUGGUGGAUGAGGAGAGGAUAAUGGAUGUUGUGAAUCCAAUGCUAAAGGAACAGGCGAGCACCGCCAACCGCCAAUGUGGAGACCAUGAAGGCGCUCGGGUUUCUUGCCGUGGGAUGCUUGGAGGAACGGAGGCAGAACCGUCCUUCCAUGAAAGAAGUUGCCAAAGAAAUCGAGUAUAUCAUGAGUAUUGCAACGGCCGAAGUAGUAGAGAGUUAAUUCUGCAGAAUCAGGUAACACAGACGAAUAGUCAUGCCCAGUUUAUUUUUAUUGAUCAUGCAUGGUUGUUGUACUUGUCUCUAAGCACAGAGAUGGAGCCUUUCACAAUCCUGAAGUUCAUGUCUCUCAUGUAAUGCAGACCUCUUCAGAAGGCAGUUUUUUGACCGUAGGUUUACCACUUGUUCUUGAAUUUAGCACUAGCAGAACCUUUUUGGACAGAAUGCCCAAAAGUAUAUUUUGUAGUGUAUAAGCUUUGACUACAUGCGUCUGGGUCAAACCUCACUAUCUGGAAACAUAAAGAGCCUAUCUUUUAAGUUCUUUUGGCUGCUCGACUCGGUUAUAACUUAUGCCUCACGAAUCGACCAAGACGAGUUCAAUCAGCGUUGGAUAAAUCCUGACAUGCUAAAACAUCCAUCCAUGCUAAUACAAAUUCGAGUCUGGGGCGUCUUUCUACUUUCCUGCUUUUCUUUUUUCUGAUUGUUGGCUUGCAAUUGCGGAUCAUGCAACUCAUCUUCCAAUUAGCUUUUCUGAUUGUGUUAUCCCGAUAAUGACUCAAAUACUCGAAUGAGAUACAAAAUGUAAAAGAUCUUAAGAACCUGAUCCUAGAUUAUAUGAACUGAUCUAACAAGCGGCAGGAGAAAUGUUGCAGCCAGAUCUUUGCUUCAUGUGUUAAGCAAGAUCUAUUUCCCUCCAUAAUCUGGCAAGAGUUCGCAUGGAGAGAAAACAUGUUCAACAGGUAUUUUUGCUUAGAAACUCAUCUAGAAAUACAAAUAGAAAAAUCUAUUUUUCUUCCAAAAAUCAAUUUCUAGCCAAAAUGGUUAUCAUUCGCCCCUAAAAGACUAGUCAAAGCUUACUUGUUCUUGCAAUAUCAGUCCAGUCAUAGCUUCUUGCUAGAGCUGACUCUCUUAAAUUAACUGAUCCUAGGAAGCAGAACAAAAGAUAUUUCGAUGGUGCUGACUUACCUGCUGAAACCUCUUUGGUGGACCAUUAUUUCCUGAAAAAUGCCGAAGCUAUGGUGGGACUGGAAAGAUUUGACCGAGUAUGGUGUUUUUCUCUUUUGGAGAGGAAAAUUUAUAAUUAGCAACAAGUUCCUCAUGCAAAGCAUUUAAAGUAAUCGAAACAAGAACUUUUUAGGUAACAUUAACCAUGUUAUGCAGCAACGCUAAUUUCCACAAUGGCCUGUUCUACUUAGUGUUAAGAGAUAGAUAGUUCUUAACAAUGACUCGUCAAGAACCUAUAAUCUGUCAUCAGUAUGGUUUUUUUUUUGUCCCUUAGUUUUGCUCUAAAUUGCAGGCACACUUCUAAUGCUCUUUUUUGGUUACCAUCCUUGGUGCAUAAAUUAACUAAUCUUUUUAUUGGAAAGUUUCUACCUGUUAUAACCACCCAAUCUUUCAACUAAAUUAUCCCCCUGUAAAGGCUAAAGGCAUCUCCAGAUUGUAACUGAAACAGAGUCAAAGCACAUACUUCUUUGGCAUAAUUCCUCGAAAAAUCAGAUUAUGCAAUGCGAGCUUUUGCAGAAGUGGCAUCUAUAAUGGUACUGAUGUCUCUGUGACUUCUACAUAAUGGUAAUGAUCAGCAACUAGACAAUAUAUUACAGCAAAGAAAAGGUCGAUCAAGCACAACUAAUCCGUCACAACAUUUAUUUCAUUUUCCCAAAAGUCAACAAGUGUUGUUGGAUGGCUUUAGGAGCCAUGAUCUAUCUAGCAGAAAAGAACUGAUUUCUUGCGUAGAAAAGGAAGACUCCAUUCUUAGUGCCGAUGGCGGAUAUGAAGUGGGGGCCUCAUAGGUGCCACGUGGAAACUCAGGCACCGGGACUUCUAGCUGAAGAAAUCUUACAACUUGUCCUGCUUUUGGCCUCAUCUUGGGAUCUGGAUGCACACACCACAGUCCCACCAUCAUCAAGCGUUCUAUUUCCUUCCUAUCGAAACUCGAACCCAAUGUUUCGUCCACUGCUUCAAGCAUGUUUCCAGCAAGGGAAAGCUGCCAAACCCACUUGUCCAGCGGAACAUGAUAUUCUCCUUCCUGAUAGGUCCUCCUACCACGUGCGAUUUCUAGAGCCACAACCCCGAAGCUGAACAUGUCGGAUUCUUUAGUAACCUUACCUUCACUCAAAUAUUCUGGCGCCAAGUAACGAAAUGUCCCUACCACAUCCGUUGUUUGUGUCUUGAACCGAGGGUCAAUGAGCUUAGCCACACCAAAGUCUCCGAGCUUAGUGUUGAAGUUCGUGUCGAGUAAUAUAUUGGCAGCUUUUAUGUCUCUAUGGAGAACACAUUGCUCCAGAUCUUCAUGAAGAUAGUCGAGGGCUAAUGCUAGUCCUGAAGCUAUCUUGUACCUCACAUCCCAAGGCAAACUUUUUCGUGUUCCAAAGAGAUGAUUAUCAAGGCUACCAUUAGGCAUAUACUCAUAAACAAGCAAAAACUCACCUUGUUCUUGGCACCAUCCAAUGAAUUGCACCAGAUUUCGGUGUAUCAUGCGGCUUAGUAUCUUCACUUCAUUGGUGAAGAGCUUCUCUGAAUGUUUGGAUUCUGCAAAGAUUCUUUUGAUAGCGACUAGGCGAUCUAAACGGUUCAAAAAUCCCUUGUAAACCUGGCUGGAACCUCCUUGGCCUAGUCGUUGAUUAUUUGCAAAGCCAUUUGUAGCAACAAGCAACUCUUGAUAAGAGAAUUGUAGUGGCAAUGCUAGUAUCUCUUUGUCAAUGUGAGUCAGAGCCCGAAACUCAUAUUUUUUCCUCACCUUGAUCACAAAUCAGCAACAACCUCCUAACAGGACUAGCAAGAGACAUGCUACGGGAAAAGUGAUGAAUGUUACAAUCCUAUAAAUGUUACAGUUUACCCCCUUUUUUAAUGGAUCCACGGAUGGACGGCCCACAACGUCCAAGUUUGAAGUGAACUCCCAUGAAUUGAUGUUGUGUCUCACCCCAAUCGGGCCAUACGAAGCUGAGAAUCCAAUUGCUACUGCUUCAGGAAGAACUUUAGCAAGAUCAAUUUGGCAAGAAAGCGAGGAAGUUUUGUUAUCCAGAGAAAUUGGCUUGUCAUCAAAUGACCAGGAUACAUUAAGAUCCUUGCUAGUAGAAUUAUAGGUCACUAUAACAUCAGCUGCCUUGCCGCUGUGUGAUCCAGCAUUCCAAGGAGUAUAUUUAAGCGACCGGAGUGAGUUAUUGUUGAUUCCUAUGUGUUGUGUCUGCCGAUCAUAUUCCUGGUUCGCAUAAGUAUCAAACUCGACCAUGACGAUUUGGUUCCGAGGCUCAUCAUAUGUGCUCCAAUUGAACAAUCCCAAAAAUCCGCCAGCUGAGUUGGGGGGGACUGGGAAGCCAACGGGAGCAAGAAAAAAGGCAAUUCCAUCACUAUAUUCAGUGGAGUUGUAAGUAUCGAUGGUGACUGAGAAACGAGUAGAGAAGUCUGCUUGUUUCCCUGUAACAGAAUCCCAUAUAUCAAUGGGUUUGGAAUACUGAAUGCGGCCGACCUGAAAGGGAAAGAAUGGUGAGUCAUAUUUACUGGUUAGAUCAACGGAGCUAUACUUAAUUUUCGCAACUCCUUCGAGCAAUAUGUUGGCUCCUUUCGUGUCAAAGCUACUUGUAUUGAAGGAAAGAGAACUGACAAAGGGGAUAACAGGAGAGCAGACAAGGGAGAGAAGGAUCAAAAGAGUGCACGAAGGAAGAGAACAAGACAUGGUUGUAAGGAGAAGUGUAUUCUAUAGCUGUUAAAGAUGAGGUUUGCACCAUUCAACUAAUUCGGGAUGGUGUGCUUCAUAGUGAACCACACAUUCCUAAAAAUAAAUUUUGACCCAUUCAACAGCUUCUUUGCAAUUUGCUGAAGUGGUUGGACACGGGACACUCUAGAAAAAUAUCGGGAGAAUUACAAAAAAAGUCUUAAACCUAUUGCAAUUAUGCCAAUUCAGUACUAAACUUUUUUUUUGCCAAUUUAGUCCUAAAUCUUUUAUAAUUGUGCAAAUUCAGUCCAUCUGGCCAAAAUUGGCCGGCCGGCACUGACGUGGACGUCGGCGGGGGACAGUCGGCCGAUGAGGCAAUUUUUUAAUAUUUUUUUCGAAUUUUUUAAUUCUUUUUUUUUUCACCUUCUUCUUCCUCUGGCUGGCCGGCACCCUCACCGGCCGACUAUUCCCCACCGGUGUCCAUGUCAGCGCUGGCCGGCCAAUUUUGGCCAGAUUAACUAAAUUUGCACAAUUAUAAAAGGUUUAGGAUUAAAUGGCAAAAAAAAAAAGUUUAUGACUGAAUUGGUACAAUUACAAUAGGUUUAUGACUUUUUUAGUAAUUUUCCCAAAAAAUAUCUACUCGGUCUUUCUCAUACCUAAAAUAACCUCACAUUUUUCUAAGUGGCUCCUUCUAAAAGUCACUCCUCCGCAUGGUCCUCCAUCUUCAGUGUCAGUGUCGGUAAUAAAUCACUCCAUUCAUGGAUCGACAUGUGUCCAGUGAGGCCCAUGUUUCGCAUUUUUCCAAGAAUCCUUUUCUCACUCGCCUGCUCUAUUUCAAUGAACACCGUUCACAUCUUCUGUUCUUGCUCCUUGUUAAGUUCACCCAUCGCACGGAAUCUCUUUGCCUACCAACUCGGAAAAUCCAAAUCGGCACGAAAACAGGAACAAAAAUGGAUUGUCGUCGUCUCUCAGAUCACGAUCUGCCAAAAACUACAGAGGCUCCAUCUUUGCAAUGCAACAAGAGGAGCAAAGCCCUUAACCUAUGAACCGAUUCCCAAAUAAAAGAAGACGAAGAAGGAGCUGUGUAAUGGCGAGGGAAAUUCAAAUGCAGUAAGGUGUGCCCAAAUAGGGUGCCGAUUUUUCCCAAAUUGCUUUUGUGUAAAGGUCCUUUUUCUAAAAAAAGAAACAAUUUAUUCGAUGUGUAUUUUCUGUCAUGCAGCAGCAAAAGAACCUUUCAAGUACCAUAAUUUGGCACAAAGGUACACUUAAGCCCUCAGCCAUCGCCGCUGCCUCCCCGUCGUCGCCGGGAAGGGCCGAUGACGGAGAGGGGAGGGUCGGCCGACUAACCGCCAGUCGGCCAGGGUCGCCGGCCCCUGGCUAGGGCCUGAUGACCUCGGUCGACCCCCCCCUUUUUUUUUAAAUUAAUUUUUUAAUUUUUUAAAAUUUUUAAUUAUUUCUAUUUUAAAAUUUCUUUAAUGUUAAAAUUAUUAUUAAAAUUUAAUUUUAAAAUUAUUUUUUAAAAUAUUUUAAAGAAAUUUAAUUUAAAAUUAUUAUUUUUUCAUAUUUUAACUAAAUUUAAUUUCAACAUUAUUAUUUUUUCAUUUUUUAUCUAAAUUUAAUUUUAAAUUUAUUAUUUUUUCAUAUUUCAACUAAUUUUAAUUUUAAUUUUAUUAUUUUUUCAUAUUUUAACUAAAAUUAAUUUUAAAUUUAAUUUAAUUAAUUUUUAUAUUAUUUUUUUACCACAUCAACCCAAAACGACGCCGUUUUUACAUUAUUUGGCCACGUCAGCAUGCAAAACGACGUCGUUUUACACUCGCUUCGCCGGAAAAAUGCCACGUAUGCAAUUUGACAGGAUUGGAACUUAAGUGAUCCAUUUUGCUCCGAUUUUGGCACUUAAGUGUACUUUUCAUAAAUUAUGGCACUUAAGUGUCCCUUUUUGCUAAGUUAUGGCACUCCAUGGGUCCGCAUGUCGUCAUGCAGCUGAAGAGGAAGUUGAUCCAGGAUUGGAAAGCUCCACAAGCUUUUAAGCUAGGUUGUUGGAGUGGCUACAUUAGUUUUGUCAAGGGUGUGAAGAUGAAGGUGAUGGGUGUUUAUGAAAAAGAGAAGGAGAUUGAAAAAGGAAUUUUUGAAAAAUCUAAAAUGUGGGCCCGUUGAUUGACAAAUGAAAUGAUUUAUUUUUAACCUGGCAAGACAUGUCUCAUUCAAUAUUUUCUCCAUCUCCAUCUAGAAAUGUUGAAUGAGAAAAUUGUGUGUACACAUUUUCAAGUGCUUUAUGGUUUAGUCAUGAAGCAAAUUGAACCUAAUUUCUCAAUCGGGAGGAAGAUUGUGUUGCCGAAUGCAUUUGAUUUGUAUCUUAAAUGUCGACAUCUAUAGUGAGAUGAGUUGGAUUAUUUAUUCUAAAAAUAAGGUAGCAUAAGAUUUCCACGUGACACAAAUGGUCAAUAUCACUUGAAUGGUCGAUUUUCUUUAAAAUGAUGGUGGUUUAAUAAUCUCUUGGAAGGUUAUGACACUAAAAUGAGUGUUAUGAGAAAGUUAUGAUAUUGUUAGAAGGAUCUCUCAACCUCAUUCUCUUUUGCCCAAUCAAAGAUUUAGUCCCAUGAAAAUCCGCGAGGCGAUGCAUUUUCCCUCGUACCAGUUGGCUUCGUAAUCCCACCCAACUCCAAUCAAGCCUACUUAGGAUUGUUUGGCGAAAGCACCGUGGAUCAUGGCACAAAGAACCAAAAUUUUAAUUUGUCCAGCUUGACAAGUUUGAAAAUAGAGAAGUUAGCCCUUUAUACAUGCACGUUGGGGUCAAUAUCUCACCUUCCUCGCUAGUACGUGGCAGUUGGGAUCCUGAGUCAUAUAAUGGAAAGCAAUUAAUGCGUCGAUGACCUACAAUUCUAGCUAUCAAAUUAUCUUGGCGUGUUUUGAUCAUUGGAUGACGGCACAUUUUCGAUUGACUAUAAAACCCACUUCCAGCUUUCCUGCCUGCCUCAUUGAUCACACGAAGUACCUUCCCAUAAAUAGUCGCAGUUGCAUUUUCAACUUUUUAUGACACAUAACGGUAAGACAAAGCCACAUCAAUUCGUGGAAAUUUCCUUCAAACAGCAAACCUCUCUCAAUCAAACCGCAAAAUUCGUAGGUUGACCAUACUUUUUUACGGUUCUUGCAACAUGUUUCUUGUUAUCAACGGUCGUGACCAGGUAAUGCUUGGCGUGGAGAAAAUGUUAAGUACACUUAAUGUUCGAGGUUAUGGAUUUGAGAGAGAAGAAGCAAUUGCUUGAAGUAUUACACCAAGAGACAUCAAGUUUUGAACGUUCAAAAGUGUUACCUCCAGCGUAAGGAAACCCUAGAGUUUUUAUAUGCAAGUUAUUGGGCUCUGGCCCAUAUGGACCCAAAUAACCAUGUUUUCACCUAUUUGGCUUGUAUGUGAACAUAUUAUUUUAGACUAUAUUAAUAAUGUAUCCAACAAUCUCCUCAUAUGUUCACCAUACAGCACAAUCCAAUAAGGUGGUCAGUGUAAUGUUAACAUAAACAUGAACCAUCCACAUUCAGUCCAAGACAAUCAACUCGGAUCGGUCAAAGAGUAUUUCAGCAGUAAAAUAUUAAACUGAAUAAUCAUUUACUCAUCAUUCCUAUCAUGACUUUAUUCUCAGAUUAAAAAAAAUCCAAAUCACAAAAUAAAUCUCAAACUUAGUUCACAACCAAUAUAUGCAUAAUAGUCAACUAUAAGUACUUUCCCAUAAAUAGUCGCAAUUGUGUUUUCAACUUCUUAUGACAUCCAACAGUAAGACACAGCCGCAUCAAUUCAUGGAAAUUUCCUUCAAACGACAAACCUCUCUCAAUCCAAUCGCAAAAUUUGUAGGUUGACCAUACUUUUUUACGGUUCUUGCAAUACGUCUCUUGCUAUCAACGGUCAUGACCAGAUAAUGCUUGGCGUGGAGAAAAUGUGAGGUGCACUUAAUGUUGGAAGUUAUGUGUUUGAGAGAGAAGAAGCAGUUGCUUGAAGUAUUAUACCAAGAAACGUCAAGUUUCGAACGCUCAACAGUGUUACUUCCAACGUAGGGAAACCCUAGAGUUUUUAUAGGCAAGUUAUUGGGCUUUAGCCCAUAUGAACCCAAAUAACCAUGCUUUCAUCUAUUAGGCUUGUAUGUGAAUAUAUUAUUUGGACUAUAUUAAUAAUAUAUCCAACAAUCACCUCCUAUAUUCACCAUACAGCAUAAUCCAAUAAGGUGGUCAAUGUCAUGUUCACACAAACAUGAAUCAUCCACAUUCAAUUCAAUACAAUCAACUCGGAUCAGUCAAAGAGUAUUUCAGCGGUAAAAUAUUAAAAUAAAUCAUUAUUUACUUAUCAUUCUUAUCAUGAAUUUGUUUUGAGAUUAACAAAAUCCAAAUCCAAAAUAAAUCUCAGACUUAGUUCACAACCAAUAUAUGCAUAAUAGUCAAGUAUAAGUACAUUCCCACAAAUAGUCGCAAUUGCAUUUUCAAAUUAUUAUGACAUCUAACGAUAAGACACAGCCGCAUCAAUUCAUGGAAAUUUCCUUCAAACGACAAACCUCUCUCAAUCAAACUGCAAAAUUCGUAGGUUGACCAUACUUUUUUACAGUUUUUGCAACACGUCUCUUGCUAUCAACGGUCAUGACUAGGUAAUGCUUGACAUGGAGAAAAUAUUAAGUGCACGUAAUGUUGAAAUUUAUGGGUUUGAGAGAGAAGAAGCAGUUGCUUGAAAUAUUAAACCAAGAAAGUCAAGUCUGAAACGUUCAACAGUGUUACCUCCAACGUAGGGAAACUCUAGAGUUUUUAUAUGCAAGUUAUUGGGCUCUGGCCCAUAUGGACCCAAAUAACCAUGCUUUCAUCUAUUGCGCUUGUGUGUGAACAUAUUAUUUUGGACUAUAUUAAUAAUAUAUUGAACAAUCUUCUCCUAUAUUUACCAUACAGCACAAUCCAAUAAGAUGGUCAGUGUAAUGUUCACACAAACAUGAAUCAUCCACAUUCAGUCCUAUACAAUCAACUCGGAUCGGUCAAAGAGUAUUUCAGCAGUAAAAUAUUAAAUUGAAUAAUCAUUUACUCAUCAUUCUUAUCAUGAAUUUAUUCUCAGAUUAUCAAAAUCGAAAUCCAAAAAUAAAUCUUAGACUUAGUUCACAACCAAUAUAUGCAUAAUAGUCAAGUUUAAGUACUUUCCCAUAAAUAGUCGCAGUUACAUUUUCAACUUCUUAUGACAUGUAACGGUAAGACACUGCCGCAUCAAUUCCUAGAAAUUUCCUUCCAACGACAAACCUCUCUCAAUCAAACCGCAAAAAAUUCAUAGAUUGACCAUACUUUUUUACGGUUCUUGCAACACGUCUGUUGCUAUUAAUGGUCGUGACCAGGUAAUGCUUGGCGUUGAGAAAAUGUUAGGUGCACUUAAUGUUGGAGCUUAUGGGUUUGAGAGAGAAGAAGCAGUUGCUUGAAGUAUCACACCAAGAGACGUCAAGUUUGAAACGCUCAACAGUGUUACCUCCAGUGUAGGCACGCUCUAAAGUUUUUAUAUGCAAGUUAUUGGGCUCUGGCCCAUAUGAACCCAAAUAACCAUGCUUUCACUUAUUGGGCUUUUAUGUGAAUAUAUCAUUUUGGACUAUAUUAAUAAUAUAUCAGACAAUGUCCUCCUAUGUUCACCAUACAGCGCAAUCUAAUAAGGUAGUCAGUCUCAUGUUCACACAAACAAGAAUCAUCCACAGUCAGUCCAAUACAAUCAACACAUAUCGGUCAAAGAGUAUUUCAGUAGUAAAAUAUUAAACUAAAUCAUUAUUUACUCAUCACUCUUAUCAUGAAUUUGUUUUGAGAUUAAAAAAAUCCAAAUCCCAAAAUAAAUCUCAGACUUAGUUCACAACCAAUAUACGCAUAAUAGUCAAGUAUACGUACGUUCCCAUAAAUAGUUGCAGUUGCGUUUUCAACUUAUUAUGAAAUCUAACGAUUAGACACAGCCGCAUCAGUUCGUGGAAAUUUCCUUCAAACGACAAACCUCUCUCAAUCAAAACCGCAAAAUUCAUAAGUUGACCAUAACUUUUUACGGUUCUUGCAACACGUCUCUUGCUAUCAAUGGUCGUGACUAGGUAAUGCUUGGUGUGGAGAAAAUGUUAGGUGCACGCAAUGUUGGAGUUUAUGGGUUUGAGAGAGAAAAAGCAGUUGCUUGAAGUAAUAAACCAAGAGACGUCAAAUUUAAAAUACUCAACAGUAUUACCUACAGUGUAAGGAAACGCUAGAGCUUUAUAUGCAAGUUAUUGGGCUCUGGCCCAUAUGGACCCAAAUAACUAUGCUUUCUCCUAUUGGGCUUGUAUGUGAACAUAUUAUUUUGGACUAUAUUAAUAAUAUAUCCAACAAUCUUCUCCUAUCUUCACCAUACAGCACAAUCCAAUAAGAUGGUCAGUAUAAUGUUCACACAAACAUGAAUAAUCCACAUUCAGUCCAAUACAAUCAACUCGGAUCGGUCAAAGAGCAUUUCAGUAGUAAAAUAUUAAACUGAAUCAUCAUUUACUCAUCAUUCUUAUCAUGAAUUUGUUCUAAGAUUAACAAAAUCCAAAUCCCAAAAUAAAUCUCAGGCUUAGUUCACAACCAAUAUAUGCAUAAUAGUCAAGUAUAAGUACUUUCCUAUAAAUAGUCACGGUUGCGUUUUCAACUUCUUAUGACAUGCAACGGUAAGACACAGCCGCAUCAAUUCCCGAAAAUUUCCUUCAAACGACAAAUCUCUCUCAAUCAAAUUGCUAAAUUCAUAGGUUGACCAUGCUUUUUUACGGUUCUUACAACAAGUCUCUUGCCAUCAACGGUCGUGACCAGGUAAUGCUUGGUGUGGAGAAAAUGUUUGGUGCACUUAAUGUUGAAGGUUAUGGUUUUGAAAGAGAAGAAGCAGUUGCUUGAAGUAUCACACCAAGAGACGUCAAGUUUGGAACGCUCAAAAGUGUUACCUCCAGCGUAGGGAAACCCUAGAGUUUUUAUAUGCAAAUUAUUGGGCUCUGGCCCAUAUGGACCCAAAUAACCAUGCUUUCAUCUAUUGGGCUUGUAUGUGAACAUAUUAUUUUGGACUAUAAUAGUAAUAUAUCCAACAAUCUCCUCCUAUGUUCACCAUACAGCACAAUCCAAUAAGGUGGUCAGUGUGAUGUUCACACAAACAUAAAUCAUCCACAUUCAGUUCAAGACAAUCAACUCAGAUCGGUCUAAGAGUAUUUCAGCAAUAAAAUAUUAAAAUAAAUCAUCAUUUACUCAUCAUUCUUAUCAUGAAUUUGUUCUAAGAUUAACAAAAUCCAAAUCCCAAAAUAAAUCCCAAACUUAGUUCACAAACAAUAUAUGCAUAAUAGUCAAAUAUAAGUACUUUCCCAUAAAUAAUUGCAGUUGCGUUUUCAACUUCUUAUGACAUCCAACGAUAAGACACAGCCGCAUCAAUUCGUGGAAAUUUCCUUCAAACGACAAACCUCUCUGAAUCAAACCGCAAAAUUCGUAAGUUGACCAUACUUUUUUACGAUUCUUGCAACACAUCUCUUGCUAUCAAGGGUUGUGACCAGGUAAUGCUUGGCGUGGAGAAAAUCCUAGGUGCACAUAAUGUUGGAGGUUAUGGGUUUGAGAUAGAAGAAGCAGUUGCUUGAAGUAUCACAUCAAGAGACUUCAAGUUUGGAACGCUCAACAGUGCUACCUCCAGCGUAGGGAAACUCUAGAGUUUUUAUAUGCAAGUUAUUGGGCUCUGGCCCAUAUGGACCCAAAUAAUCAUGCUUUCACCUAUUGGGCUUGUAUGUGAACAUAUUAUUUCGGACUAUAUUAAUAAUAUAUCCAACAAUCUCCUCAUAUGUUCACCAUACAGCACAAUUCAAUAACGUGGUAAGUGUGAUGUUCACACAAACAUGAAUCAUCCACAUUCAGUCCAAGACAAUCAACUCGGAUCGGUAAAAGAGUAUUUCAACAGUAAAAUGUUAAACUAAAUCAUCAUUUACUCAUCAUUCUUAUCAUGAAUUUAUUUUGUGAUUAACAAAAUCCAAAUCCCAAAAUAAAUCUCAGACUUAGUUCACAACCAAUAUAUGCAUAAUAGUCAAGUAUAAGUACUUUCCUAUAAAUAGUCGCAGUUGCGUUUUCAACUUCUUAUGACAUCCAACGGUAAGACACAACUGCAUCAAAUCGUGGAAAUUUCCUUCAAACGACAAACCUCUCUCAAUCAAACCGCAAAAUUCAUAGGUUGACCAUACUUUUUUACGGUUCUUGCAACAUGUCUCUUGCUAUCAACGGUUGUGACCAGGUAAUGCUUGGCGUGGGGAAAAUGUUAGGUGCACUUAAUGUUGAAGGUUAUGGGUUUGAAAGAAAAGAAGCAGUUGCUUGAAGUAUUACACCAAGAGACGUCAAGUUUGGAACGUUCAACAAUGUUACCUCCAGCGUAGGGAAACUCUAGAGUUUUUAUAUGCAAGUUAUUGGGUUUUGGCCCAUAUGGAUCCAAAUAACCAUGCUUUCACCUAUUGCGCUUGUUUUUGAACAUAUUAUUUUGGACUAUAUUAAUAAUAUAUCCAACAAUCUUCUCCUAUAUUCACCAUACAGCAUAAUUUAAUAAGAUGGUCAGUGUAAUGUUCACACAAACAUGAAUCAUCCAUAUUCAGUCCAAUACAAUCAACUCGGAUCGGUCAAAGAGUAUUUCAGCAGUAAAAUAUUAAACUGAAUCAUCAUUUACUCAUCAUUCUUAUCAUGAAUUUGUUCUCAGAUUAACAAAAUCCAAAUCCCAAAAUAAAUCUCAAACUUAGUUCACAACCAAUAUAUGCUUAAUAGUCAAGUAUAAGUACUUACCCAUAAAUAGUUGCAGUUGCGUUUUCAACUUCUUAUGACAUGCAACGGUAAGACACAACCGCAUUAAUUCCUGGAAAUUUCCUUCAAACGACAAACCUCUCUCCAUCAAACCGCAAAAUUCGUAGGUUGACCAUACUUUUUUAUGGUUCUUGCAACACGUCUCUUGCUAUCAACAGUCGUGACCAGGUAAUGCUUGGCGUGGAGGAAAUGUUAGGUGCACUUAAUAUUAGAGGUUAUGGGUUUGAGAGAGAAAAAGCAGUUACUUGAAGUAUUACACCAAGAGACGUCAAGUUUGAAACGCUCAACAGUGUCACCUCAAGCGUAGGGAAACCCUAGAGUUUUUAUAUGCAAGUUAUUAGGCUCUAGCCCAUAUGGACCCAAAUAACCAUGCUUUCACCUAUUGGGCUUGUAUGUAAACAUAUUAUUUUGGAAUAUAUUAAUAAUAUAUCCAACAAUCUCCUCCUAUAUUCACCAUACCGCACAAUCCAAUAUGGUGGUAAGUGUAAUGUUCACACAAACAUGAAUCGUCCACAUUCAGUCUAAUACCAUCAACUCAGAUCGGUCAAAGAAUAUUUUAGCUGUAAAAUAUUAAACUGAAUCAUCAUUUACUCAUCAUUCUUAUCAUGAAUUUGUUCUGAAAUUAACAAAAUCCAAAUCCCAAAAUAAUUCUAAGACUUAAUCACAACCAAUAUAUGCAUAAUAGUCAAGUAUAAGUAUUUUCCCAUAAAUAGUCGCAGUUGCGUUUACAACUUCUUAUGACAUCCAAUGGUAACACACAGCUGAAUCAAUUCGUGUAAAUUUCCUUCAAACAACAAACCUCUCUUAAUCAAACCGCACAAUUCGUAAGUUGACUAUAGUUUAUUACGGUUUUUGCAACACAUCUCUUGCUAUUGAUGGUUGUGCCCAGAUAAUGCUUGGCGUGGAGAAAAUGUUAGGUGCACUUAAUGUUGGAGGUUAUGGGUUUGAGAGAGAAGAAGCAGUUGCUUGAAGUAUCACACCAAGAGACGUCAAGUUUGGAACGCUCAAUAGUGUUACCUCCAGCAUAGGGAAACCCUAGAGUUUUUAUAUGCAAGUUAUUGGGCUCUGGCCCAUAUGGACCCAAAUAACCAUGCUUUCAUCUAUUGGGCUUAUAUGUGAACAUAUUAUUUUGGACUAUAAUAAUAAUAUAUCCAACAAUCUCCUCCUAUGUUCACCAUACAGCACAAUCCAAUAAGGUGAUCAGUGUGAUUUUCACACAAACAUAAAUCAUCCACAUUCAGUUCAAGAUAAUCAACUCGAAUCGGUCAAAGAGUAUUUCAGCAGUAAAAUAUUAAAAUAUAUCAUCAUUUACUCAUCAUUCUUAUCAUGAAUUUGUUCUAAGAUUAACAAAAUCCAAAUCCCAAAAUAAAUCUCAAACUUAGUUCACAACCAAUAUAUACAUAAUAGUCAAAUAUAAGUACUUUCCCAUAAAUAAUUGCAGUUGCGUUUUCAACUUCUUAUGACAUGCAACGGUAAGACACAGCCGCAUCAAUUCCUGGAAAUUUCCUUCAAACGACAAACCUCUCUCAAUCAAACCGCAAAAUUCGUAGGUUGACCAUACUUUUUUGCGGUUUUUGCAACACGUCUCUUGCUAUCAAUGGUCGUGAUCAGGUAAUGCUUGGCGUGGGGAAAAUGUUAGGUGCACUUAAUGUUGGAGGUUAUGGGUUUGAAAGAGAAGAAGCAGUUGCUUGAAGUAUUACACCAAGAGAUGUCAAGGUUAGAACGCUCAACAGUAUUACCUCCAGCGUAGGGAAACUCUAGAGUUUUUAUAUGUAAGUUAUUGGGCUCUGGUCCAUAUAAGCUUGUAUGUGAAUAUAUUAUUUUGGACUAUAUUAAUAAUAUAUCCAACAAUCUCCUCCUAUGUUCACCAUACAGCACAAUCCAAUAUGGUGGUCAGUGGAUUGUUCACAUAAACAUGAAUCAUCCACAUUCAGUCUAAGACAAUCAACUCGGAUCGAUCAAAGUGUAUUUCAGUAGUAAAAUAUUAAAGUAAAUCAUCAUUUACUCAUCAUUCUUAUGAUGAAUUUGUUCUGAGAUUAACAAAAUCCAAAUCCCAAUAUAAAUCUCAAAUUUAGUUCACAACCAAUAUAUGCAUAAUAGUCAAGUAUAAGUACUUUCCCAUAAAUAGUCGCAGUUGCGUUUUCAACUUCUUAUGACAUCCAAUGGUAAGACACAGCUACCUAUAUAUUUGUUCGUGCUUCCGUGUUGUGUCUGACACGUGUCGGACAGGUCGACAUGCUCGGACACAGUCGGACACGCGAUCAACGUGUGUCGAAUUUUCCGACAUGUGGUCAACCUUUGCCUGACAUGUUUCGAGACGCGUGUCUGGGAGGGAGCAGACCGUGAGCGACGGCAAGAGACGGCCAAGCAUAGACUGAGGCGAGGGCCGACCCUGUGAUGCUGCGAUGGAUCCGACGAGGCUGCAACUGCGAGGGAGAAAGGACCAAAGGUGAGAGGAAGAGGAGAGGAAGGCGGUCGUGCGGCGAGUGGCAAGUGGUGAGGAGCGGCGAGCGGCUUAGAAGGGGGUCAUGCGGUGAGGAGUGGCGAGGAAGGGGGUCAUGCGUGCGGCGAGGAGCGGCGACCGGCGAGGAAGGAGGUCGUGUGGCAAGCAGCAAGGAGGGAGGAGGAGAAGAGGAAGGGUUGCGAGUGGCGAGGAGGAGGAGUAAAGGAGCUAGGGUUUCUAAGAAACUCAAAAGUAAUUUAAAAAAAAAAAAAAUGGGAGUCUAUGGGUACCUAUUUUGGGGGGAGGGAAGGUGACGAACAGAUGGGGGGAAAUGGACGAUUGUGGGAGGGAAAGGAAAAAUAAAUAAAUUUGGGUGGGGGGAAUGGACGAUGGUGGGGACUGGGGAGGGAAAGGAAAAUAAAUUUGCGGGUGGGGGGAAAUGGAUAAGGAAAAGAAGAGAGUGGGGUGGACUCUAAUGGGAAUUUUUUUUUAAUCAGAAAAAUAAAUAAAUGAGAUUAAAAAAUAAAAGUAAAUUUGGGGGGAGGGGGGAUUUCGAAAAAUAUGUAAAUUUGGGAUAAUGAAAUUAAAAAAGUGUAAGAUUUAUUAAUAUUAUUAGUACAAAUUCAUUGUAAACUCUUUAUUUAUUUAUUUAUUUAUUUAUUUGUGAAUUUGAAUCAAAUUAAUUAAAAUAAAAAUACUUAUUUAAUAUUUAACGUGUCGAAACGUGUUGAAAUUUUCUAUUUUUUGAGAAAUGACGUGUUGCGUGUUGUGUCGUGUCGUGUCGCCGUGUCCGUGCUACAUAGACAGCCCAUCAAUUCAUGGAAAUUUCCUUCAAACGACAAACCUCUCUCAAUCAAACCGCAAAAUUCGUAGGUUGACCAUACUUUUUUACGGUUCUUGUAAUACGUCUCUUGCUAUCAAUGGCCGUGACCAGGUAAUGCUUGGCGUGAAGAAAAUGUUAGAUGCACUUAAUAUUGAAGAUUAUGGGUUUGAGAGAGAAGAAGCAGUUGCUUAAAGUAUUGCACCAAGAGACGUCAAGUUUGGAAUGCUCAACAAUGUUACCUCCAGCGAAAGGAAAUCCUAGAGUUUUUAUAUGCAAGUUAUUGGGCUCUGGCCCAUAUUGACCCAAAUAAUCAUGCUUUCAUCUAUUGUGCUUGUAUGUGAACAUAUUAUGUUGGACUAUAUUAAUAAUAUAUCCAACAAUCUCCUCUUAUGUUGAUCAUACAGCACAAUCCAAUAAGGUGGUCAGUGUAAUAUUCAAACAAACAUGAAUCAUCCACAUUCAGUCCAAAACAAUUAACUCGGAUUGGUCAAAGAGUAUUUCAACUGUAAAAUGUUAAACUAAAUCAUCAUUUACUCAUCAUUCUUAUCAUGAAUUUGUUCUCAAAUUAACAAAAUCCAAAUCCAAAAAUAAAUCUCAGACUUAGUUCACAACCAAUAUAUGCAUAAUAGUCAAGUAUAAGUAAGCCAAUCAAAAUUGUCUAAGGCCUUACAAAUAUAAGAAAUUAGCAUAAUAAUGUUCACAAAAUAGAAAUAGCAAAAUACUAGUCUCAAGUAAAUGGACUUCAUCAAAAUAGGCAAUAUCAAGUAAGCUGUCAAAUUCCUACACGCUUUAAAUGAUAUAUAUUCAUUCAUAAAGUAGGUCAUCCUGGUCAGGAUCCCACUCAUUAAGCUCUCCUCAAUCUCUACCAUCCCUUGUAGAAUGUCAAAUAUGAAUUUUAUAUUAUCAUGAAUUUAAUCAUUUGAAUAAAAAACUUAACAACAUUUUAUCAGGCAGAGAAGAACAUAUAUUGAUGUCAUAAAGCAUCAUAAUAUCAUUCAUUAGCAUCAAUCAAGUUUCAUAUAUUAUGAACAAGACCUAAACAAUGUGAUUUAUUAAGAGCCAUCAACUUAAGUUUAUUUGUAAGAGAAUAACUAUUGUCUAGUUUCAAAGAACAUGACCAAUAGUCAAGUCAUCUACAAUAACCUAGUCAUGUAAUAUCAAGUUUUAAUUAAGAACAAGACUCGCAGGCUUCUUAUGUAAACAAUUGUUUCUAUGUUUCAAUUUGGAAUGUCACAAUUACUAAUUCCUUAAAGUCAACUAAUCUAGCAUCAAGUUUGGAAUGAGAUCAUUUAACCAAAAAGAAUAGUUCAACCUAGUUGAAUUGUAUCAUCAAGUUUGGAAUGACACAAUUUUCCCCGAUAGAACAUUUGAACUAAGUUAAAGUUAUCUUCAUUAAGUUUGGAAUGAGAUAACUCACCAUUUUCAAAUUAGUCAACAACUGUGAACAUCCAUGAAACAUAUAAACUGUGCUUAUCAUUGUAGCCAAUGAAGAAAGAUUCAAUAAUUCAAAACACACAAUUAGAAGGUAAAUAAAUGGUAGUUAAGACUUGCCUAUAUAGUCUUUAACCCUAGUUCCCCCACUGUUUUAAAUAAUCGAUCUUUAGACAUACCUUUGGUGAGAGUAUCGGCUAUGUUAUCUUUCAAUCUCACAUCGAUCAAUGUGAUAACCCCUUGUUCUUUUAGAUAAUUCAACAACACAUGUCUCAGUCUCACAUGUCUUUGCUUUGAAUUAAAAAAAAAGCAUUCUUGACGACUUGGACAACUACUCACAGAAUAGGCUUAAAGAAUUAAUCUUUAGCCGAGUCAAAGGAAUAUCCAUAAUCAGAUUAUCUAUCCACUCUGCCUCUUCACCGGCUAAGGCUAAAGCAAAAAGUUUCGAUUCCAUAGACGACAAUGCAAUACAAGUCUGUCGUUUGGAUUUCCAAGUAAUAGCAACUCCACCCAAAGUGAAUACAUAUCCAUUAGUGGACUUACUAUUUCCAAUAUCUGAGCACCAUGAGGCAUCAGAAUAUUCAUCCACAGUUGGAGGAUAACCAGAAUAAUAGAGAGCAUAAUUUUUAGUACCUUUAAGGUAUCUCAUUAGCCUAUCGAGGGCAUCCUAAUGCUUUUUACUAGGAUUACUAGUAAAACGACUCAGUAUGUCAACUGUAAAGGCUAUGUCAGGUCUAGUGCAACUUAUAGCAUACAUGAGACUACUAAGCAGUUUCGAGUAUUUUAACUAAUCCACGCCGGUCCCUUCAUUAAGACUCGGUCUGUUAUUAUAAUCACAGGGUGUCUCACUCAGUUUAUACUUAUCGUAUCCCCAAGUAGAAAGUAAUUGCUUAAUAUAAUGAGUCUGGCUAAGGGAGAUGACUUGCCGUUUAAAGCUUACUUUCAUACCAAGAAUGGUAUUAGUAAUACCAAGAUCUUUCAUGUCAAAUUAUUUAGUUAAAGUAGCUUUCACGUCACUCACUACAGAAUGAUUGGAACCAAGAAUUAACAUACAAUCAACAUACAAACAAAUGAUGACUAACUUAUUUGACGUAGAACAAUGGUAAAGGCAUUUAUCUAAAUAACUAGAAUGAAAGCCAUAACUCCUUACCACUUUGUCAAAUUUAAGAUGCCACAUCUUUGGUGCUUGUUUAAGACCAUACAAGGAUUUAUUCAAUUUACAAACUUUGCCCUCAAGACCUUUCAUAACAUAUCAUUAUGGUUGUUCUAUGUAAAUUUCCUCAUUUAAAUCCCCAUUUAAGAAAGCUAUUUUUACAUCCAUUUAAUGUACGACAAAGUGUUCAAUAGAUGCCAAAGCAAAAAGAAUUCUUAUAAUUGAUAGAUGACACGCAGGUGAAUAGACAUCAAAAUAGUUUAUUCCACUCUGUUGUUUAUAGCAUUUAGCUACUAAACGUGCUUUGUAUAUGGCUAUUGAUCCAUCACUAUUCAAUUUCUUCUUCAACACCCAUUUACAGCCUAUAGCUUUAGCCCCUUUUGGCAAAUUUACUAGCUGUCAAGUGUGAUUCUAUAGCAAAGAGCUCAUUUCAUCAUCUAUGGCUUCUGUCCACAGUAGAGAUUCCCUAUAUCUCAUUGCUUCCUGAUAGGAGAAUGGAUCAUCCUCAAGAUGGUAAGUAACAAAGUCCUCACCAAAACUUUUGGGAAUUCUCUCUCUUGUAGAUACUCUAACUGGAAUUGAUUCAAUAGCCAAUUGUGUGGAAUUAGUGUCAGAAGGGCCUGCUUUAGAUUCUAUAGGAGAUUUUGAAAUUAUGUCUAUAGAUUCGAAAACAUUCAAGCCUUGAUCUCUAAGAAACUUGUUUUCGAAGAACACUGCAUCUCUAGAUUCUAUCACUGUAUUAGUAUAUAGAUCUAAAAACCUAUUUGCAGCGCUAUCUUAUGCACUACCUAGAUAUACACAAGUAAUGGUUCUAGAUCCCGCCUUAGAUUUCUUAGAAUCUGGUAUACUUACAUAAGCAAUACAACCCCAUAUCUUAAGAGUAUCAUAUCUACAAGGGUGCUUAUGCCAUAUCUCAUAAGGUGUCAUGGACAACUUAGAGUGCGGCAACAUGUUCAAGAUGUGAUUAGCAGUUAGAACUGCUUCUCCCCAGUAGGAGAAAGGCAUGCCAGUUGUGAGUAACAUAGAGUUUAACAUUUCAGUUAACGUUCUAUUUUUAAGUUUGGCAACACCAUUUGAUUGGGGUGAAUAAGGAGCAGUGGUUUCAAGUAUUAUACCUUCUGAAGCACAAAAUUUCUUGAACCUUGACAUAGUAUAUUCUCAUCCUCUAUCACUCCUAAACCUCUUAAUUUUCAAGUUGAGUUAAUUUUCUACUUUAGACUUAAAAAUCUUAAACUUUUCAAACGCCUCAUCUUUCGAUUUCAACAAAUAGGCAUGACAAUAUCUAGAAAAAUCGUCUAUGAAUGUUAUUAAAUACUUCCGACCACCUUUAGUAAUAUAAUUUCUAAAGUCACAAAUAUCAGAAUGUAUUAACUCAAGAAGUUGUGUGCUUUUAGAAACCAACUUAAAGGUUUUCUAGUGAUUUUAGUCUAUGCACACACUUCAUAUUUGUCAAAUCGAAUAGAAGUACCUAAUGGAAUGUUGUGAGUUUUAGCUAGAUGUUGCAUUUUCCUGUAAUUCACAUGUCCAAGUCUAUUGUGUAGCAAUUUUGGAUUAAUCAAAGUAGAAUUCACAUGGUUUAUGCUAUCAAUAUUUAAACUAAACCUAUACAUACCAUUAACCAUGAAUGCACAACCGAAAUAAUAUGAAUCAUUCAUAGUUAAAAAAGACAUACCAACUUUAUCAAAUAAACUCAUAGAUAUCAAAUUAUUCUUAACUAAAGGUACUACUCUAACAUGUUUCAGAGUUAGUAACUUACUUGAAGAAAGCACCAAAUUUGCAGUUCUAGCAUGAGUCACAUUUGCCUCACCACCAUUUGCAAUUUUCCACAGUGUCUUUCACUUCUGUGACCUCAGUGAGUAAGUUCUUGUCAUUUGUAGCAUGACAAGUAGCACCACUGUCCAACCACCACUCAGAAGAGACAUUGGCCUUUCCAUUCUUCAUCAUUCCAAUGAAGGCUCGAGGCUCAGAUCCUCUAAUUAGCAUAUUGGCCUCAUUAUGUGGUGUGCCAUUAUUUGGCUUCUUCAGCAACUUACACUCUGCUACCCAGUAACCCCACUUUCCACAGUUAUGGCACUUGCCCUUCUUCUUCUUAUUGAAUAUAGUCUUUUUGGCCUCUAACUGUAAUGAGAAUUCACCUUUUGGUGACUUGAAUUUUUUCUGAGGUUUAUUGGAGUGUGAAACUAAGUUGGCAACUGACUUUUGUUGUCCAACUUGUUCCAAAUUCUUCCUAGUAAUAUUUUGAUCCUCAAUGUGAAUAUACCUCUUUAAUUCAUCUAGUCCCAUUUGUACCUUCAGUCUAUGCAUUUCAGUCUUGAAAUAACUACAUUCAGUUGGUAAUUUGCUCAACACAAGACCGACAAAGAGAUUAUCAGACAUAUCAGAGUUAUCAUCUUUCAACUUGUUCCUCAUGUUCUCAAAUUCAACUAACUGAGAGGUAAUGCUUGAAUUCAUAGUGAAUUUAAAGUCAAAGAAUUUCUCCGCUAUGAGAGUUUUAGAGAGCCCAUCUUGUUUUUGGAACUGAGCGUUCAAGUGAUCCCAUAUCUCUUUUGCCGUCUUAUACUCACUAUUAAGUCAUAGCCAGAUUAUGAUUUAGAGAGUUCAACAAGUAAUCUCUAUAAAAAUCCUCAUCUUUGUUCCACUGAUAUUCAUCCAUAUCUUUAGUGGUAGAUACAAAAUCACUUAAUACAGUAUAGAAUAUGUCACGUUCUUUCCUGCCAAAUUGAACAUGUAAUUUCCAACCAUGAAAUUCAGUAACAUCAAAUGAUUGCAACUUUAUAAUAUCAUAGGAACUAUGCUUUGCCAUUUUAAUCAAAGUAAAGUGUUAGAAAUAGUGCACCUUGAAGUUCUCGAAGCCACAAAGUCGAAUAACUCCCCUAACCUUGAUCAAAUCGCUCUGUAGAGAUGGAAUUGCCAAAACAAACCCCAAAAACAGAUCUGGAGCACCCAAAAACCUUAAGAUGGACUACCCUUGUUGCUGAAACUCGCUGUAAAUUUCCACCGCCAAAAUUUCGCUGAAAUUUCAUCCCGAAAAUUCGCUAGAAAUUCAGAUGGAAACUUUUGGGUGCCGUAACUUCUCCGUCCGACCUCCAAUUGAUGCAAUGACCACUCAAAAUGUUCAUAUCAACGAGUAGAACAAAACCCAAGUGGUUUCACCCUCUAAAAUUGGCUAUAAUUUUUGAAUUUUUAAAUCAAAGAUUUCGGUCACUCGAAUCUUUAAACUCAAAUCCCGGCCGAUAUCACCGUCGAAAUCGAAAGUAAAUUAUACUCGUGAAUUUGUCUUGAUGAAAUCUUCAAGAAGACACCUUACUCGCUCAAAUCCAACACAAGAACUUAAUACUUCAAGAUUGUUGGAAAUUUAUGGGUUUGAGAGUGAAGAAGCAAUUGCUUGAAGUAUUACACCAAGAGACGUCAAGUUUGAAACGUUCAACAAUGUUACCUCUAGCUUAGGGAAACCCUAGAGUUUUUAUAUGUAAGUUAUUAAGCUCCGGCCCAUAUGGACCCAAAUAACCAUGCUUUCACCUAUUGGGCUUGUAUGUGAACAUAUUAUUUUUGACUAUAUUAAUAAAAUAUCCAACACUUAAUAUCGCAUGUGGGAUAUAUACGAAAUUGUUGAAGAUAGUGUUGCCUAUAAUUGAUCAUAAUUGAUCCGUAUUGAUCUACUUUGUAUAUUUAGGGAAAAUUAGAAUUUUGUAUAUUUGGGAAAUUAUUCUUGUAUAUUUAUUUUCUCUAAUUAGAUCAAGCUUGUACAUUAUUAAUAGGGUUGUAAACUGUACAAUUGAAUAGCAAAGAAAGAAAAACACUUUUCCCAAUUCUCGAUUCUCGGUUUGUUUCCAUCUAAUAUUCUGACAUGGUAUCAGAGCCUAUCUUCUAGCUUCCGCUCCUUCUUUACAUCUUUCUCUACCAAUUUUUGCUCCUUCUUUCUCUACUUCUUCUAGCCCUCGAAGCCGUCUUCUAGCUUCCCUAUUUUUUUCUUCUUUUCGGCUCCCCUGUUUCCUUUCUUCUCCACAUUAAGCCUGCAAUUCUUUUCUUUUGUACUAAAACAGCAAGGAAACAAAAAUGCCGAGAAACCAAGCAUUGAAAUCAGGGAAUUCCCAAGAUCCAGGAAUUUCUUUUAACAUCCAAGGUUUAGGCGACUCACCUUUGGAUGAACAGAAAGAUUGGGUGAGGGAAAAUCAAACACAACAACAGAAUCAAGUGCCGACUCUUGAGGAGCAACAUGGUUCUAUUCAUCCCAAUACGGGGCAAUUUCUUUCGGGCCCAUAUGUUCAAUGGGUUCCUAUCCAGGUUCAACCCCUUCUAGGACAGACGAGUCAGAUGAAUCUUGCCCAAAGCUCCAUCGGCUUUCCCAAGAGAGCUAAUGACGGGCUAAGGGGAGAAGAUCCACAACUUAAUAAUCAGUCCAACUCUGGUGGGACGGGAUGGCCCUUCUUGAAUCAAACCGGUUCGAGUUCAUCAGGAUUUGGGGCAAGUCCGUACCCGACCUAUGGACUAGGUUUUCUUCCCUUCGCAAGCUUCACCGGAGCUCGACCCGAACCAAGAGACCCUCUCUACACCUCCAACGCAGACGGACCGAAGCUCCGCCUCAUCACACUGCAGUUGUCGGGGCCCGAAAAUUAUUCCAUUUGGUCACGCGAGUUUCGUCGGGCCCUAAUCACAAAAGACAAAGAGGGGUUUAUAGACGGAACGGUUCCGGUUCUGAGCGACAAACAACUUGUGUGCCACUGGAGAAAAUGUAAUCAACUUGUCCAAACAUGGAUAGGCAACUGCCUCACCCCGAAAGUUGCCGCCAGACUACCCUCGACUGAAGAUGCUAAAGGAAUAUGGGAAAAAUAUACAGGAAAUGUAUGGCAAACUUGAUCAAGCCAAAAUUUUCAACAUAACUCAGGCGCUAUCUGAACUAAGACAAGGGAAUCUCUCAAUCUCUACCGUUUUUAACAAGUUAUUAGCACUGUGGAACGAAUUGGAGAUGGCCAAAGAAAAAUUGGAGGGACCCGAAGCAACCCUAGCACAAUACUGGGCGAUAAGGGAGAGGGAGAAGGUAACUCGGUUUUUACUCAUCCUAAAUGAAAGUUACUUACCGUUUCACAGCCAAAUCCUUGCCAUGGAACCCGUACCCUUGCUCGGCCGGAUUUACCAGCUCGCGGUCCAGGAUGAGUCAUAGAGCCUGGCUUCCUCAAAGUACCUAAAAGUCAGAGAUCGUGUUAUUCUUGCAACCAAGGCGACACCAAAGCAAAAGCUGGCUGUAGCGAAGUCUAGCCAUGGGAGCCAUGGCAGAUCGGGAGCUACAAUUGCAGCCUUAGGGUUAGCAAAUGGAUAAGACAAAGCUUUUUAUUCAUCUGAAAAGAGCGGCUAUGAUUUAAUCGGCCGAUCGGACAAUCUGGGGCUCUUGCAGGCUCUUUUUCCAGUGAAUGGCAAAGAUCUCAUCUUUGAAUCCGACGGCUACAGCUGGCCCGAACAAUCUAACGGUCCAGGAUACAUCUUGGCGGCACCCAAAUCUGAUGGCUCACAACAAGCCACGUUUGCAUCAGCGUGGAGAAGAUCUAACGGCCAUAAUUCAGCAAAUUUCUCAAAUAAAUACCAUGGCGGAAAUUCCAACAAAGGAAAAGGCCUGUGAUUAUUGUAAGCGCCCCAAUCAUACACGGGAUAAUUGUUGGAAAUUGCAUGAGAAGCCGGCAGAUAAGGAAAGGAAGGAAAAGGAAAUUUCCAUCACAGUAAAUGCUAAAGCUCACCAGCCCGUUAGUAAUGAUCAAUUCCAGCAAAUCAUGAGAACUUUAAGCUAAUUGGAAUCAUAGGAUAAAGCAGCAAGUUAUACAGGUAAUUCUGAUUGCUUAAGCUCUAUUUCAUUUUAAGCAUGGAUUAUUGACUCAGGUGCUAGUGAUCACAUAGUUUGCGAUAAACGUUUCCUUUCCGAUGUUAAAGAAUCCUCUCAUGUUACUUCCGUCCAUCUUCCAAAUGGGAAUGAUACCUCAAUCACCAAAAUUGGAACAGUUAAUCUCAGUCCAUCCAUUACCUUGAAAAAUGUCCUAUUCAUUCCUAAAUUUCAAUUCAACCUAAUCUCUGUCUCAAAAAUUUGUGAGGACAAUUUCUGUAGAGUCAUCUUUGAUUCUAAUAUAUGAUUAUUUCAGGCCCUUUCGACUGGGAAACUGAUGGGCUGGGGUAAAAUUCAAGAGGGACUCUAUUUUUGGGCCACACCUCCCAAAAAUCUCAAUGUUUCGUUUCUUUUAAAUAAGGGCAUCUUAUGUAAUGCCAAUUCUAAUAAAAAUAUUUUGUUCCAUCAACAUCUAGGCCAUAGUGCCUCAUUUCCUCAUUCAAAAUGUAAUAUUUGUCCAAUAGCUAAACAAUCUCGAUUGCCUUUUUCGCAAAGUACCUCACGAAGCAAAACAGCUUUCUCUCUUCUACACAUGGACAUUUGGGGACCAUAUCAUACACCACAUCGGGAUGGAUCUCAUUUUUUCCUUACAAUUGUGGAUGAUUAUACACGAGCUACCUGGCUUUUCUUGAUGCAAUCUAAGGCACAAGUAUUUUCUCAUGUUAGAAAUUUCCCUGCAUUAAUUAAAAAUCAGUUUCACAAAUCCAUACAACAAAUUCGUACUGAUAAUGCUCGUGAAUUCUUUAAUCAUGAGUGUUCUUCUCUGUUUACAUCAAAUGGCAUCCUUCAUGAGAGUUCCUGCAUCUAUACACCUCAACAAAAUGGGGUGGUUGAACGAAAACAUCAUCAUCUCUUAGAAGUUGCCCGUGCUCUUAAGUAUCAAGCCUCAAUUCCAAAAACAUUUUGGGGUGACUGUGUGAUCACAGCAGCCUAGUUGAUCAAUCAAAUGCCAUCCCGAAUCCUAAAGGGGAAGACUCCUUUUGAAUUACUUUUUGGGAAACGGCUAGAUAUUAGUCAUCUUCGUGUCUUUGGAUGCUUGUGUUAUGUCUCAACAGUGGGCCCUCGGGACAAAUUAGGUCCCCGCGCUAUUAAAGGUGUGUUCAUGGGAUAUCCUGUUUCUCAAAAAGGAUACUCGAUCUAUGAUCUAUCUACCAGUUGCUUCAUCGUUAGCAGAGAUGUUAUCUUUCAUGAGGACAUUUUUCCCUUCCAAGAAGAACUUCUUUUAGAUCAAGAUUCGGGAUCAAUCGCACAUCAUCAUCUAUUCCUCAAUGAAGAAGAUUUGUCGCCUUCACAGCAAGUCUUGUUUCCUCAUGUAUCAUAUUCUACACCUAGAAGUAAUCCGCAAUCCUAUGAGGAUAAUGUCGCACCCGGGGAACCACAAGCAAUGAUAUUGGAGGGUUUCGCUUCACCAAUAAAUCCAAAUGAGAACUCUAUUUUGCCACUUGUAAGUGCAUCGGAUCAACCUCAACAAUCAGGGCGUAGUACACGCCCACCCACAUGGAUAGCAGAUUAUCUUUGUCCCACUUUAGAGUUAUCUGGUACACAUCAUCCUAUCUCAUCUUAUGUUAGUUUUGUUUGUCUUUCCCCGGAACAUAUGUGUUGUACUAGUAGAAUUUCUGAGGGACAAGAACCAUCUACAUAUGAGGAAGCUGUCAAAGAUCCUCAUUGGCAACAAGCAAUGAAGGAUGAAUUACAAGUCUUGGUGGAAAAUGAGACUUGAGAUGUUGUUACCUCGCCUCCUCACCGACGACCUAUUGGCUGCAAGUGGGUAUAUAAGAUCAAGUACAAGGCAGAUGGAUCCAUCGAACGAUAUAAAGCAAGACUAGUGACUAAAUGGUUUACACAGUGGGAAGGGUUCGAUUAUAUAGAAACAUUCUCUCCAGUAGCCAAGGAAGUCACUGUUCGUUCCUUUCUUUCUAUUGCCGCUUUACGUGAUUGGCCUCUUCAUCAGAUGGAUAUUCAUAAUGCUUUCCUUCAUGGAGAUCUCGAAGAAGAGAUUUACAUGGAUCUUCCACCAGGUUUACACAAACAGGGAGAGAAUCAAGUAUGUCGUCUUCGUAAAUCCUUAUAUGGACUCAAGCAGGCUUCUCGCUAGUGGUAUGCUAAGUUCACUACUGCACUUACAGCUGCAAGAUUCCGACAAUCCAAACAUGAUUAUGCCCUCUUCACAUGAAGUCAAGGUACAUCAUCAAUUUAUUUACUUAUAUAUGUUGAUGAUAUCCUCAUUAUGGGAAACAAUGAAUCUGCCAUUCAAUGUUUCAAGAGGUACCUACACUCCACAUUUCGAAUUAAGGAUUUGGGACCUCCCAAAUAUUUUCUUGGAAUAGAGAUUGCACGAUUGGAUAAAGGGAUUUGCCUCAGUCAACACAAAUUUAUCCUAGAAAUCAUAUCAGAAGCGGGAUUAUUAGGAUCCAAGCCAGCUGUCAUUCCAAUUGAACAAAACGUCAAGUUAACCACGGAUGAGUACGAUAAAGGACUUUCACCCCUAAAUGAAGAUCCUCUAUUGAAAGAUCCUUCUAUUUAUUAGAGACUUGUCGAGAAGCUCAUUUAUCUCACAAUAACUAGACCUGACAUAUGUUAUGCAGUGCAAAUUCUCGAUCAAUUUAUGUACAAUCCGAAACAGUCUCACAUGAAUGCUGCUUUAAAGGUCGUGAAGUACUUGAAAAGAUGUCCAAGUUUGGGAAUACUGUUGUCUCGAGAUAAUAACAUGGAAAUGACAGCGUUUUGUGACACAGAUUAUGCUACUUGUCCCAUGAGUAGAAAAUCUAUUACGGGAUUCUGUAUAAAACUGGGGGAUUCGUUGCUCUUAUGGAAAACCAAAAAGCAAUCAACUAUGUCAUUAUCAUCUACUGAAGCAAAAUAUCGGACAAUGGCAAAGACUAGCUGCGAAAUAGUCUGGAUAAGAGGCUUACUUCAAGAUCUUGGUGUUUAGGUAAAAGAAGCAAUUGUCCUGUUUUGUGACAAUGAUGCUGCACUCAAACUAGCAAUGAAUCCGGUUUUUCAUGAAAGGACGAAACAUAUAGAAGUUUAUUGUCAUUUUGUUAGAGACAAGAUCCAAGCUGGAGUGAUCAAGACAAGAGGAAUAAGUACAACAAAACAACCUGCAGACAUAUUUACCAAGCCCUUGUGUCAAAGGCAACACGCGCAUAUACUAAGCAAGCUUGGUGUCUUUGAUGUGUACAGACCACAAGCUUGAGGGGGAGUGUUGAAGAUAGUGUUACCUAUAAUUUAUCAUAAUUGAUCCUUAUUGAUCUACUUUGUAUAUUUAGGGAAAAUUAGAAUUUUGUAUAUUUGGAAAAUUAUUCUUGUAUAUUUAUUUUCUCUAAUUAGAUCAAGCUUGUACAUUAUUAAUAGGGCUGUAAACUGUACAAUUGAAUAGCAAAGAAAGAAAAACACUUCCCAAUUCUCGAUUCUCGGUUUGUUUCCAUCUAAUAUUCUGACUGAAAUCACUAAGCAACACAUGUCAAUCCCGGCCCAUUGGAAGAUUAUUCAAAAUUUAUGGUAGACCCUCUCUCUCUCUCUCUCUCUCUCUCUCUCUCUCUCUCUCUCUCUCUCUCUCUCUCUCUCUCUCUCUCUCUCUCUCUAUUGAAACCGCUCCUCCAUCAUGGAGAAGGAAAAAAAAAUUCACUCCAUUCACACUCGGGUUAAAAAUCGCUCCAUUCACACUCGAGUGAAAAAUUGCUCUAUUCAUGCUUGGAUCUCUCACUCUCUCUCUGUCNNNNNNNNNNNNNNNNNNNNNNNNNNNNNNNNNNNNNNNNNNNNNNNNNNNNNNNNNNNNNNNNNNNNNNNNNNNNNNNNNNNNNNNNNNNNNNNNNNNNUUGGUGGCUUCGAUUCGUCCUUUGCUGCUCUCUCUUUGUCUCGAGAAAUGACUUAUGACAUCCGGAUUUUUUCGCUUGACAAUAUAGUGAGCCCCAAAUGCUUGACAAUCUACGCUACUCACCGUCGGACUACGCCGUUUGCAUCCUCAUUGCGUCAUCACCAAGCGACGCCAUUUCCACCUCAUCCAAGGAUGCAUUUAUAUCAUUGAGUCAUUGCUACUCUGAUCCAAAUACCCCCCCCCCCCCCAACAACUUCAGGAAUUCCAAGAUGCCACAUCCCCUACAUCAACCGAAGACUCUUGAAUUUUCAUCAUGGCUGCUGCUUCCAACUGACACGAAAUGAAGCAGCUGAGUCAACAAUUGCCGCUCAAGAUGAAGACCAGAGAUGACUGUAGAAGGUGCGAACAAAUAGAGAGAGAGAGAGAGAGAGAGAGAGAGAAAAAAAAAAAAGCCGCUGGUUUUCUCUGUUUGACCUCCCAAAACCACGUCACUUUUAUCUAUACCACUUCAGUGACACCACCCACGAAGUGCAGAAGCCAGCUAAGACCGUCCCUCUCAAUUCUCUCCAUUUCACGCACAAAUCAACAGCAGCUCAAGCCGCUCACUUCACCAAGCGACGUCCCUUCACUCAGCCAGCCGCCGCCAGCCUCACCUCCCUCCUGCCGAAUCACCACCCGCAAUCCACGAGGAUUCGAGAUAAACAGAUAUCCUCUAUUCUAUCUUAUAUCCACAAGCAAUCCUCCAACGUCGUUUAGAUUUUCGUUUAGAUGGAAGUUUCGAUCACAUUACCUAGAUAAUUGGCAAGUUCAAAGUAGUCAAACUUGUGGUUGGGUCAUAGGAGCAUAGUCAGUCGAUAUCUAGCAUUUGCGGGGGCUGAGGUAGUUGAAAUUCUGAAUUAAAUCCGUGCUGGGGCUGAGGGCAGGUUUGGUUCUAGCCAGAACCCAAAGUUGCUAAUUUUGUACCGACUUAUGUGGUGCAAAUUUCAUGGGGCAUUCUCACAAAAGUCGUCCCUUAUUGGCUGUUCUACGACAUACUUUAAUUUCAGAAUUUUUGGACUUCGUACGACAAAAAUAUAUUUGAAAACUUCAGGAUUCGAAAUCUGUUUUUGGACUUACUACACUUAUCUCCUGGUUUUCCAUUUUCCACAGAUUUUUCAGUCCAGAAUUUUAAUACAUGUCCUUCGUGAAAGUUGUAGAUACAUCCUAGGCUAUCACAUAUUAAAUUGUCAUAAUUUUUCAGUCUCAUUUGGUUAGAGAAAUAUUUAUUUUCAUGCUCAAUUUCGUUCUGAAAAUUCUGGUUUGCAAAAAUUAUUUAGAACUGUAUGAACUGAAUCGGACUUUGAGUCCUCCACAAAAAGUAUCCCUCUAGGUCUUGUCUACCUCAUAUUAAAGUUUUAUAAUUUUUUAAAACCGUUUGCCUAGACAUCAGCCAUUGUUUCUAAAGGCGCGGGGAACACCUCAUAGAGCUAGUUUAGGCCUAGGAGGUGGGAUCUUCCUUACAGUUCACUUAAUAACUAUAGGGAUGAAGUUUAUAUUAGUCUGUGAGAUGAAAACGAUUGAUGACUCAUUAGAUGCAUGCUCGAGUCACUGAAUAGUGGUGACGUACUUUUAAUUGAGUUAUGGAAUUAUUGCAUCAUGGUGUGAAUGUGUGACUGAGAAUGCCGUUGAUCCUUGGAACGACGAUGCCUUGGGUGGUAAUAAGGAUGCCUGGAGAGGUAACCGGGUUCCUUCAAUGCCUAGAGGUUGUAAUACGGUUCUCCCAAAUGUCCUUGCGAUGCCGGAUAGGUGCAAGGUGCCCGGGGGGUAAGGGGAUUCUCAAAUGAUGAUGGCAGUAGGAAUUCCUAUUAACUAUAUAAUCUUGGUACUUUUAAAUUGAGUUACUGAUUACCUAUUUAGAAAGUUAUUGUUGAUAUCGAUCUAUUAUGUUAUUUUGAAAAGGUUCUCAGGUAAGUUGAUGACUACUAUACUAAAGCUUUCUUUAUCAGUACACUAACCGAUUUGUGUAGUAUAGAUCGGUGGACUUUCUGCUUGUUGGGUUGUGACACACUGGUUAUUGCCUUUAUCUUUUCAGAUCAAUAGAAUGUUGAUCCCACCUACCUCCCUGAUGGUUCAUUAUGGGGUGCCAAUAGACUUCCAUGGGAAGAGGACAGGUUCGUAGACCUCAGUUUUCUAGAUAUUGUCUUUAUUCGGAUCAAAUCUUGCAUGGUCAUUGAUGUAGGGUCCUUGACGGGUCAGGUCACCCUUGGGUUUGACAGGAUGUACGCCUGUGUCAAUGGGCGCACAAUGGGUCCACUCCCAUUGUUCUUCGACGGGCUAGGAGAUGGAGACAACCUCGUAACACAGAAGGAAGGUAGGAAGGAAGUAGGAUUUUUGAAGUUGGGAGGAUUUUGACGAUGUUAGGGCUAGCGUUAGGCGACACAUCUACAGCUAGGUGGGAACGGGUGACUAGCGUACAAUCCAUUGUAGUCAGUAGUCCUAACCUUUUGAAUUCCCCAGUGUACCCCAUUGGUCAUCUAAUGUACAUAUAAAUAAAUUAGAAAUGAAGUUAUCCUAGUUACGGAAAAUUGCGAGUAUCCUAGGAUUACUUUAGUCCCUUAUGCUUCUGCAUGUUUAAUAUCUAGGAAGACACAUAAGAUAUUCUAUUCUAAAAUAAUAUAACAUAAAAAUUUUCGACAACACAGUAGUCAAUGUCACUUGAAUGGUCGAGUUUUGAAAGUCGUGAUACUUAAUUGAUCUCUUUAAAAGGUAUGGCACCAAGGUGAAUGUCAUAAAAAAUAAGCUAUAGCACCGUCAAUGACAUUUUCCACCAAUUUUUUGAAGGAAGUGCAUUAGAUGAUAGACCUAAUUGUUUUUUUUUUUUUAGUCAAAAGUAAUAAUAUAUUGAGCUUUGAGCCAAACAUUUACACAAGAUCCGGCGCCACAAAACUUGCACUCAUGAAGACAAUAAGUCUAAACGAGUGGAAGGGAGCCGGAUGCAAAAGAACUCCGUAAGAGCAACCAAAGCGAAUAACAGCCUAAACAAUAGGCAAACGAGGAAAGAGGAGGCCACGCAUGGCCAAAAGGAACCCAACCUCGACAAAACAACCAAAACAAAGGAUAGACAACAAAGAAAUAAAACAGUCACGAAACACCAAGGAGGGGUAACUGCCCUAGACGAACAGCAGCCAAACCAAUCAAGGUGAACACGGCCCCAGCCAAAGGAAGAAGGCGAAAGGCCUUCAUACAGCAAGCGCCCAAGAAGACAACGGCCACGACCCAACCACAAGCUGUCUCUGAACCACUCCAAAGAACACUAAGGAUCCACCAGAUGAGGAGAGAAGAUGCAAGGAUCUAUCCCCCAGUUAUGCUGGAGUCUUCUAUUUCUUGGAUUAUCCUCAACGUUUCUAAAAGUUAAGGCAUUGUCCUUCACCACUUUGAUGAGAUGAUUUUUAACCACCGCAACUGCAACCGUGUGAUCUCUGAAGAGUAUAUUGUUCAUGUACCUCCAAAUAAGGUGGCAAAAAACACCAAAAGAAAAGCGGCCAAUGGAGCGAUAAAAGUCCUUACCAAAGAGGAACUUCAUCGCCCACUGAAGGUUUUCAGACCAUGUCUUGUUAUGCCAAGGGAGAUUGCAUAUAGCCGCCCAAAAGAAAGCCAUGCUUGCAGUGAUACAACACCCAAAGUAGAGAUGAUCGAUGGAAUCCGGCAUCAGCCUACAAAAAGCACAAACCUCUCUCCCAAUUCUGCCAUGCGACAUAAGUAGGGCUUGGGUGAGAAGACGGUUCUUUAUAAUGAGCCAGAGAUUGAAUUGAUAUCUCGGGGUGAUAACCUUAUUCCAGAUAAAGGAUGCCCAAUUAACCCUAUCUUUCCUUCUUCUGAUAAUAUGCCAAGCCAAGGCGACCGAGAAGAGACCAGAAGUGCCGUUGCUCCAAGUAAAGCGAUCCGAUGCUCUAGAGAGGAGAGGGAGGGGAUAAUCCCAAGAUUCAACUACUGUCUUGAAAUUCUGUCCCGCCGGUGAGAAAAGGUCAGCCACCAUGGCAAAUCUGGAUAAACUAGAAUUUAAUAUCAUUUGAUCUGAACAAAUAAGAUGUAAAGGACCUCUUUAGUGCCAGUGAUCAAACCAAACGGAGACUGACUUGCCAUCUCCAAUUCUCCAUCGGAAGUAGAGACAAAACUCCGAUCUUAGGUGAAUGCUUCUCUUCCAAACCCAAGAGCAAUAGGUCGGCGUCCCAACCACCCAAAAACUCUUCCGUUUCAGGAAGGUUGAGUGGAUCCACUUGCACCAUAAGGACUCCUUGUCUGUAAAUAGGAUCCAAAUGUGCUUGAGCAUCACUGCCUUGUUGAAUUCUCACAAUCUGCGAAUUCUAAGUCCUCCUUCCUCCUUUGGAAGGCACACAUCUUCUCAAGAUACUUUAGUGCCACCAUUUCCAAGGUCGAGGCCCUUCCAAAGGAAUUGUCUGAGAAUCAGCUCAAUGCGAUCCAGAACUGCAACAGGAAUGGUGAAAACACUCGCCCAAUAAGCUUGGACGGCAUGAAUGACCGACUUUAUUAGUUAAACCCUGCCAGCAAAAGAUAGAAAACGCUGAGUCCAAGAUUGGACCCUGGCCAUUAUAUGAUCAACUAAGGACACACAGUCCGCCUUGCUGAGCCUCGAGGAUAUAAUAGGAACUCCCAAAUAAUGCACCGGCAGCUUUCCUUCAAUAAAACCAAGGGCAUCCUUGAUCUCAUUCCGUAACUCCUCCGAGCCACUUGCAAGAAAUAGCUCACUCUUGCUGUUGUUUGGCUUCAAUCCGCUCCAUGCUGAGAAACUAUGUAGACCAUCUUUUAGAAGAGAGAUGGAACCCAUAUCCGCUCGACAAAAGGGAAAGACAUCAUCCGCAAAGAAAAAAUGAGAUAAUCUUGUAGCCUUGCAUCUCCAAAAGAAUUUGAACCCAGGUUGUACCGCACACACACUGAGGAUGCCUGAGAAGACUUCCAUAACCAAAGUGAAGAGGUAAAGGGACAUGGGAUCCCCUUGGCGAAGGCCACAUCCACUAGGGAAAAAGCCAUGGAGUUCCCCAUUCAAGGAAAUCGAAAACUUGGAAGUGCGUACACAUUCCAUAAUAAACCUAAUAAGAUGGUCCGAGAAUCGAAAUGCAUGCAUGACCAUUUCAAGAAAGUCCCAGUCGACCGUGUCAUAGGCCUUCUGAAAAUCAACAUUAACAACACAUUUAGGGGAAUACGGUUGAAGAUGGAAACCAGCAAAUAAUUCUUGUGUAAGAAGAAUAUUAUCCUGGAUGCGACGGCCCUUAACGAAUGCAUUUUGAGAAGGGCUGAUAGUGUCAUGAAGAACUGCGGCAACGCGAUUAGCUAAGACCUUGGUGAUACAUUUAUAAAUCGUAUUAUUACAGUAAGCAAUAGGUCUAUAAUCAUUAACCAAGGUCGCAUUAGGCACUUUAGGGAUCAGCACAAAGAUGGUGUUGUUAAUCUCCCUUAGAAGUCUCCCCGUGACAAAGAAGUCCUUAACUGCUUCAAUAACCAAAGGCCAUACUAGCUCCCAAUUGCUCUUGAAAAAUUCCACACCAAACCCAUCUGGCCCAAGAGCCUUCCCACGAGCUAGGGAGAAGAAAGUAUCACGAAUUUCUCUGUCUGAGAAAGGACGGGAGAGGACACUAAUAUGCUCCUCAUUGAGAGGACACCGAAUAAUUUGUUGCAAGUUUAGCAAUGCAAGGCUAGAAGGAAGGGAUCGCGCAGCAAAAAACUCCUGAAAGUGAGACGAAAGUGUUCUGCACUAGGUUUAGUUCGAUAACCAAAUUACCAUUCCUAUCAAGAACCGAAAGAAUCCUGUUCCUCAACUGUCUUGUUGUGACAAAAUGGUGAAAGUAUUUAGUAUUCCUAUCACCAUUCUCGAGCCAUUUGAUCCUGGAUUUUUGUAUAAAGAAUGACUCCUCCUGACUCAUCAGCUCCACAAAGGUCUUCCGAUGAUUCUUUUCUAACUCUACCAAGAGAUUGUUAGUCAGGUCCUGUUAAAGGUCAAGCUAAGCUAACCUAAAAGCAUUCUUGGACUCAGCAACCCUCUCAGAUAAGUUGGAGAAAAAAUCUUUAUUUAGCUACUUUAGCCGACUUUUUAGGGCCUUCAAUUUGCUAACCAGCCUGCACAUAGGGACCCCUUCUGACGGGGCAUCCCACACUUACGCCACAAUGUCCUGAAAGGACGGGUGCUCCAUCCAGAAAUCAAAGAAUUUAAAAGGUUUCUUCCGAAAAACUGGUUGUGUCACUUUAACCACCAUAGGAGAAUGGUCAGGAAUUCCGAAAGUCAGAAAUGUCGCUUCCGAAUAAGAGAACUGAAAACUCCAAUUGGCAUUCACUAACACCCGAUCAAUUUUCCUCACCUUACGAUUAGCCCCAAAAGACGUGGACCAAGUAAACCGAAGUCCAACAUACCUCAAAUCUUCUAGUUCCGCCUGAGUCAAACACUAAUUGAAAUCAUCAAAACAAGGCGGCCAGGCGUUAGAGCCCCCUAUCCUAUCAGACGGGUCUCUGAUGGCGUUGAAGUCUCUAGUAACCAUCUAGGCCAAAUCCUGGAUGCAAGAACUCAUCCUGACCAGGUCUGCCCACAAAGGCCUUCGUGAUAUGAAUAUGUGCAGAGCAUAAAUCACCGAAGUACAGCAACAUAAACGAGACGUAAGAAGCUCCACUCUACUAUGGAUCGCUUGCUUGUUGGAAGAGAUUAAUUCAAAGUUAACCAGAGUAGGGCCCUAGCCAACCCAAAUCCUGCCCUUAGGAGAAUAAUCAUAAUUGGCCAUCCACUUCCACCCAGCCAAAAGCCCGGCAGACAUGGAUCGAAAGAGAUGCUUCGGCACUUUGGUUUCCAAUAAGCCGACCAUACAGAGGCCGUUAGAAUGACCGAGUUUUCUGACCUCGACUCUCCUCAAAGGGUCCAUAAGACCUCUAAUAUUCCAAAAUCCGAACAACAUCUAUAUAUAUAUACACAACUACCAAGCUAGGCUAAUGAAAGGAAAAUGAAGGCAAAUGAGCCUAGCUCUGCUUCGUAGGCUUCCGGUGAGGAUUUGCCGGCCCUCCAGUCUUCACCUUAGGUCCCGGGUUGGGAGCUCAAGCAAGCAAUCUCUCCUGAAUGGUCUCCACUUUCGUCGGGACAACCCUCGGAGGUGGGCUUGACACGUCGGGGGAGACAAUGUCGUCCUCAUCCAAGCAUUCAAAGGUGGUUGCAACCUCCGACUCCACAUCGAGGUCAUGGGAAGAAGUGCCCUGAUCUAGUCGAGAAUCAACUGCAAUGGAAAGAGCCACCUUUGGAGGUACACUAGAGCCCCUUUGCAUCUUCCGAGCAUGCUCAAAUUGCACCUCUUUCUCGAAAACAGGGGCCUUCAGCCGUCGGGUAGCUCCUUCAUCACUAGGGUUGUUCGAGCGAGAGGAGCUCCUUCCUAAGAUGCCACUUUCUUCUUUUUCUUGCCCUUCGCUUGUUUCCAAGGCUGCUCCAGAACAACCUGUGAUUCUGCAACCUGUGGUUUUGCACCUACCAGGUCGGGAAUUGGAGCUGCAGCCAUCCGAUCAGGAACUAGGGCCACAACCGGGGCCUGGCGAGUAGAGUCGAUCAAGUCCUGCUGUGGGACCGUAGCUUCAGCAAUUGGGGUGGGGGCCUUCGCCGGAUGUGGUGGAACGGGUAUGGCGGGAGCUUGACUCGAAGGAGCAAGAGUGGGGCUGGGGGCCGCCUCUGGUCGCAAUGGAGCAGGAGUGGGCGGAGCCUGCUUCGUGGCUCUCUUCUGAUCUGAAGGGUUAUGCGCUCGCGGGGGAGCUCUGCAAUUGUGACCGAAUGUUCAACAGUCCAAGCACUCAACUAGCAGCCAUUCGUAAUCAAUGGUUAUGGAGCAAGAUACCCCAUUCAAGACCACUUCAGUGGUUUUGCAUCUUGGUUGGUUUAGCUAGAUUUCAACGCAAAUUCUAGCAAACGAAACCAUUUUUGCUUGGUCCGUUCGUUGGUCCACAUAUAGUAGCUUUCCCACCAUGCUUGCGAUUGCACUCAUUGCCGGAACCGUCCAACAAUCAAACAGUAAAUCCUUCAAACAAAUCCAAAUUGGGACGAAGGAUUGGUUCUCCCUCUUAAGGUCCAAGAGUGGUUGCCAUUGACGGAGGAUGAGAGGCACCCUAGCAACUGUGAUUGGUCCAUCCUCUAAGAUCCUUCUCCGAAACUCAGGAUCCAGAAUGUGGAGGAAAAUGAAACCUUGAUCAUUGGCGAGAACUUCCACAAGCUUAGAACCCCAAGCGUGUUUCAACGAUUGCUCGAUGAGCCCAAACGGAAGCUUCCUCCUCCCUACAAAGUAUCUCACUAAGCAUUCAUGCCAUUUCGGGUCCACAGCAUCAAGAACUUCAUCAACCAAUUUAACCACAGCUUUGGCAUCUACAAAUGUAAGGGGAAUGUAGGACAAUUCCGACCCUUUGGCCGCAAGACAGGCUAUAGUCGCCCAAGAACGAGCUGAGUUCUCCUACUGACCUGUUGGAUGAUGCACAGGGACUUGCGGACGCCUAGAUGCAGACCGCUUUUGACUCCUGCCUCUUGAUCGGUGGGGACGAGCAGAGGGCCCUUGCUGGACUUGCUACUUGUUCCUCUGUUCAGCAUGGCCGGACAUGGAAGCCUUGGCCAAACCUGGAUGCUCCGAAGAUAAACCAAUACCAGAUGAAGGGGUUGGAGGCCCCUUUGAGGUGUGAGCCGCAAAACGGGCUUCACGAGUGCUGUUUCCAGCCUCAACAGUAGUUGAGGACAUUUCACAAACGCGUGGUCUGCACCCCGAUCAUAGCCAACGAAAGCAUCAUCGAAAGAAGAAAGACACUUACCCGGACUAGCUUCAACAACAAACCUUGGGCGAAUUCUAGCACAGCACGUAUAGCAGAGCUUCAGAAGAAAAACGAACCCAGAUGCACGCAACAGCGAACCGCAGCAGCAGAGAUGAGUCUAUGAUACUUGAAGAUGCGAGCCACCUAGGAGGACACCGCUUGGAGGGUUGGUAUCCAAAGCCUAUAUGACCUUCUCCUCCAAAGAAGAGGCCAAACCACCGGAGGGAACCACCUCAACCCGCGACAACCAUUCGAGACGGUAAGAAGCGCGCGAAGAUCUGGGAACAAUUAGAUCUCAAGUUCUAGACCAGCCCAACGAAAAUCCUUCAGUGGGAAUGAAGAUGGAUGCAAGAGGAGGCUACCUUCCAAAAAUCAUCCCAUUCCGACCGCUAGAACUCUCAAGAGGUGAAGAAAACCAGAAGAACUAGUACAGAAAAACUGGAGUGCGAACCAGAGCUAUGGCAGGGGAUAUCUUUUGAUGCAGACCAUCUCUAUCAAAUCCCUUCAGUGGGGAUGUAGAGGAGGUUGAGAGGAAUCUUCCCUCCAAUAAUCAGCCCAUUCCGAUGGUUAGAUCUCCGGGAAUCAGCCUCACGCCGAACUGAAGAAUAGUAACUCGGGAACCAGUAGAGAGGAAACCCGUGCAAAAGUUGUUCUCCUUGUUCUCGAUAGACCUAAUUGUUGUUGUCAAUUUAAUAAUAGGUUCUCGAAAAGUCCUCACAAGAACUUUGGUUUUAGAAAUUGAUUUAUGGAGCAAAGAGAACAUAAUUUCUCGAUUUGGGGCAAAUUUGCAUUGCCAAACAACAUCAUUUGAUUUUUAUCUUGAAUGUUAACAUCUCAAGCAAGACAUAUAAGAUAUUCUAUUUUAAAAUAAUAUAACAUAAAAUCUUUGGACAACACAAGGAAUUGAUGUCACUUGAAUAAUGGAUUUUUAAAAGUUAUGGUACUUCAUUGAUCUCUUCAAAAGGUAUGGCACCAAGGCGAAUACCAUAAAAAAGAAGCUAUAACACCGUCAAUGACAAUUUCCACCAACUUUUGGAAGGAGUGCAUUAGAUGGUGGACCUAAUUGUUGUUGUCAACUUGGAAAGUCCUCGCAAGGCUUAACCCGAAAGGCACAGAAAAGUGUUGUUGCUUUUUUGGCGGGGUUAACUUUUGACGAAUUGUGAAAGAACUUCUCUUGAAGCACUGUCACGCACCAUCUUGUCUGGGCUUCUAAAUUGAGUGAGACAUACCAAUUUUUAGUACCAGUGAUUCUAAAAUUGGUCCACUAAAUAAUGUGAUGUCAUGUACUUGGGUUUUUGAAUUCUGCUGCCCCAUGUAGGGCUUGUUUGGUAAUCAACCUUGACUAUUUCUAUUCUUUUGUUCGCCAAAAAAAAAAAUUAGAAAUCCGUUUAGUAACGUCAGCUAAUUUUUUUUAUUACUAGGAAUAAAUUACUGGCUAGGAGAUAGAUUUGGAACAGAAUCAAUAAGUAAACAAAAAAUUGCUCAUUUGUUCUUGAGAACAAUUUCAGAAUCAAGCCAUAUUAUUUUUCUUCUUUUCUUCUUCUCUUCUUCUUCCUCCUUUAGCCGGUCAUCGGGCUCGACGCCAAGCUCGGCAAUUGGCUAGAGUCGAGAUUCGAUGACCUCGCCCAACACGACAAGGCCGACCUCGCCAGCCCCUGGCGAGGCUCCCCUUAGGUCGGCAAGAUCACCGAGUAGAGGAGGAAGAAGAAGAGAUGGAAAAUAGAAAAGAAAAGAAAAAUCUCAUAAAAUUAUUAAAAAUUAAAAGAAAUUUCAUGUUACAAAAAAAAUUUGGGGGCAGUAUCAAACACAUUCCUGUUCUUUUUCUAUUUUUGGAAUAGAUAUUUUGUGCAAUUAGCAAACGCGUUCGAAUGCUCAAAAACUUGUUCAAGGAACAUAAUUAUAAAAAAUUAUUUCGGAAUAAAAAUUGUUUAUGGAAACAAAAAUGUUACGAAACACAUCCUCAAUAAAUCAACAUUGACUUUGCUCUCGCAUUGCCCUUUCCAUUUGUACCAUAAGGACCCUCGAAUUAAGGGAUAUGAGUGUUUUCUUUUCUUAUGUUUUUUUCAAUUGGUGAUUUGAAAUUGGAUAUUAAUUGAUAAUGGCAAUACACCUAAGAUAUCGAGAUAGAGAGAUUUGAUGGUUGAAAUUAAAGAGUUAAAUAAGCAACAAUGUGGUUGAUCUCCAUUCACAUCGCACGCGCAUCUUAAAUUUAUUACACUUUGACAACUCAAUGCUAAACCUUUUAAUUGUGUCAAUUGAGUUAUAAACCUUUUUUAUCUUUUUCCAAUUAAGUCCAUUCAAACAAAUUUUGCUGAAAACUGCUUACGUGAACACCGGCUAGAACAAGAAGAAGAGGAGGAAAAAAAGAGAAAGAAGAGGAAAAAUAAAACAAAAAUCGAUAAAGUAAUAAAAUAUUAUUGCAAAUGCACACGUCAAUAUGACCUAACCACAUAGGAUGACUAAUGUCCACAUCAACGAUUUCUCGCAAAAAUUGAUUGGAUUGACUUAAUUAGAAAAAUGUGAAAAAAUUUAUGGCUCAAUUAACAAAAUUGAAAGAUAUAAAAUUGUAUUGACAAAAAGUACAAUAGAUUUAAGUCUUUUUGGAUAAUUUUAAAAUGUGGUGGAUAUAUAUCAUGUUAUUGGUCCUUAAGUCUUCAUGACAAAAUAUCUUCUCAAAUUCCACUUUAAAAUGCCAGGACUUGCACAAUGAAAUUUGAGGUCAGUCAUCCUCUCAAGAUCUUGACAUAUGAAACUGGCGAAAGAAUUCUUUUUCCAGUUUGGAAUAGGCCGUGAAGGGCGUAAAAGGAACUCUCUGAAUGAGAAAUCCCAACUCGACCGACUAUAAUGAUGGAACUGUGCCUCAAGAUAGGAGCCGUGCCUCAAAUGAUGCCGCAUCAUUUACGUGCACUUAUUCGCCGUGACAAUGGUCGUGGUCUUUUGAAAAUCCUUAGCGAGUUGUAAUUUGCCAACGAAACAGUGCAGUGAAAGCUGCAAACUUUGUCCCAGACACAACUUACAAACCAAGUAAACCGACGUACGGUACGGUAUCUUUGAGUUCUAAUCUCUUUUUCCCCGUUCUUUGCUACUGCAUCAUCCCUGUAGUAUUCCAAACCCAUCUAUAGCAUGGAUUCUUCUGCGCAAAGGGAAGUAGAUUUCUCAACCCGAUACUCUUUCACCAUCAAACGAUUUAGUGCCCCAACAUUACGACAUCCACACCCUCUUGAUGAGGAAAAAGCACUAAAACAUGGCGACAUAGAUAUAGGCUGUACAAAAUUUGAGAGCUGAAGGAGUGGAAGAUCACACUUAAGCGGCACGGCCUGAUACAUUAAAUUGUGGAGCAAGCUCAGGUCCAUUCCGACCAUACAUAGCCAUUGGCUAAGCUUAGGGUCUAUAUCAGAAGCGAGAUUAGAUACACGAGGCAUACAAUGCUUGUUGUACUUUAGCUGGUACGUCCAUGAUGGGGUGCAAUCGGAACGCACCAUUUCGUCUUGAUGCGUUACGAUGGAAAGACAUUAAUGGAGGGGUACGAAAGGAGACGUAUAAAAGCCUCCCGAACACAACCGUUGGUAGGGUUGGCAGAUCAUUUGUACCAAAGUUUCUCUCCCUUUCCAUCAAGGCGUUCCAUUUUCAUUUUUACAAAAACAAUUUGCAUUUACGCCGUGGAAAUCGGGUGCUUUCCUCAUGAUCGCGUCCAGACCAACGUGAGGUAAUAUUGUUCGUGUUUCAUCGGCAAUUCAACGUUUGUUCCGGGGAUAAUUGUUGUUUGCGCAUCAGAAUCAGGUAAGUCGUCUUCCACCGACUUGAAUUCCAACAUUGGUAUUAGAGCCCGGUCGUCAUUUCUGCUUUGUUUUUCAUUGAAUUUUCUCGUUUUCCAUUUGAUAUUCAGAUCAAGAGUAUGAAAUCUACACUAUUUGGAUGUCUAAUAGUCAGAAUUGCCAUCUGAAAAACUCGAAAUCAAACCGAAGCAAAGAACGGGUUAGGGGUCGCGUACACCCGUACGGUUUUGGUCAUUUUUCGAAAUAAUUUUUUGGCCAUAAUUAAUUUUUGAAUAUACAUUAUGAAAGAGCUCGUCGAGACGAGUUCGGCUAUGGGUCGAGCGCCGCCGGACAAUGCCGGACACACCCACAUGCAUGGCUAAAAGCCGCUGCACAUGGGCGCCACGCGCCUGAAGCGCUGGCAAAGCCAACGCGUGCGCCACACGCGCCGGUCAAUGAACCGGUAGGUGCGCGUCAUGCAUCGGUCGCGAACCGGUGCGUGAUGACAUCACCGUGACGUCACCCAACAGUCAGCAACCGUUGGGAUGAUGUCAUCGAUGACAUUAUCGUCGGCGGCAGUUGGCCGACCGGCGACCCAACCCGUGACCCGACCCGACCCAAGAUCCGACCCGAGGUUGACCCGACCCGACCCGAUCGUUGACCAGUCAACGGUCGGACUGGUCAACCGGUCCGGCGGUCAAACCGAUCGGACUGGCCAAAAGCCGUUUGGCUCGCUGGCGCGUGCGCCACAUGCGCUGCGCACUCAGGCGGCGCGUGGGGGCGCAUGCAAGCUCCGAUUGGAGCGUGGUCGGAGGCAUUGGGUUCAUAUGGAUGUGCUCUACACUGUGGUAUAAUUACUUUUUAACUUUGAAUUUUAUAAAUGUAUGAAAAUGCGUAGAAAACCCUAUGUACGCGUAUUUUUUGGGGUUUAAUGCAUAGUUUAUUCAUUUGUAACUUGUAUUUUCUUGUGGUUUAGGAAAUAUAGUAGCUAGCUUGUGUGCAAAUGAUGUCAUAUAUGCUGGUUCGAUGAUAUCAUGUAUAUAGUUUGGUUCGAUGAUAUCAUGUAUAUAGUUUAACAUACUUGCAAUUUUCUAAUUGCUAGAAAAUUCGAAUAAUGGUAGGAAAUCCAUUACAUGUUAAAUUGCGAUUUUGAUUAUAGUUGAAGCAUGAUUUUUGUUUAUACGUUGGUUAUUAUCAUGCUAUGUUUUUUUUUUUUUUUGUGUUAAGGAAAAAUGUAGAAAUUACAUAAGGUCAUGUAAUUAUUUUUCCUAGUGGGAGUUCGUAGGUUGGUAGAAUUUGAAAGAGUUCUCACCUAGAACUUAAAAUUUGCACAAAUUAAACUAAUUAAUGAUAAUAGAACAACUGUACAUUGAAGUUGAUUAGGAACAUAGUGAACUUUUGCUUUUGUGUCUUUUGUUGAAUUAUCAUUAAUUUAGUUUGUAUUUGCUGCAAAUUAAUUAUGUGUGUUACUCUGUAAAGUGUGCUAGUAUUGAUUCUGCGUUUAUUAUGUCAAUAUGUUAUAGCAAUUGAUUAUGACAUUGGCAUCCAAGACCAUUGUGUCCGACCUCAAUAAGGGUGAGAAGCUGAACGGUGACAAUUAUGAUAUUUGGCACCGAAAGGUUCAGUACAUCAUUGAGAAGUAAGAGGUUUUGGAAACCCUCAACCAUACCAUGGAUGAACCUGAGCAUGGAACUUCAGCUCAACACAAGAGAGAUUUGGAAGCUUAUCAAGCUUGGAAAAAGAAAAAUAGCAUUGCUCGCAUCACGUUGCUGAGCUGUAUGCAAGAUGAUCUCAUGUGUGAGUUUGAAAGUUAUGAUAAAGCUCAAAUUAUGUGGGUUGCCUUGAAAGAUAAGUUUGGGGGUACAUCUGCCACUAAGCUAAGGAGACACACUAUCAAGUUUGACACAUUCCAAAAGUGCCCAAAUGUAAUGAUGAGGCAACAUUUUCAGGAAAUGUCAAACAUGAUCCGUGAGCUAAAGUCGGCAGAUCACUCACUUACUGAUGAACAGCAAGUUCAGGCUGUUAUAAGGUCUCUUCCUGACAAUUGGGAGCAUAUGAAGAUCAAUAUGACGUAUAAUGAGAACAUUGUCACUUUUGAUGAUAUUGCGCGUCAUUUGAAAUUAGAGGAUGAGAGCCUAGAGGCCGCGAGAUCAUCUACCCAUGCUUAUGUUGCUAAAUCGAGUUUGCACAAGACUUCGGGCUUCAAAUGCAAGAGGAACCUUCAGUUCAACAACAAAGGGAAGAAAACUGAUCAUGCACCAAAAAGGACUAAGACCUUCCAACACAAGAAGCGUGGUGGGAAGAAGGACAAGGCCAAGAUGGAGUGCUACAAUUGUGGCAAGAUGGGUCACUUUGUUCGUGAAUGCACUGAGCCGAAAAAAGUACCAUAUUACUCCAUUACUUUUAGUAAUGUUUUUGUUUCUAGUAUUGUGAUGCUUGAUGAAUAUAGUAUUGUGAUGCUUGAUGAAUAUCAUCCAAUGUGGACUGUAGACUCAGGAGCAACGAACCACGUAACUAGAGACUGAGAAGCAUUUGUGGAGUAUCGUCGGAUACCGCCUGGAAGAAGAUGGAUAUAUGUUGGGAAUAACUCAAGAGUUGAAGUGAAGGGUAUCAACACAUGUAAAUUAAUCUUACGUGGUGGUCGAAACCUAUUCCUACAUGAUGUUCUUUAUCCUCCAAAUAUUCGACGAAACUUGAUCUCUGUAGUUGUUUUUCUUAGCUUAGGUUAUGUAAUGAAUUUCCAUGGUGAUUGUGUUGACAUUUUGUAUGGAACAGUUUAUUAUGGUUCAGGUCAUGUAUCAAAUGGUUUUAUGGUGUUAGACAUUGACUAUGAUCAGUACAAUGUUAAUGUCGAUGGUUGUUUUUCUUUAAUUGCAUCUUCUAAUAAUGUUGAGAUUGAUGCAAGUACUUUGCAUACUAGAUUAGGUCACAUUAGAUUGCAAAGAUUAGCUAGAGAAUGCCUUUUAGGGUCACUCACUAAUGUUACUCUCCGUGUGUAAACAUUGUCUAGCAGGAAAAGCAACUAGAAAACCAUUCGGUAAAGGAACUAGAGCUGAAUUUCCAUUGCAACUCAUACAUUCUGACAUUUGUGGUCCUUUGAAUGUGAGGGCGAGGCAUGAGGCCUCAUAUUUCAUCACUUUCAUAGGUGACUUCACACAUUUCGGUUUUGUCUUUCUGAUCUCCUAUAAGUCAUAAGCAUUAGACUGAUUUAGAUGAUAUAUAGCAAUGGUAGAGAAUCAGUUGAACAAAACAAUAAACGCAUUGAGAACCGAUCGUGGACAUGAGUAUCUAUCGAAGCAAUUCAAGACUCUUUGUGAUGAAAAUUGAAUUGUGCGACAAUUGACUAUUCCUAGUACUCCACAACAAAAUGGGGUAGCUGAGAGAAUGAAUAAAACCCUAUUGAAAAUGGUUAAGUCUAUGAUGGCGCAAGCAAAUUUACAUAUCUCCUAUUGGGGAGAUGUGUUAUUGACUGUUGCCUAUAUACUUAACCAAGUGCCCUCAAAAUCGAUCACUUCCACCCCUUAUGAAUUAUGGAUUGGUAGGAAACCAGACUUAAGUAGUCUACAUCCAUGGGGAUGUGCAGCUUAUGUUCAUGACUCUUCCCAUAAAUAUGGCAAAUUAGGUUCUAGAGGGAAUAAAUGUAUCGUUAUAAGAUAUUCUAAACACUCCAAAGGGUACGUGUUCAUAGGUGAACAAGCUGAUGGAAGUGUGACCGAAAUGGAGUCACGAGAUAUCACGUUUUUGGAGAACGAUUUUCCUAGUAAAUGUUAGAUUUAUAAGAAUUUCCAAUUAUAUGAAAUGGAAGAUCUUGAUAACACACUCACUGAUGUUGUAGAGGGAAAUGAAAAUUUACCUCAACAUGUAAGACCCAGUGAGAAUGUUGCAUCGCCUAACGAAUUGAAUUCAAGAGAAAUUCAAUUGUGUAAAAGUAAUCGUAAAAGUAUUCAUCGUCAUCAUUUUGAGAUUGAAGGGGAAGCAUUUAUGAUUGCUCAGAAUGACGAUGCCGAGCCUAAGACUGUUCAAGAGGCUCUCUCAUCCUCUGAUAAGGAAGAAUGGAGAAAAGCUUUGGAAGAUGAGAUAGAGUCAAUAAGGGCAAACCAUGUCUGGGACUUAGUUGAUCUACCACUCAAUCGUAAGGCCAUUGGAAACAAAUGGGUCUUUAAGAUUAAGCGAAGGGCGGAUGGAUCUAUUGAAAAGUAUAAGGCUCGCCUUGUGGCGAAAAAUUACACUCAACAAGAGGAUAUAGACUAUGAGAAAACCUUUUCACCAGUUGUAAGGUUUGCCUCAAUACGCCUUAUUCUAGCCAUCGUUGCACAUUUGGACCUUGAAUUACAUCAGAUAGAUGUAAAGACGGCAUUUCUCAAUGGAGAACUAGAUGAGGAAAUCUAUAUGAAGCAGCCAAUAGGUUUCGUAACUAAUGGUCAAGAGCAUAAAGUUUGCAAACUUAAUCACUCAAUAUAUGGCCUUAAGCAAUCAUCUAGACAGUGGUAUCUUCGUUUUCAUUGAGCCAUAACCACUUUUGGUUUCACGAUGAUCAAGGAAGAUCACUGUGUAUAUGUCAAGUGAUCCGAAGAUAAAUUUGUGAUUUCAUCACUUUAUGUGGAUGAUAUUCUAUUAGCUGGAAAUGACAAGGUUUUGGUUAUCACCAUAAAAGAAUGGUUGUCCUCUAAUUUUGAAAUGAAGGAUAUGGGAAAAGCUGCUUAUAUAUUAGGAGUCAAGAUCGAAAGAGAUUGAUCAAUGAAACUCCUUACUUUAUCACAAGAGUCUUAUAUUAUGAAGAUUCUUAAGCGUUUCAAUAUGCAGCAUUGUAAUCAUAUUGAUACCCCUGUCAUGCAAGGUGAAGGCCAAAGUACUGAGAUGUGUCCUAAGACUCCAAAAGAAAUUAAAGUAAUGGAAAUUGUUCCUUACGCUAGUACGGUCGGAAGUUUGAUGUAUGCUAUGAUGUGUAUUAGACCUGACAUAUGUUAUGCCGUGGGAUUGGUGAGCCGAUAUCAAUCAAAUCUCGAUCAAGCAAACUGGAAAGCAGUGAAGAGGAUUCUGAGAUAUUUGAAGGGCACUAUGGACUAUCGACUUUGUUACCAAGGGAAUGAUUUAUGCCUAUUAGGCUAUUUAGAUGCCGAUUGGGGUGGAGACCUGGAUGAGUGUAAAUUGACUUCUGGAUAUGCGUUCUUGCUCAAUGGAGGUGCGAUUUCUUGAAAUAGCAAGAAACAGACAUGCACGGCCUUAUCUACGAUGGAGGCAGAAUUUAUUGCAUGUUCUGCCACAGUGCAACAAGUAGUAUGGCUAAAACAUUUCUUAGAAAAUUUAGCCACUAUCACUGAAGUUCCAAGACUGGUGACAGUUUAUUGCGAUAAUCAAGUAGCUAUUGCCUAUGUGAAGGAUCCCAAGUAUCAUGGAAGGACAAAGCACAUUAACAUAAAGAACAACUUCACAAGAGAUAUAAUAGCGCAGAAAGAAGUGAUCCUAUAAUAUAUUUCAACCAAUAGAAUGGUUGCUUAUCCAUUUACGAAAGCUAUUCCUAGAUACAUAUUCUUAACCCAUAGGAUGUCACUAGGAUUGCGUAGAAUGUGAUAUAUGUUAUUGUAAAUGAUCAUCGGUUUAUGUAUUUGUGGACAGAUGUAUUGUACUUGUUUAUUUAUUAGUGAUUUGAUAUUUUAUCAAUAAGUACAAAUCUACUAUGAGACUAGCACAAACACACAUGUAUUAUUGAAAAGUAUGUCGGCAGGCAAUGAUUGACUCACUCACACAAGCAAUCGCCUCAAGUGCUUUAGAUAGCACGAUAAGAUGAGACGUUAUGUACAAAUAAAUGCUGAAGAGCAAGUCUGGUACAUAAAAUAUGUCGCCUUGAUUGGAAUCAAGAUGAGGUUUGUGAUUUGUUUAUAACAAGACCGAACAUGAUAUUCCCACAAUCAUGUAUGCCUGAAAGAUGCCGAAUGCGAGUACUUAAUUGAGCACUAUAGAAAGCGAGCUGAUAUAGCACUCGAGCUAAACAUGAGUACGUGAGAAGCACGUGACUAUGUUUAGGCUAAGAUCCAUAUAGUAGAUACAUUUGAUAAAUGACAUACACUCUUAUAGAAAGAGUAAUCCACUAUAGCAUGUAAUUCAUACUACAUGUGCAUUAUACGACCAAUAAGGGAAGAUGAGUAAAAUUAUCCAUAUUUAUUCAUCGUGUGAGCACUUGAGGUAAUUUAUAAUUUACCUCAAUUUCAUGUUACUUUUGACUAUGUUCUCGAACUGAAAUUUCAAUAUUACUACUUUAGCAUGUUACGGGCAGUCAUGAAUAGAUAUGGCCUAUGGGACGUGUUUAGGAAAGCAGUUGUUUUGAAAUUGAGAGAGACAUGAGUGCGAAGGAAGACUAUUGUUAUUUUACAUCUAUAACAUGUAUUUACUGGUUGACCAAUUAUAUCGUCUUCUGUGGUUGUGGAUGUAAUUGUAAAUACAUGGUGUUUUUUAGAAUAGUCAAGUAUAGACUUUAAGGGAUAGGUAUACUUGGACUGAUGUAACAAAAUAUGUCUAGGGUACUGUGAAACAUCGAUUGUUUAUUUAUUUUCGGGGUUGUAGCCAUUAUGUCAUCCCUAACAGGUGCAUAAUUUGAGCUCCCAAGUGCAGGUGUACUCACUGGUCGCAUGGCUUACUUAUCAGUAUAAAUUAUUCUGUAAAGUUGAUGAAUGUUGAACGCCUUGCCUUAUAUUCUUGAAAGAGCGCUAUCAAGCCCAUCAUGUCCGAGUGGGAGAUGUUGUACUUUAGCUGGUACGUCCAUGAUGGGGUGCGAUUGGAACGCACCGUUGAGUCUUGAUGCGUUGAUGGAAAGACACUAAUGGAGAGGUAUGAAGGGAGACGUAUAAAAGCCUCCCAAACAUAACCGUUGGUGGGGUUGGCAGAUCAUUUGUACCAAAGUUUCUCUCACUUUCCAUCAAAGCGUUCCAUUUUCAUUUUUACAAAAACAAUUUGUAUUUACGCCGUGGAAAUCGAGUGCUUUCCUCGUGAUUGCGUCCAGACCAACGUGAGGUAAUAUUGUUCGUGUUUCAUCGGCAAUUCAACGUUCGUUCCGGGGCUAAUUGUUGUUUGCGCAUCGGAAUUAAGUAAGUCGUCUACCGCCGACUUGAAUUCCAACAAUGCUAUAACUUCCACCGCCUCAACUAGCAAACCUGGACCUCAGACAAGAUAUGGCUCGUGAGACAAGACACUUCUUUCUGUCCAGGAAGCAAUGGUAAGGAAGUUCCUAUAAAAAUGGGAAGCGUCCUAACUUUGAAGCAGACUGAAAUUGUUCAUUACCUGAGCGGCAGGGUUAAUUUAAUAUUGCAAUGCAAAAUUCAGUUCUCACUCCCCUAACAAUAUUUGCAACAAGUUCCUCCAGAGAGAAGAGAAUGAAAACAUUAACUUUAAAAUAGCAUUAAUUCUUCAAUACGCCCAAAGAAGAAAAAGUCCAGACCUGACACCAGUGCUUAUUGGCCAACCAUGGCUGCGCUGGGGUUGAUAACACCUUGCAGAUUUCGUUUUAGUUUGCUCUAGGUGUUGCCCAUUCAACACGUAGGAUGAGGUAAUCAUAGCCAUGUCCGUCGAGUUUAUUGAUGACCCUCUCGGCAUCCUCUUUGUUUACAAAGUUGAUAAAACUCACACAACAAUGUCUUGUCAGUUGCGUUGAGGACAUUUCUGCAAGAUAAAGCUGCCAAACUCACCUGUACAAAUGAACUUGAGAUUCUCCGCCCUGAGGGGUCCUCCUACGACAGGUGAUUUCCAGAAUCAUAACCCUGUAGCCGAUCUAUGAGUAGCCUUCCCAUCUGUGAUAUACUGCGGAGCCAUAUAGUUGUAAGUCCCUACCAAAGCCAUCUUACUAGUCCUCCAAGGUGGGUCGACAAGCUUAACUACUCCAAAAUCACUGAGCUUAGUCCCGUAAGUGUAUCCAGUUGUUUAUUUGCUGAUUUUAUUACUCUACGAAGAACGCAUUUGAUAGGAAAGAUAAGCACCUAUGUUGUCUGGAGAAACUGGCUUGUUGUCUAAAGACCAGAACACACUACGGUUCUCGCUAAUAGAAUUGAUGGUGACCAAAAGAUUAGUUGCUUUGGCACAAUGUGAUCCAGCAUGCAACUGGCAUAAACAGUGGAGGAAAGUGAAUAGACAUUGACCCCGGUGCGCCGCUUGGCCGAAGGGUCAUACUGGGGAUUGGGAUAGGGUGUUGAACGUGACCGGUACGAUUUGGUUUUGCGGUGCAUUGUGGGCCACGCUAGUAUGUAACAAUCCUAGAAAUCCGUCGUAAUUGGGUUUCCUUGCUCCUGUCGGCUUCACGAGAUCUAUUAUAUAACUCAAGAUGCCAACUACCACAUUGAUCUCGUAAAGUACAUCCCUGAAUCCGUCGUAAUUGGGUUUUCAGCUUCUUAUGACGUCCAUCAGCAAGCAUACAGCAUCAAUUCGUGGGAUCAGACUUGAAUGUUGUAUGUCGGCAAUCGGCUAAUGCAACCCUCUCUCAAUCAAACUGCACAAUUUGCAGGUUGCCCAUACUUUGUGACAGAUCUUGCAGCAUAUCUCUUGCUAUCCAUGGUUGCAACCACAUUUGCUCAUGGAGAAGAGGAAAAUGUAUAAUUCUCGAGCAAAAGCAGGGCACUGCCAUUGACGUUGAUCGAGAGACAAGGAGCCUUUGCAAUGAGGUUCUCUUAUCAAGAGUCGUUUGCCACUACUGAUGGCUUUGCUAAAGAUCGGAGUCUUGACCAAGGAGCAUCUGGCCAAGUUACAAAGGAAAGCUGGCCAACUUACAAAGGAAAGCUGUGCCGUAUAGAUCUUCAAGUAGCUGUCAAGAGAAUCUUCGCAAAAUCCAGACAUUCCAAGAAGGUGUUCAUUGAUGAAGUGAAGAUUAUCAGCCGCAUGAUACAUCGAAACCUGGUGCAAUUUAUUGGAUGGCAUCAAGAGAAACGUGAAUCUUUGCUCGUAGAGGAUGAGUAUAUGCAUAACAGUAGACUUGAAAAUUAUCUUUGGGGCUCGAAAAAGUCUUCCAUGGAAUGCACGGUACAACAUAGCUCUAGGCUUGGCAUCGGCCCUUAAUUACUUUUAUCAAACCUACAGCAGCGUCUACUUCACAUUGACAUAAUAUCAGCUCGUGCACCAUUGGACACAAAAUUUCAGGACAAAGCUUGGUGAUUUUGGAGUGGCUACAGCAGAUAGAGGACUCGAACCACAAAUGGUUAUCUGGCACUAGAAUAUGUGGAAGAUAGGAAGGCUAGAAAAGAGUCUGACAUGUACAACUCGGUGGUUAUGAUAUUAAUGAUCGCUUGCGGGAGGACUUAUCAGGACGUGGAACACUAUUUUCCACUAGCUAAGUGGGUCCGGCGGCUUUACCUGUCAGAUGGCAUCCUUGACGCAGCUGAUGAGCCGCUGGGUACUUGUUCUGGGGUCUUGUUCUGAUUAGAAGCUAACGGUACGCUUCAUGAUGGCAGGAUCUUGUUUUGAUUGGUAGCAAAUGUAAUGCUUAAUGAUGGUGGGUUUAUGGUGUGCGCAUCCAGAUCCUAAGGCGAGACCUAAAGUAGGAGAAGCGACGAGGUUUUCUUCAGAAGUCCCAGUACUGGAGCUACCAUGCAACGCCGGCGAAGAACCCAGUUUGUAUCACCAUCUGGGGCAGACUACUCUGUCCUGGAGUCCCUCAGUCCAUUUUCAGCAAGAUAUAACUUGGCUUAUGGAACCAUGCAGAUACAUGGUUUCUUGUGGGACAGAAUCGUAGGAUGUAAAUUUGGGCCGAGUUCCAAAUUGGCAAUAUGAAAGACUUCCGUGCAAAUGAAAAGGAUUUCCAAGUAAAUUACAAAUUCUGCAUCAAAGAUUUCUAUCGUGCGCGCACGCACGCACACUCUCUCUAAAGUGUCGAUCAAGUUCAUCAUCCUGUGAACUGUUUCUUCUUCUAUGGUAGUGCAAGCAUCAGACAACAAGAAACCAAAGCCCCUUCGCGGGAUUCUGAUGAUGCUAAUACACAUGACCUACCAACUAAGCAUAGAAGGAUCACAAGACUUACCUGAUUUUCAGAAAAAUCGUUCGGAUUUGAUGGAAGUACUGAGAUUAGUACAUCCAGGCCAUCUGACGAGGAAAAAGAGCUAAAACAUGGCGACAUAGAUAAUGGCUGUACAAAAUUCAGAGCUGCAAAGGCAACAAUGAUCGGAGCAAGAGUCACACUUAAAACUUAAGUGUUGAUACAUUACAGUGUCAACCGAGCUGAGGUCCAUCCAUUUCGAGUAACAGUCAUCAGCUAAGCUGAGGAUCUAAAUCCACAAUAAGCAAACUGAAUUUAAGAAGCAAAAUUAGACAAGCCAUGCAUACCAUGCUAUAAACUCUACCCACUCAACUAGCAAAGCCAGAGCUCAGACAAGACUAUUACAUCAUGUCCAAAGCCAUAUGCCUCAUGAGACGACAUUCACUUCUUGUUGUCCAGGAAGCAAUGCUCAGAAAGUUCCCAAGAAAAUGGAAAAUGUCCUAACUUUGAAUGAGAAUAAAAUUGAUAUUACCUAAGCAGCAGGGUUACUUUCAUAUUGCAAUACAAAAUUGAGUUCUAACUCCCCUAACAAUAUUUGCAACAAAUUCCUCAAGAGAGAAGAGAAUGGAAACAUUAACUUUAAAAUAGCAUAAAUUCUUCAAUACACCCAAAGAAGAAAAGGUCCAGACCCACCAUCGGCAGUGCUGGUGGGCCAACUAGGGCUGUGCUGGGGUUGAUAACACCUUACAUAUUUCGUUUUAGUUGGCUCUGGGUGUUGCCCAUUCAACACGAAGGAUGAGGUUAUCAUAGCCAUAUCCAUUGAGCUUAUUGAUUGCCCUCUCAGCAUCCUCCUUGUUUACAAAGUUGACAAAGCCGAAACCUCUGCUCAAACCCGUCUUCUGAUCAAUCGCAACAUACACACGACUAACUGGGCCAAAUGUGCGGAACAGUUCAAGCAGAUCAGGCUCCCGAGUGUCCUCUGACAAAUUAGUUACACGGACAGAAUUCUCUUCAUUCCUACGCCUCAUCUCUGUCCCCGUCCGCUCUGCCCCAGCUCUCAUGCUCGGGGGCACAUAAGCUCCCUUAGUGCUUGUUGGCUCUGCUGCCGCUGGCUUAUCAACAAAGGUCUCAACUGGUUGAGCAAGGUCCUUGUACGGACAUCUCGAUGUCCAGUGAUCUCCCUUCUUUCCACAAGUCCUGCAAACCAUGAGAACAGCACCUCCUUUCCCAAGCUGAGCCAAGUUAUCCCCAGCUACCUUUGAUUCUUCAC
rnacentral:lncRNA from 1 species